UAGCCGCUAAUGUUUGACCAGCAAGCAUUCGUGAUCUCCCUCGUUGGGUAACUUCGUUUUGGCUCGAGAGGGUGCCCCCAGCACCUCGGUCUAUAGGGAUGCCCCAAGGGUUUUGAUUUUGCGAUAGACCAUGAUCCUGGACGGGACUUUCAGGAUUUGGGGAUGAUCUAUUCUUAGACUGAGACAACUCUUGCACAAGAUUUUUACCAUAAUUCGGAACGGGAGGUAAUUUCUUGCCAGAUCGUAACUCCAUCUGGUUGACUUGGGCUAUUUCUUCAGAAAUCGUCAGGCGCAGACGCUUUGUUGGGGUGAAUUUUUAGUAAUGCAGCAUGAAUCUCCUCUUCUGUGACAUCACUCACAAGAGCUUCAUUCAUUGUGGGUGUAAUACCCGAGAUAUACCACUCACUGCUUCUGUAAUAUUUUACGGACUGCAGGAAGUGAAAAUGGUGGAAAAAGAGUCAUGUAUCACACCCUGAAUACCCUCAUGAUCCUCCUUCCACAUACCACUGUCAUAAAAACCAAUCCCUGAAUUUGAUUAUGCCUUCGCCUCUGAACACACAAAGCAUGGAAAGAACUUGUCUUUUUAUCACCAGCUUGAAGCCACUGAACCCGAGAUUGACAUCUCCAGAAUUCCUCUUCCCUCUUAAGGUCCUGCUUCAAUGAUUUCGCCUUUACAUGGUCAUACACGGGCUGUCUAGCUAGCUUCUCCAUUUCAGCAGCUCAACCCGAGGUUCCAAGCUAUGUCACAUCUGUUGUUUGCUCAGAGGGCAGUCACAGGCACGUCACGAUUGGCAAAUGCGAUGUCUUGGUCUUUAAGCACUUUUCGGGUCAUGGAAGGGGAGAUCACCCACCAAAGAGAGGCCUUGAAGGCCAAAUGGAGAUAGGGCUUCCCCCUUUGUUUUUGCUUCUCCCUCUCCUAUUCGGAUUCUUCUUAUAUCUUUUUCCUGUUUUUUUAUUGCUGCGAAUUGUAAUGAUAUAUAAAACCAAGUGAUUGUGUUUCAGUUUAAUUCCCAUUAGUCAUCCAAUGCUAAAGAUUAGCAUCUAAUUAUCCUUUCUGAUCAUCAUCAAACUUAAUCUCAAUCUUUCUUUUUUUUUUUUAAAUAAUCAGAUAAUGAAAAUAGAAAAAGAAAAUAAACAAUAAGUAGACCAUGAGAUAAAAAUUAAAAAAUGAUAAAUGAUAAAUAUGCAAUAAAAAUCUAGAAAUAAAAAUAAAAAAAUAAAAAAAUUUACAAUCGAGCUUAGACCAAUUUUAAUUAACAAAUGAUCCCGGACAAAAUGGGAUGUCUACAAUUAUCAUAUCCUAAGUCUUGCAGAUAUCAAACACAAAAUAUGAUGACAUUAUUUAAUCUAAUCCUAUACAUAAUAUUAUCUUAUUCUAUCAUAUCAUAAUCAUGUUUAUCAAAAAUGAUCUUUAAUAAUAUUAUAUUAAAUAAUAUCAUUUUAUCUUGUAUUUAUGUGUGUAAAUAUUAGGAUAAGAUAAUUUAUUUAUUUGUCAAAAUUAUCUUUUUUCAAAAUUUAUACAAUUUAAAUUAUUAAUAUAAUUUUUAUGAAUAUAAUAAAAUAUGUAAAUUUAAUCCUAUGGAUUAAAAAUAAUCUCUUCAAUUUGAGAAGAUUGAAGCAUCCUAUACCGAGAGGAUGAUUAAUAGUUCUCUGUGUAAUCCUAUCUCUUUUUUUAGAUAUAAACUAAACAUAAUAUAAGAUGAUUAUUAUCAUAUCUUAUCUAUUAUCCUAUGUACUAAAUAUAACUUUAAUGAAUUAUUAAAUAUUAUCUCAUCAAUAAAUUUUUGUGUAUUUGUUUAGUAUUUAUAUUUUUUUGUAUGCAAGGAAAGUCAUAGCUUAAGAAAGAGAAAAGGGUUAAAGUGUUGGGUUCAAAAUCUAAAUUUUCUAAAUGUUAUUUUUUAAGAAUAAUUAUAUAAAUUAAUUAAAUUAAAUUUUAAAUUUAUAUUUAAUGUACUCACUUUGUAUAAUACUAUACACCUCAUUAAAAUUUAAUUUUGAACGUAUUUUGAGGAUUAAGUGUAUUUUUUUUAGAUUUUAAAAAUUUUAAAUUAAGUUUUUUUUUUACAAAAUAUCAUUGUGUUCAUUAACAAUGUAUAAUAUUUAUAUACUAACAUCAAAUAUAAACUCUUUAUUUAAAGGGUUUAUAAGAAUUUGUAUUGAAUCAUUGAUAAAAUAACAUCAUCUAAUUCUUUUAUACAUAAAAUAUUAUCAAAUAUAAAUUUUUUGUUUUAUUCUUUUCUGGCUAUGACAACUUGGAAAAAACUGUUUUUGUUUAGGGAGGCUGUUACUAUUAGUGUUGGUGCAUUGACAUAGGGAUACUUCUCCUGUAUACAGUAGUUAAUAGGCAAAUAGCCUACAACUUAUGAUUCUGCAAGAAAUUCCCAGUUUUUCAAGAUUCCCUGGAAAAUACUUAUUUUUUUAAUUAAAACUUUUUGUGGAUGUGGAGCAAUGUGCAAGACCAAGAUUAGCUCUGCAGAUUGAUUAACUACAGGAAAAGAAUGUGAAGGAGUGUAGGGAAUGUUGUUAACUAAUCUGACUGUUUUCACCCAAUCUAGGCCACUGCCCUUGCAAACGAAGGCAACUGCCCCAGUCUUGGGGCUUUAGGAUGUUACUGUUCUUUCUUCUUUAUCACUGUCCUAGUUAAUCGGAGCUACUAUGAAACUUCCUUUUCCGGCGCUGGACCAUAUAUAGGUUAAUGUGAUUUUCAACUUUUUCUCUUAAAUUUUGGCUACUCGUGAGAGGAGAGCCUCUGGGGAAAGCACGCUUUAAUUAAUUUAUAUGAUAGAGGGGCAAGCCCCUAAAAUUUUCUAGUUUCUAAAGCCUCCGCCGUCCAGGCUUGCUCCUCGGGCCAACAACAAUCCUUGUUUACUUAACUAAAAAAGUCUGAAAAUUUUAAAUAUAACAUGAUACAAAAAUAAAAUAAUUUAAAAUUUUAAUAAAAAAUUAUAUAUAUUUAAUAAAAAUUAAAAAUUAUAUUAUGUAUUCAAUGUAUUAUAUAUUUAAUAUAAUAAUUUUUAUAUUUUAUAUUUAUUUGACACGAAAUAAGUCGAGUUGUUAACUUUACUUGUAUUUACUAAAUAUUAAAAAGCAAUACAAACAUGGUUAGUUUAAGACAUUAAGCUCCUCAAAAUUUGAAAACUGCUUUUCUAUUUUGACUAGUCUUUGGCAAAUACAUUUCAGUUUCACUACUAAAACGAGGGAGGCUGUCUGUAAACCUUUGUUCAGUUUCUCUGCCUCGUGAUUUUUGGGACCUAAGCCAAAUUGAUUUUAGCAGCAAAGAUUUUAGAAUAUGGUUUAAGGACAUAUUUUUUUAUUGAGCUGACGUCGGAGGAACAUUACAUGUUGGGACGCCAUAUAAAACCAAAGUUUCCAAAUAGGAAAAAGAAAAGUAUUAAAACUUGAUCAUUAGGGCUUCCCACUAAGCUCAUAAGUGAAGGCUUGUCCGGCAUCAUAAACCAAUUGUCUCCAAUUAAGGAGUGGCAAGAGAUUGCUUAAAGGUGCCUAGGGUCAUUGUUAUCUACAACAUGAUUAGCCCUGCUGUUCCAUAAUCCCUUUUCUCACCUGGAAAAGCACAUCACUUGGUGUUUUUAUAGGUUCAAUUGAGUGGCCCUUAAAAAGCAAGGUUUGGGUUUUUUUAAGGGUUAAUAUCUUUAAUUAUCUUUAAAUUAUGUUAAAAUAUUUAAUAUAAUAUUUAAAUUUUAAAAUUUUUUAAUGUGUUAUUUAAAUUAUAAAUCUAUUAAUUAAUAUAAUAUUUAUUUUUAAUGUAACUAAUUUAAAUAAUAAUAUAUGAUAGAUAACAACUUUUUAAAUAUUAUAUUAAUUAAGAGAUUUAUGUCAAUUUCAUAAGAUGAGCAUGCAAAUUGAAAAUCUAUAUAAUGCUUUAAGUGACGUGCAAAAGGGGCCCACAAGUGAGUUAUCUUUGAAGAAUGAAAUGAAACUUAAGGAGGAACUAAAUGCACUUUUAUAAUAAGAGGAGCCAUUUGGGAAGCAACAUGCUCGCACGGAUUGAUUACGGGAGGGUGAUAAAAACACACAUUUCAUCCAUGCCCAGGUAAAAAAAAAAAAGGAGAAGGAUAAACAGAACUAUAGGAGUGGAGGAUCAUGCUGGAACAUGGUAUUGUGAAAAAAUGCAGAUCUUGGGACACGCAGUGCAAUAUUUGAAAGAACUAUUCAAAACACAGGGUCGGGAAAAUCUAUACAGGAUUCUAGAGUCAAUACCACCGAGUAUCAGGAGAGAUAUGAAUGAAAGGCUCGUCUCUGAAUUUACAAUGGAGGGAGUGUAUAAAGCUAUGAAAUAGAUACACCCUAUAAAGGCUCCAAAACUUGAUGGUAUGUUCGUUAUCAUAACGUAUAGAUCCGUAGAUUUAUCGUUAGAUAUAAAUUAAAAAAAUUAUCAUCAAUUUUUUUUAUUAAUUUUUUUUAUUUAAGUAUAAUUAACCAUCUGAUUAAAUCUCUCUUAUUCAAAAAAAAGUCCCAAGACUUACUUAGAUGUCUUUAAAUAAUAUAUUCUGAUCCACAAAAUUAUAUUUUAGAUUCGAAAGUACGAUUAUGUAUGAGGAAGCUUAUAGUACCUCAAAGCGCUAAUCCAAUGGACGGUACCAAUUUGAUCUCAAAUUAUCAAAGCCUUAAAUAUGUUUAUAUUUUAUCAAAAUAUUUAAUAUCAAAAAUUAAUACUAAAAUUACCUUAAUAAUUUGGUAGCAAUUUAAGAUAAUUUUUUCAUCUCAAAAGUAUUCAGGGAGACUAAUAUCCCACUCUGAAGAGGCUCCGUUGUCGAUUGAUUGAUAUAUUUUAUUCAAAAAAAAUUAGUAAAAUCCUCCGAUAGUUUGGUAGGAUUUACUUUAAGGCAGAUCUCCAAUAAUUUUGUGAGAUUUUAUUUGAAAGAUAUUUAUAAAAUUUUAUUUUCUUUGAGAAAAUUCAUUAAAUUUUUCAAUAGUUUGAUAAAUUUUAACUUAAAAUGCAAUCCUCCAAUAGUUUGGUAGGAUAGUUUUUUUUUUUAAAUUUAUUUAUGAAAUUUUCCAAUAAUUUUGUGAAUUCCAUAAAAUUAAAAUCCAUGAAAAUUCUCCAAUAAUUUGGUAUGAUUCAUAAAUUUAUUUGAAAAUAUUUUUUUCUUUUAUUUUUUGUUUUAUUUUUGUUUUUCAGAAAUAAAAAAAGAAUUUUAUAAAACAUUUAAUAAACAAUAAAUUGCUUAGUAAAAAUAAAUAAUAAAAAUCAGUAAAAUAAAAAUAAAAUAAAAUAAAAAAACUUAAAAUAAAAAUCAGUAAAAUAAAAAUAAAAAUAAAAAUAAAAAUAAAAAUAAAAAAAAAAGAAAAAGAAAAACUUGCGAUCAAGUCAGGUUGAAGCGCGAGUCGACACACGAGUCAAUAGGUCACGUGUGGAUCUGAGCUUUUCACAACUGUGUCAUUUUGGAACCCUAUAAAAGUCAAGUCCUUUACUUUUUCUUUAGAAACCCCAGUCCCCUUUCUUUUUCUAGCUUCAAAUACUCUGUCUUCGUUUUAAAAGAACCAAGAAUAUCAACCAAAAGCUGAAAAUCCAUCAGUUUCUAGAAAAUAUCGCCAAAAUCCCACUGAAAAAUUCAAAGUCCACCAAAAACCUCACAGGAAAAUUCAAACAUUUCAACCCUUAAAACUUAAAAUAAUUCAGAAAUUUUCAAACAUUUUUCAAAAUUUUCCAAAAAUCUAAACUUCGAUAUAGAAACCUAAAAUCUCAAUCUCAACACUCCAGAAUAGAAAUAAAAAAUUCAAUCCCUUACCAAUCACUAGAACCUCGAAUCCUAAACUUCUAAAACCAAAGUCUCAAAAAUAGCCACCCAAAAAGUUUUUCCAGAAUUUUAAACACAAAGCCUCUUUUCCUAAAAUCAACCAUGAAUUGUUCUACCUUAUUGUGUCCAAUUUAUAGCCAUCCAAGCUAAGGAUAUACAAUCUUUUCCUUCUUAAACUCACUACUCUUGAUGGUAUUUUCAAUAAUCUCCAUUGAGAUCACCAUAUCAGUAAAAUUCUUUAUUAUAUUCCCUAUCAUCUUCUCAUAAUAUAGUGACUUCAAAGUACUUAUAAACAAAACUAUCAUUUUCUUUUUAGUUAAGGGUGGCUAGACCUAAGCAGCUAUAUCUGCCACCUUUGAGCAUAUUUUUUGAAUGAUUCCAUCACCUUUUUUUCCAUAUUCUACAAAGUAAGGCGAUCAAGAGCCAUAUCUGUAAUAUAACGAUAUUGAUUGAUGAAAGAAUGAGUCAAAUCCUUCCAUGAUCAGAUGUGAAUCCUAUCUAACUAAAUAUACCAUUUUAUAGCAGAACCAGUUAAACUAAUUUCAAAUACAUGCAUAAAUAACUUCUUAUUACUGAUAUCGGUUACUAUCUUUUGAUAGUACAUGGUGACAUGAGUUAUCGAACACUUAGUAUUAUUAUACUUUUCAAACUUUGAAACUUUAAAUUUUAAAGGAAUCACAACAUCUAGGACUAAACAAAGGCUGGCAACAUCCAUUGAGUCAUAAAAAUUUAUUCUUAAAAAUUUAUUCCUUCAACAGCUCAUAACUUUUCAUCUAGCAUGUUUAUUUUGUAAUCAAUUUUUGAAUCUUCUAAACCCUCAACCAUUUUCAAUUUCUCCUUUGAGAUAUCCAAAUUAAGAACUUGAAUGGGUUCAACUGCCUUUUAGUAAAGGCAGGUUUGUUGUAGCUUUGGACAUUCCCUUUGUAAGGUGCAAGCAAUAUUUUUGAAUAAGUAUAGCUUGUCGAAAAUGCAAAUUAUUAUGAUGGAAGACUUAGAGUGGAUUAGGCUUGGUAUGGACUAUAACCCGAAAGAUAUUGGAUCAAAAAGCUUAUAUAAAAUAUCUUCUUCUACUAUUUUUCUCUUAUUCAGCUUACCCAAAGUCUCAAGAAUUUUGUCCAGUUCUCUUUUAAUCUCUUCUUACGCCUUUUCUAAUUUCUCAACAUGGUUAGCAUUAUCUUGUUCUAGUCUUCUAGCUUGGACUCAAGUGUAAUACCGGUGUUGAGCUAUCCUCGAACCUUGAUUUCCCAUAAUUAAUAUGCAAAUUUAGAAUAAUUCUUAAAUGACCAUCAGAUUAUGCAUGAGAUUGAAUGUAAUGAUGCAUGAAUGCAACAAGAAGGAUUUAAUGACGUAAAUGCAUGCAUACACAAUAAAAGAAAAAAAGGUUAGUAAACAUAAUAUACAUAAAGAACAAUUUAAUAUAUACAAAAAAUAACGUAAAAGGUUAGUAUACAAAGAAAAUACAUAAAUUUACAAGCAAAAUAAAUGUCCCAUCAUGUAUCUUGUUAAGGAUUUUCUAACACAAGAGAAGGUAUGGCUCUACCUAUGGUUAGGCUCUUAAAGUUUUUUAUAUGUAGUUUGGAUUACUUAUAAAAGGUUAUUAAAUUGUUUCUUACAUCAUUGUUCAUCAAAGACUAGUAAGGUACCUCGAUCAUCGCCCAUCAUAGGCUAUAAAUGAAAAAAGUUUAAUCUGAGUGGGAGUGUUUCGCAAGCCCAUAUGAAGACAUGAAAUCUUAUGAAGGUAUAGGUGUUUUAUUCCCUUCUAAGGGACAAAGCUCGGGUAAAGAGCUUAUGUUAUGCAUAUGCAAAUGAAUGAUAGAUAUAUGAAAUAAAAAAUGAAUUGCUAAACAAAAUAUAAGCAAAGAAAAAAAAAAGACAAAAUUUAAAUUUAUUAGGCAAAGCUUGGAUUGAUAAGAAAUUAUUUACUGGUUUGACUCUCAAUUCCCCAGUGAAGUUGCCAAACUGUCAUAACGUAUAGAUCUAUAGACCUACACUAAACAUAAAUUAAAAGAGUCGUCACCAAUCUUUUUUGUGUAGGUGUAAUUAGCCACCUAAUUGAAUUUAUCCUAUUCAAAGAGGAGUCUCAAGAUUUACUUAAGUAUCUUUAAAUAGUAGAGUUUGAUCCACAAAAUCAGAUUUUGGGUUCGAGAGUACAGUUACGUGUAAGGAAGGUUAUCGCACUCCCACAGUGCCCAUCUAAAUGAUGGUAUCAGUUUAAUUUCAAAUUAUUCAAGCCUUAGAUAUGUUUAUAUUUUACCAAAAUAUUUAAUAUUGAAAAUUAAUCCUAAAAUUACCCUAAUAGUUUGGUAGCAAUUUAAGAUAAUUCUCUCACCUUAAGAAUAUUAAUGGAGACUAGUGUCCCACUUUGAAGAGGCUCUGUUUGCCUUGAAUUGAUUAAGAGUUUUGAUUUGACAAAAUAAAAAUUUGUCAAACUUGUUUCAAUCUUGUCUAAGCUUAAAUUGAACAUUUUUCCACCAUUCUAUCUUGCCAAAAUUUAUUUGAGAACCAAAACAACUCAAAUUCUCAGAACAAAACAUUAUUUAUACAAGUUUUGAUAAAAGGGAUCGAUCCCUUCUUUGAAGGGAUCGAUCCCCUCCAUUACCAGAUCGAUCCCCUAGUAAAAGGGAUCGAUCCUGUUUUCAACCAGAAUCGAAAGUUCUUAAGAUUUGGCAAAAACCGAUCGAUCCCCUCCCUGUAGGGAUUGAUUGAUUAACAAAACGGAUCGAUCCCCUUAUUCAAAGGAUCAAUCACUUUUUCAUACAGAAUGCUUUUUUCGUGUAAUUUUCCAGAAAAGAGAUCGAUCCCCUCACACAGAGGAUAGAUCACCUAAGGUAAAAGAUCAAUCCCUUCUUAAAAGGAUUGGUCGGUUGUUCAUAGAAUGUCGCCCAAGUGUGGAAACCCAGAAAAGGGCUCAAUCUCCCCAUAUAGGAGAUCGAUCACCUAAAAGAACAGAUCGAUCCCUCAAGCAAGGGAUCGAUCGGGUAAGGUCAAAUAUGCAUAAAAUCGAGCUUUUCUCAAACAUAAACCAAUCAAUCCCCUAAGAGAGGGGAUCGAUCCCCUGAAGGCCUGAAACUCUCAAAGGUUAUUUUCUAUCCAAAAUUUUUGUAGGUUUGAAGCAUUAAAUGCAAUCCAACGGCUCUCAACUUCUUCCUAACUAUAAAUCAAGCAUUCCACUGCAGACCCAGAGUAACAAGAGCAAAAGAAACUUAUUGCUAUUCACCUACCAAUUUGCUCAAGUAUUCAAAGCUAUAAAAAGAGAAAAGUGUAGAAUUCAUAUAAGUUUUUUCCUACUUUCUUAUCCAUACAUUUGUGUACUUCAACUUAGCAAACACCUAGCCUUUGUGAGAUUCUUAAAGUUUGCCAGACACUUUUAAAUUUUUUGUAUUGUAAGUGUGUAAGCUUAAGGGGAAGGAUAACCCUUAAGAGUGUAUGUUGUUGAGUUUGUAAAGCUUUGUGAAAGCUUAGUUGUAAUCUUCAUCAAAUAGUGGAUUGAACUUCUUAGCAAGAAAGGCUAAGGGAGAUGACGUAGGUGCCUAAGAAAGGAUCGAACCUCUAUACAUCUUGGUGUUAAAUUCUUUAACCCUAUCUUUUAUUUAUAUUCAUCUAUUGUGCUUAUCUGUUUUGAUAAUUUGUGAUUAUUGAAUAUUAUCUUUGAAAACUUUAUUAAAACCAAUUCACCCCCCUCUUAGUUUAUUUCAAGUCUUUAAGCUAACAAUUGGUAUCAGAGCUAGUACUCUUUUCUGUAGGUUUAAUAACCCAAGAGUGAUCCUGAAAAUGGCUCAAAAAAAUAUGAUAAUCAAUGUGAAAGAACCAUUAUCAAGCUACAACAACUAUAUCAGCCAACAAGAGGUGUGUCUCAUGGUAAAUGAAACAGUUGCAACAUCUCUUAGAAGUGAAAGGCAUUCAAUUGUUAGACUUCAUCUCUUUACUAGUGACAACUACUCCUAUUAGAAGACUAGGAUGAAGUUGUUCAUUCAAGCUAAUGAUUAUGAAGUCUGGAGGGUCAUUGUAAAUGGUCCUCAAAUUUUAAUAAAGAUGGUGGAUGGUAAAGAGGUGAUAAAGUUAAAAAGUAAAUGUGAUGUCAAUGACAUGAAGAUGGCUCAACUCAAUACCAAAGCAAUGCACACACUCUUUUAUGCAUUGGGACCAAGUGAGUAUAAUAGCAUUUUUUUGUGUGAAAAUGUAAAAAAAAUUUAGGAUAAACUGGCUAUCACCCAUGAAGGUAUAAACCAAGUGAAGUAGACAAAAAUAGGCAUGCUUACUCAUGAUUAUGAGCUGUUCAAGAUGAAACCCGCUGAAACCAUUAGUGAGAUGUUAAACCGUUUUACCGACAUCAUUAAUGGUUUAAAAGCUCUUGAAAAGACAUAUUCAAAUGUGGAGAUGGUGAAGAUAAUUCUAAAUAGUCUACCAAAGAGUUAGGAAGCCAAAGUGAUAGCCAUUAAAGAGUCCAAAGAUUCUCACAUACUUUUUUUGGAUGAACUAAUGGGUCUUUCCUUACUUAUGAAAUGAAGAUAAAAAAGGGACAAGAACCAGUCAAAAAAGGUGACAUUGCUCUCAAAUUUACCUUUCAAGAGGAUGAAGAAAAUUUUACUCAAGAGGAGGAUAAUAAAGAUGAAGAGAUGACCAUGUUUGCAAAGAGAUUCAAAAAGUUCAUGAGAAUGAAUAAGUUCUCAAGUAGGAGAAGACCAUAAAGGGAGAUGACUAAAGGAGAAUCAAGUAAAAGAGAAAGAGAUCAAAUUAUUUGCUAUGAAUGCAACAAAUCGGGUCACAUUAAACUUGAUUGUCCUUUGUGGAAAAAGCAAAACGUGACCAAACCAAAGAAAAAAGCUAUGGUAGCAACAUGGAGUGAUAGCGACUUCUCCGAUGAUAAAUCAAAUGAAGGAGAAGUAGCUUACCUAUAUCUCAUAGCUCUUGAUAAGCCCAAGGUAACCUUUAAUCCAUGUGAUUUAAAUUCAUACUCAUUUGAUGAACUAUAAGAUGCCUAUGAUAAAUUAGCUAUAGAAUUUGAAAACAUGAGCAUGAAAUAUAAAAAAAAAUGGUCACUAAAUUGAAACUAGAAAAUGAGUCAUUAACUAAAGUAAAAGAAGACUUAGAAAAGAAAGUUGAGCUUUUAAAGGUAAAUGUCAAUGACUUGACUAAGAAAAAUAAAAAUCUGCAUAAUUUAUUUUUUAGAUUUUAUAUGGGUCAUCAAAAGCUCAAUGACAUGCUAGAAACAUAAAAAACUUUCUUUGAUAAUGAUGGACUAGGUUAUAAUAGUGACAACAAAGAAACUCACUUGAAAAAUUUUCUUGUUAAGCCAAAUGAUUCAACUAGCAUGUGUGCACAUUGUCAUAAAUUGGGUCAUUCUAUUCAAUAUUGUUCCUUGAAGAAAAUCACUUGUAAAGGUAAGCUCAUUAGAAAAGUGUGGAUUUCAAAAGGAGUUAGCACAUCUCAAGAUGAGGCUACUAAAAUGAAGUGAAUUUCAAAAGGUACAAAAAUUGUUAGUACUAACUCUCAAGGACCCAAGAAAAUUUGGCUAUCCAAAACAAAAAUUUAAUUAUAUUUUUGUAGAUGGAUGAGCGUUGCUACAAAGUAAAUUCAAGCAAGAACAAUCAAUGGUACCUUGAUAGUGGAUGCUCAAAACACAUGAUCGGAGAUAAAACUCUCUUUAAAGACUUGAAAGCAAAAAGUAUAGGAGAUGUUACAUUUAGUGACAACUCAAAAGGCUAAAUUGAAGGGAUUGGCUCCAUUGGUAACAAUUCCUCUACUUCUAUUGAAAAUGUUUUACUUGUGAAAGGUCUUAAGCAUAAUUUACUUAGCAUCAGUCAAUUAUGUGAUAAAUGAUUUAGAGUUGUGUUUGAAUCCAUAUGCUGUUAAGUAAUUGAUGUCAAAACUAACAAGCUUGUUUUUGUUUGACACUGUCAAGAAAAUAUUUAUGUAGUGCAUCUAGAUGACCUAUCCUCUAAAAAUGUUUAUUUUAUGGCUCAAAAAGAAAAUAAGAGUUGGAUUUGGCAUAAAAGAAUUGGACAUGCAAGUAUGCAUGUAAUUCAAAACUUUUUCAAAAUAAUUUGGUUGUUGGCUUGCCAAAGUUAAAAUAUGAAAAUGACAAGGUUUGUGAUACAUGUGCUAAAAAAAACAUAGAAGAAUCUCUUUCAAACCUAAGAAUUGCAUUUCAACUACUAGACCUCUUCAACUAUUACAUAUUGAUCUUUUUGGCCCUACUAGAAUAAUGAGUCUUUGUGAAAAAUAAUAUGGGUUUGUUAUUAUUGAUGAUUUUACUAGAUUCACAUGGGUUUUCUUUUUGCAUUCAAGAAUGAGGCCUUAGAAAAAUUCAUCACUUUUAGCAAACAAAUACAAAAUGAAAAAGGUUAUUCAAUUACUAGCAUUAGAAGUGAUCAUGAAAAAAAAUUUGAAAAUCUAGGCUUUAAUGUAUUUUGUAGUGAAAAUGGUAUUAGCCACAAUUUUUUUGCUCCUAGAACUCUUCAACAAAAUGGAGUAGUAGAAAGGAGAAAUAGAACUUUAGAAGGAAAUGGCUAGAACUAUGUUUUGUGAAAAUAAUUUACCUAGAUAUUUUUAGACAAAAGCCAUAAAUACUUCUUGCUAUAUUAUAAAUAGAGCUAUGAUUAGGCCAAUUUUGAAGAAAAUACUUUAUGAACUUUUUAAAGGAAAAAGGUCUAACAUAAGUUAUUUUCAUCCUUUUGGUUGCAAAUGUUUUAUUUUGAACAAUGAAAAAGAUGAUCUUGGUAAAUUUGAUGCAAAAAGUGAUGAAAAAAUUUUCUUAAGAUAUUCUUUGAACUCAAAAGCUUAUAGAGUUUUCAAUAAAAGAACAUUAGUGGUUGAAGAAUCUAUACAUGUUAUUUUUGAUGAGUCAACCCACCUCCGAGAAAGGUGCUACUUGAUGAUGAUGUAGGUAUACUUAAAAAAUGGAUCAAUGAUGCACCUCAUGACAUUAAGGAGAAAAAUCAAAAGGAAGAAGAUGAGUUUCUAAAAGAGAGAGAGCCAAGUCAUCUUAGAAAAAAGAGAUAUGUUAAAGAUAGUGAAAUCAUUGGUGAUCCAACUCAAGGGGUAAGAACUAGAUCUUCUUUUAAUGUGUGUAAUUAUGUUACUUUCCUAUCCCAUAUUGAACCUAAAAAUAUAGAUGAAGCAUUAGGAGAUGAUUAUUAGAUUUUGGCCAUACAAGAAUAAUUGAACCAAUUUGAAAGAAGCCAUGUAUGGAAUUUUAUACCUAGGCCUAGUGAUCAUCCCACCAUAGACACCAAAUGGGUCUUUAGGAAUAAAAUGGAUAAGAAUGGAAAUACAUUAGAAACAAAGCUAGAUUGGUAGCUCAAAGUUAUAGGCAAGAGGAAGGAAUAGAUUAUGAUGAAACCUAUGCCCCGGUAGCAAGGUUAAAAGCCAUAAGGAUGUUGCUUGUAUUUACAUGUUUUAAAAAUUUUAAGCUUUUUCAAAUGGAUGUCAAGAGUGCAUUUCUUAAUGGUUUUAUAAAUAAAAAAGUGUAUGUAGAGCAACCUCCCUGUUUUGAAAAUCCAAAAUUUCCAAAUCAUGUUUAUAAAUUGACAAAAGCAUUAUAUGGUUUAAAACAAGCUCCUAGAGCUUGGUAUGAAAGAUUGUCAAUUUUUUUGAUGAAAAUGAUUUUAAUAGAGGGAAGGUUGACACUACACUUUUUAUUAAAACAAAAGGUAAAGACAUUUUGAUAGUGUAAAUUUAUGUUAAUGAUAUUAUAUUUGAUGCUACUAAUAAAAUUCUUUAUCAAGAAUUUGCUAAGAUUAUGCAAAGUGAAUUUGAAAUGAGCAUGAUGGGAGAACUCAUAUUCUUUUUGGGACUACAAGUAAAGUAAACAAAAGAUGGCACCUUCAUUAAUCAAGCCAAAUACAUCAAGGAUUUUGCUUAACACCAAUGAGCACUUCAAUAAAGCUUGACAAGGAUGAAGAAGGUAAAUGUGUUGACUCUAAACUAUGUAGGUCUAUGAUUGGUUUAUUACUAUAUCUUACUGCUAGUAGACCUGAUAUUAUGUUUAGUGUAUGUCUAUGUGCUAGAUUUCAAUCAUCUCCUAGAAAAACACAUUUGUCUGCUGUCAAAAAGAUUUUUAGAUACCUUAAGGACACCUCAAAUUUAGGAUUAUGGUAUCCAAAAGGCUUUUUUUUUGCUUUACAUGUCUAUUUUGAUGCGGAUUUUGGUGGAUGCAAAAUUGAUAAAAAAAACACUUCUGGUAAUUGUCAAUUGUUUGAAAAUAUGCUCAUAUCAUGGUUUUUCAAGAAAUAAAAUAGUGUUGCUCAAUCUACAAUCGAAGCUGAAUAUGUAGCAAUUGGAAGUUGUUAUGCCCAGGUUUUAUGGAUUAACAACAAUUAGAGAAUUUUGGAAUAACUAUGGAUCAUAUUCCCAUUAAAUGUGACAAUAUUAGUGCCAUCAACCUCACUAAAAAUCCAAUUCAACACUCUAGAACCAAACAUAUUGAAAUUAGGCAUCAUUUUAUUAGAGAUCAUUUUCAAAAGGGUAACAUUGUACUUGAAUAUGUUGACAGCUUGCAUCAACUAGCUGAUAUCUUCACAAAACCUCUUGAUAAUGAUAGAUUUUAUGCAAUUGAGGUGAACUUGGCAUAAUGAAUGUUCCUUGAAGUGAAUUUCUUGAUGUUAUGAUGUAUGGUGCACUCUUGAUUGAUUAAAUGUAUGUUUUCUUGAAUUUUUCUUUGGUUUGUGCAUGAUUGUAAAAUGCUUGUUUGAAUGAUCAUAUUGCAUGGUUUUUAACAAGCUACAGCAAAAAUCAAUCGAUCUUCUUUGGAAUGGAUUGAUUGGUUCUUCACCCAGUAGCUAAAGUAAAGAGAAAACAUAAAGAACCGAUCGAUCCCUUUUAGACAGGAUCGAUCGGGUGUAAAGACAGUAGCCAAUUUCGUUGAACCUAAGAAGAAUCGAUCGAUCCCCCUUAGAAUAAGAUUGAUCGAGUGUAAAGGCAGUAGCCAAUUUUUUUGAACCUAAGAAGAAUCGAUCGAUCCCUUUUGGAAUAGGAUCGAUCGGGUGUGAAGGCAGUAGCCAAUUUCACUGAACCCAGAAAGAACUGUUCGAUCCUUUCUUUGACAAAAUCGAUCGGGUAUUCAACUAGUAGCUAAAAUGACUUGGAAAGGCACAAAACCAAUCGAUCCCUUUCAAACCCAAUCGAUCAGUUUCAUGUAAAAGCCCAAAAUCGAGGUCCUCACCUAUUUGGUCGAUCUUUUCAUCUUUUCUCUCCUAUUCAUCUUUUUCCCCAACUUUUUCUCUCUACACCCUACAUAUUCUCACUCACUUUUCACCAAAAUUUGACUCUUUCUCUUGUAAAUUUCUUUUGUGAACUCGCUACCCACUGUUUCUUACUUAUCAACUCAUCUCCCAUGACACCCAGAACCAAAGUCACAACUAGACGAUGAAACCCUCUAAGAGAGGUUUCAAGCUCCACCAUGAAGCAUUCUUUCAACCAAAAUUUUAACAAUCUCGAAGCCAAAGAGCGAUAUGAGACACACUUUACUCACUGGGAAGUAAAGCCUGGAAGGGUAAUCUCACUAGACUUCCUUCAAUCAAUAGAGUUUUUCUAUUUGUAUACUUUUGAGUCUUUUGGAUGGAUGCCUUACUUGUGUUCGGAGAGUCGCUUAUUCGAGAAUCUAGUAAAAGUCUUCUAUAGUAAUGCUAGCUGUGUUUAAAUUGAAGGAACAAAUAGGUAUUACCUUGAUAGGUUCAGAACAUAUGUAAUAGGGAAAUAAAUCUUAGUUACAAAACAAAUGCUAGCUAAGGCCUUUACGUUAGCUGAUGAAGGAGAGACAUGUACUAGAUGUGAUAUGGUGCAACUAGCUCAAGAUAUCUUUAGGAAUCAUAAUUUACAGGUUGUUUCCACACAAGCCUCUAGGUUACCCAUGCAUGAUCGGUUGCUACACCUCAUUGUAACCCAUGGUUAACUCCUUUUAGGACACAAUACUCUACCAUUAGGAAACAAGAUUAUUGGUGGAUGUACAAGAUCAAGCAUAAAUAAAAACCAAAUUUGGUGCACUUCAUUUUUAGUGACAUGAUGAGGAUUGUCCAAAAUAGAGAUGUUACUCUGAUAUAUGGGUAUGCUAUAAGCAAUCUUUUGAGACAUUUAGAAGUAAACACUAGAGGCAACAGAGAGAUGCGCGUCAAUAACCCAUUUAAUAUUCUUGGGCCUCCCACAUUGCAUAGUAUGGAGUAUGUUGAAACUCCAGCUAGCCAAUAGGUUAAAAAGAGGGAUAUUGGUGUUACAUAAGAGGAAAAGGAAGAGCAAGACCAUGUAGAUAUGCCUGCACCUCAAGGAGAACCUCUUAGAACACCUUUUGACACUUAAGGUGCCCUAGAGAUGCUUUUGCUUCAGAUGAAUAGCCUGCACUAGGUGAUUGGCACUAUGAGCACUAGAUUGAAGUCCAUUGAGGAAACUCAAAAUAAACUUAUGGCACAAGUCUGGCAUCUUCGAGCUGAUAUUGAGCAUAUGAGGUCUACUCCUCAGCACAUGGGACAAUCUUCACAUUACUCUCCUCUUUCACCUCCAUCUCUUCAUUUUUCACCUUCACUUCAAUGAAGCCUUCUUACUACCAUCUCUUAUGUUUUCCCAUUUUUUUUUAUAUUUUGUAAAUAUAACUUUGCAUUAUAGUUUGUAGACUUUGAUCUUUAUAUUAACGCAACUUAUCUUUUAUUCUCUUGUGGCUUGUGACUUUGUGGCUUGCGGCAUUAUUAUGUGGUUUCAUGUUUGAAGUGACCUUGGGUGGCCUUGAAUUGUUUAUUCCCUCAUUUUGAUUUGCUUCAUUUAGUAUUUUUGCUAUGACAAAAAAGGGGAGGAAUAUUGGUAUGAAAAUUUGAUGAUGUUUUGAUAUUAAUAAUGAUGCUUUGAUAUUGAUGAUAUAUUGAUGGUUAUGAUGAUAUUACUCUUGUCUAGUUGCCUUAAAUCUUAUGCCUAAAUUCAUAGGGAGUUUGCCUUUCAUAAGUUCAAGGGGAGCUUCUUUUCAAAAGGAAAAAUAUUUUUCAUGCAAAUUUUUCAUUUGGUUUUGUCAUAUAAAAAAAGGGGAGAUUGUUGGCCUUGAAUUGAUUAAGAGUUUUGAUUUGACAAAAUAAAAAUUUACCAAACUCGUUUCAAUCUUGUUUAAGUUUAAAUUGAACAUUUUCCACCCUUCUAUCUUGCCAAAAUUUAUUUGAGAACCAAAACAACUCAAAUUCUUAGAACAAAACAUGAUUUAUACAAGUUUUGAUAGAAGGGAUCGAUUCCCUCCAUUACCAGAUCGAUCCCCUAGCAAAAGGGAUCGAUCCUAUUUUCAACCAGAACCAAAAGUUCUCAAGAUUUGGCAAAAAUCGAUCGAUCCCCUCCCUAUAAGGAUCGAUUGGUUAGCAGAACGGAUCGAUCCCCUCAUUUAAAAAAUUGAUCACUUUUUCAUACAGAAUACUUUUCUCAUGCAAUUUUCCAAAAAAGAGAUCGAUCCCUUCACAUAAAGGAUCGAUCACUUAAGGCAGAGGAUCGAUCCCCUCUUAAAGGGAUCGAUUGGUUGUUCAAACAGAAUAUCCCCUAAGUGUGAAAACCCAAAAAAGGGAUUGAUCCCCCCACAUAGGGGAUCGAUCACCUAAAAGAAAAGAUCGAUCCCAUCAAGCAAGGGAUCGAUCGAGUAAGGUAAAAUAGGCAUAAAAUCGAGCUUUCUCAAACAUGAAUCAAUCAAUCCCCUCAAGAAAGGGAUUGAUUAGGUAAGGCAAAAUAGGCACAAAAUUGAGUUUUUUCAAACAUGAACCAAUCAAUCCCCUAAGGAAAUGGAUCGAUCCCUUGAAGGCUUAAAACUCCCAAUGGCUAUUUUCUAUCCAAAAUUUCUGCAGGUUUAAAGCAUUAAAUGCAAUCCAAUGGCUCUCAACUUCUUCCUAACUAUAAAUCAAGCAUUCCAUUAUAGACCAAGAGCAACAAGAGUAAAAGAAACUUAUUGCUAUUCACCUACCAAUCUUCUCAAGCAUUCAAAGCUGUAAAAAAAAAAAAAAUGCAGAAUUCAUAUAUGUUUUUCUCUACUCUCUUAUCUAUACAUUUGUGUACUUCAACUUAGCAAACACCUAGCCUUUGUGAGGUUUUUAAAGUUUGCCAAACACUUCUAAAUUUUUGUAUUGUGAGUGUGUAAGCUUAAGGGGAAGGAUAACCCUUAAGAGUGUAUGUUGUUGAGUUUGUAAAGCUUUGUGAAAGCUUAGUUGUAAUCUUCAUCAAAUAGUGGAUUGAACUCCUUAGCAAGAGAGGCUAAGGGAGAGGAUGUAGGUGCCUAAGACAGGACCGAACCUCUAUAAAUCUUGGUGUUAAAUUCUCUAACCCUAUCUCUUGUUUAUAUUCAUCUAUUGUGCUUAUCUGUUUUAAUAAUUUGUGAUUAUUGAAUAUUAUCUUUGAAAAUUUUAUUAAAACUAAUUCACCCCUCUCUUGGUUUAUUCCAAGUCUUUNNNNNNNNNNNNNNNNNNNNNNNNNNNNNNNNNNNNNNNNNNNNNNNNNNNNNNNNNNNNNNNNNNNNNNNNNNNNNNNNNNNNNNNNNNNNNNNNNNNNNNNNNNNNNNNNNNNNNNNNNNNNNNNNNNNNNNNNNNNNNNNNNNNNNNNNNNNNNNNNNNNNNNNNNNNNNNNNNNNNNNNNNNNNNNNNNNNNNNNNNNNNNNNNNNNNNNNNNNNNNNNNNNNNNNNNNNNNNNNNNNNNNNNNNNNNNNNNNNNNNNNNNNNNNNNNNNNNNNNNNNNNNNNNNNNNNNNNNNNNNNNNNNNNNNNNNNNNNNNNNNNNNNNNNNNNNNNNNNNNNNNNNNNNNNNNNNNNNNNNNNNNNNNNNNNNNNNNNNNNNNNNNNNNNNNNNNNNNNNNNNNNNNNNNNNNNNNNNNNNNNNNNNNNNNNNNNNNNNNNNNNNNNNNNNNNNNNNNNNNNNNNNNNNNNNNNNNNNNNNNNNNNNNNNNNNNNNNNNNNNNNNNNNNNNNNNNNNNNNNNNNNNNNNNNNNNNNNNNNNNNNNNNNNNNNNNNNNNNNNNNNNNNNNNNNNNNNNNNNNNNNNNNNNNNNNNNNNNNNNNNNNNNNNNNNNNNNNNNNNNNNNNNNNNNNNNNNNNNNNNNNNNNNNNNNNNNNNNNNNNNNNNNNNNNNNNNNNNNNNNNNNNNNNNNNNNNNNNNNNNNNNNNNNNNNNNNNNNNNNNNNNNNNNNNNNNNNNNNNNNNNNNNNNNNNNNNNNNNNNNNNNNNNNNNNNNNNNNNNNNNNNNNNNNNNNNNNNNNNNNNNNNNNNNNNNNNNNNNNNNNNNNNNNNNNNNNNNNNNNNNNNNNNNNNNNNNNNNNNNNNNNNNNNNNNNNNNNNNNNNNNNNNNNNNNNNNNNNNNNNNNNNNNNNNNNNNNNNNNNNNNNNNNNNNNNNNNNNNNNNNNNNNNNNNNNNNNNNNNNNNNNNNNNNNNNNNNNNNNNNNNNNNNNNNNNNNNNNNNNUCUCAACUAGUGCCUUGCAGACCGGUAAGAGAGUGCAAUACGAUAAUUCAAAUCCCCAAGCCAAAUUAUUCGACUGGAUUAAUAAUAAAUAGUCAGUAUGCAAACAUCAUAAAUAAUAUUACAAUAAACCAAUUCAAUUUUUCAUCAAAUCAUAAUGACUUUAUUUCUAUAUGUUGUUUCAGAUCUAUUCUUGAUCUACUUUCAAAUUCCUUUUGUCCCUUAUGAAUUUCUAAUUCAUUCAAGUAAUCUUAAAGGAAAAAAAAAAACUAAUUGAUGGUAGACAGCAGAGGCCUUACUCAUGCUCAAGGAUUGUUUUCAGGGGGACUUCUUAUCAGCUGCAUUACCAACUCGCGAAACUUGUCUUCUUAAGAAUCUCCAUGACAUCAGAGUUCCUUCUUAGCUCAUCACCUCCUUUUGUCCCGAAGUUAAAUGACUACAGAUGAAGCAAAAGCUGUUUGACGCACCGACAUACUGACAGAAUAGAACCCUGGCAAAACCAAGCCAUAUGAUUUAAUCACAAGUGGCUUCUGAUUCUUGAGGGAAAAGUGAUUUAUAGCAAAAUAACGUGAAAACUACCAUUUACAGCUAAAGUAAUACCUUAUUUCCGAGAUAACCCAUCAAUCCUCUGCCAAUACAAGAUACUUUCAUGUUUUUUGACAUGAUCUCUCAACUCACUUCUGACCCAAAUUGUGAGAAAAUAUGCCAACCAUUUGCUUACUAGCCACUAAGCAGUACCUAGAAUGCCCAGGCACCCUAUAUGCCUGUUCAUUGGAUGCAGAUCCACCAUAGGACAUCGGAAAGUACAAUACAGUACUGGGUGAAUCUGCAACCCCAUUAUCAUCAUCUGAAGAACCCCAUCUAGAGUAAUCACUAGGCCUGGAGUAAUCGCUAGGCCGGGAGUAAUCACUAGGCCUAUUACUCCAUCUAUAACUGGAGUCAUAGUCACUUGGCCUAUUACCAAAUAUCACCCGAUCACAAACACUAAAUCGCCUGUCAAGUGGUGGCUGCAAAACCGAGGGGUCAUUGUCCAUUCUCCAGCUGCUGGGUGUCUGAAAUGAUCGGCGAUUGAAAAAAAGAUGAAUUCUUCUGCCUAGAUGACCCCUCAAAAUCAGCAUCUAUCUCAACAAUGGGCUGAGGAACAGGAGAUGGGAGUAUAGCAUCCCCCACCUCCAUUGGUUCCAGGAAGAUUGUUUAGAGUCUUUCUUAUGAGAGACAACCAUUUUUGGCAGGACCAUUGUCUUCUGCCCCCAAAAUAUUCCCAGCAUUCAAAGGAAACUAUCUCUUGAAACCUGUAAGAAAUCACAUGGUAAAUAAACUAUUCUUUGAGCAACGGAUCUACAACAGAGUUUGGUAAACAAAACAUGAAGAUCAAAACUGUCAAAACAUACCCAAGGACAUAUAUAUCUGCAGGAGGUGAGGCAUGAAGCAAAUCUUCUAGAUUCAAAUUACUAGGUGGGGAUUUUCCAGCCACAUUCCAUGUAGUUACAAAAAUACUGCUCCAAUGGAAAAGAGGAUGGUUGGUACUGAUGCAUCACAAAGGAAUACAAGUGAUAAACAAUUCUUUAUAAAAUUUAAAUAAAAGAUACCUAUAAUUUUGGACAUCUAUGAUUCGAGGGUGAUCAAGAUUCAUUCUCCCACGCCAGCUUUGCUCUGUAUUCUUACUAAACUUUUCUGCACAUCAAAGCAACAUUUUAGAAAAUUAUUAAUAAUAAAGACCUCAGCACAAUUUCUUUUUAGAAACAGCCAAACAAUUCCCCAAAAGCUGGUGAGCUUGGAAACCUGUAUUACUCUUUUUGAUUGUGCAUGGCUCCCUUUCUGAGAAACUAGCCCUGUAUUCCACUUCACCUCCUGAAGAUUGAAAAACAAAGAGAAACACUGUAAUAUAUCAACCCAAGUUAUACAUACGAGUUAUGAAACAGAGCAAAAACUGUAGCCAAAAAAAAAAAAAAAAGAAACAUAACAAAAAUUUAGAAAUUGAAUUAAAGAGAAGACAUCAGAAUCUUGAGUACCGAUAAACAGAAUCCAGGAAAAGAUAAACCUUCAAUUGACCAAGUAAUCCAUGAUAAGUUGGCAUGUUCUGAUUGAAUAGAGGGAAAAUAUUCUCUUUACUUUUCACAACCAACCAGUCUACUUCUCUGGCAUAAAAGCUUGAGAUUCUAAAUCCUAACCAUUUCUAUAGUUGAUGAAUACUAAAGCAAUGGUUGUGAAAUCCCAGAAAGAAGCUCAAGUACCCACCUCCGUAAACAUGAUCAUCUGCUUGAAAGUCCUCAGUUUUGCUCUUGAUAUUGAACCAUUUUCUGACCAUUUUUUUGGACCAUAAGAACUACACCCAAAAAUUAAACAAAUAAUAUAUCUUUUCCAUAAAUUUGAGUACGGAGAACCAGAAACUGAAAAAGAUGAAGGACAAAAUAAAAACCUUGCUUUUCUUGGGUUUCCCAUCUAUCAUUGUUAGACUUCUACUUCAUAUAGCUCCUAAUCACUACAAAAAAGGGUUACUAAAACCCCAUAGGCAGCAUUCUCCUCGUCCAAUUUCUGGGCUUUUUUGCUGGAGUAAAACAAGCUGAGCUUCUUUGGUCCCAGAUACUUAACUAAGCAAACAAAUAUCUUAUCUUCGAUUGCUCAAAAACAAAGUUAAAUUUGAACCAAAGAGAAGGCAACAAGAAAUGGAGUUGUCUUAGUUUCCUCUUUCUAGUGCUACUAUGUGUAUGAAAGCAAAGAAAGUAGCCAAAAACCCAGAAAAUAUGAAGGUCCAAGUCCAACGACUAUAGAACAAGAGAGAGGAAUAGGGAAAGCCCUUUAACGCGUGGAAGUGAGAUGAGAACAAGGGGUAUUCUUAAAGUAGAACAAGAGAGAGAAAGCUCAUAUGAACAAGCAGCCACCCGUCUUUCUUUGUUAAACAAAGAGAGCCUCGUUCUCGGUAAAACAGCAGAGUAUCGAAUUUGAACAGAAUAAAAUGCAGUUGGGGGAGAAACUUGAUGUACGUUAUAACGUAAAACACAUAAUUAGUCGCUUCUACUUCGUGUGGACCGUGGAAUUUGGUAAUGGUAUGUUUAUAUGAUAUAAAAUAUUAAAAUUUAUGUAUUUAUAUUAUAUUAUAUAUAAAAAUUAUAUUAUAAUUUAUAUUAAUAUAAAAAAAAUUUUUUUUUAUUUUAUUAAAUUUAUAUAUAAUUAUUUAUAAAAUUUUGAAUAAUUUAUAUUUAUAUUUUUUUUGUGUUUGUGUCGUGUUAUUUACUAUAUUUUAAAUUAUCAAAUUUAUGUAAAUAUUUUUAAAAUAAUCACUUAAUUAUUAAUUUUUUAAUUUAAUAAUUUAAAUUUGAAUAAAUAAUUUUUUUAUUAUUUAAUUAUUAAUUUUUAAUAAUAUAUUGACGUGACAUUAUUACCGUAGCCAUUAUGUGUCACUUGACAUUAUAAUAUUAUUUGAUAUAUUACAUGGCAUUACACAUUAUGAAUGUGAAAAUAAUGUGAAAAUGUUACAUGAUAUUUAAUAGUUGAUGUAAUAAUAUUAUAUUAAAAUAUUAUUAAAGAUUAAUAAUUGAAUAAUAAAAAAUAAUUACUUAAAUUUAAAUGAUUAAAUUAAAAAAUUAAUAGUUAAAUGAUUAUUUUAAACACACAUCUUAGUUGAGUUAUUAAUGUAUUUACCCCUAUGCUUUUUAUGUUCCCUCAAAUAUCAAGGUAAUUCCAACAUCACAGGGCAAGGGGCGGGGGGUCAAAGUCGUUUGGUUCCAUGUAUUGUAUGUUAAAACGAGAACGUCUGGUUAAGGGAAAGACUGCCCGGGUCAGCAAAGUGUUUAAGGGUAGUAACUGGUAAGGCAUCUACCAUGCCCCUCCACUGGCAGCUGUCUUUGAACCCCCUUUCUCUUCUUUAAACUCAUCCCAAUUUAUGGUCUUCCAUCAAGCAUGAAACGCAGUUAAGGAAAAAGAUAAAAAGAGAAUGCUUAGUAGAAGUAGUACUACUGCAUUUUGUUUCCGUCUCUUUCUCUCUUUCGUAUUUUAUUUUGGGUUUUUUAUUUUGUUACAUUUGAUGCAUUAUUGGUUUAUAGAUUCAGUUUAUUAUACAUCAUGUGUUUAAUUUAGAAUAUUAUGAUAGAAUAAGAUAAGAUAAUAAUAUCAAAGUCAUGUUUGAUGCAUAAAAUUAUUGAUAUGAUAGAAUGAUAAUUAUCUUAUAUUAUAUUUGAUUUAUAUCUAAAAAGAAAAAUAACGAUUGCAAGAAAGAUUAAUAUUCUUUUGACAUAGGAUUAUUCGAUCUUCCCCAAGUGGAAAGGAUUAUUUUUAACAUUAAACUUACAUGUCUAAUUAUAUAAUUAAAAAUUACAUUAAUAAUUUAAAUUGUAUAAAUUUUAAAAAAAGAUAAUUUUGAUUGAUAAAUAAAUUAUCAUAUCAUAAUUCUUAUAGAUAUCAAACACAAAAUAUGAUGACAUUAUUUAAUCUAAUCCUAUACAUAAUAUUAUCUUAUUUUAUCUUAUCAUAAUCAUGUAUAUCAAAAAUUAUCUUUAAUAGUAUUAUAUUAAAUAAUAUCAUUUUAUCUUGUAUUUACAUGUAUAAAUAUUAAAAUAAGAUAAUUUAUUUAUUUGUCAAAAUUAUCUUUUUUAAAAGUUUAUAUAAUUUAAAUUAUUAAUAUAAUUUUUAAGAAUAUAAUAAAACAUGUAAAUUUAAUCCUAUGGAUUAAAAAUAAUCUCUUCAAUUUGAGAAAAUUAAAGCAUCUUAUAUCAAGAGAAUGAUUAACAAUUAUUUGUGUAAUCCUAUCCCCUUUUUUAGAUAUAAACUAAACAUAAUAUAAGAUGAUUAUUAUCGUAUCUUAUCUAUUAUCCUAUGUACUAAAUAUAAUCUUAAUGAAUUGUUAAAUAUUAUCUCAUCAAUAAAUUUUUGUGUAUUUGUUUAGUAUUUAUAUUUUUUUGUAUGCAAGAAAAGUCAUAGCCUAAGAAAGAGAAAAGGGUUAAAGUGUUGGGUUCAAAAUCUAAAUUUGUUAAAUGUUAUUUUUUAAAAAUAAUUAUAUGAAUCAAUUAAAUUAAAAUUUUAAAUUUAUUUUAAAAUUUAUAGUUAAUGUACUUACAUUGUAUAAUACUAUACACGUCAUUAAAAAUUAAUUUUGAAUGUAUUUUCAGGAUUAAGUGUAUUUUUUUUAGAUUUUAAAAUUUUAAAAUUAAGGUUUUUUUUUUACAAAAUAUCAGUGUUCAUUAACAGUGUAUGAUAUUUAUAUACUAACAUCAAAUAUAAGCUCAUUAUUUAAAGGGUUUAUAAGAAUUUGUAUUGAAUCAUUGAUAAAAUAACAUCAUCUAAUUCAUUUAUACAUAAAAUAUUAUCAAAUAUAAAUUUUUUGUUUUAUUCUUUUCUGGCUAUGACAACUUGGAAAAAACCGUUUUUGUUUAGGGAGGCUGUUACUAUUAGUGUUGGUGCAUUGACAUAGCGAUACUUCUCCUGUAUACAGUAGUUAAUAGGCAAAUAGCCUAAAACUUAUGAUUCUGCAAGAAAUUCUUAGUUUUUCAAGAUUCCCUGGAAAUACUUAUUUUUUUAAUUAAAACCUUUUGUAGAUGUGGAGCAAUGUGCAAGACCAAGAUUAGCUCUGCAGAUUGAUUAACUACAGGAAAAGAAAGUGAAGGAGUGUAGGGAAUGUAGGGAAUGUUGUUAACUAAUCUGACUGUUUUCACCCAAUCUAGGCCACUGCCCUUGCAAACGAAGGCAACUGCCCCAGUCUUGGGGCUUUAGGAUGUUACUGUUCUUUCUUCUUUAUCACUGUCCUAGUUAAUCUGAGCUACUAUGAAACUUCCUUUUCCGGCGCUGGACCAUAUAUAGGUUAAUGUGAUUUUCAACUUUUUCUCUUAAAUUUUGGCUACUCGUGAGAGGAGAGCCUCUGGGGAAAGCACGCUUUAAUUAAUUUAUAUGAUAGAGGGGCAAGCCCCUAAAAUUUUCUAGUUUCUAAAGCCUCCGCCGUUCAGGCUUGCUCCUCGGGCCAACAACUAGGACUGUAAACGAGCCGAGCCGAGCCGAGUAGUGAGAAGCUCGAGCUCGAGCUCGACUCACAACUCGGGACUCGAUACUCGACUCGAGCUCGAUCGAAUUUUAUUUUUCAAGCUCGAGCUCGAUUCGUGAUCGAAUUCGAGCUACUCGAGCUCGCUCGAUUAAGCUCGAUUAAUAUGUAAAAAUAAGCUCGAUUUGUAUACUCGACAAGAGUUCGAUUAUUCAUGCUCGAACUCGAACUCGAACUCGAAUUCGAAAUAUUUUUUUAAUUAAAAAAAAUAAAAAUAUAUUUAAAUAUAAAAGCUCGAUUAGGCUCGCGAGCUACUCGAAUCAGAUAUAAGAAUACUCGAAUUCGGCUCGAUCGAUAAGUCGAGCUACUCGAGCUCGAGCUCGACUCGACAAUAAUCGAACCGAAUUCGAGUUUUUUUCGAAUCGAACCCGAGUAGCUUGCGAGUACUAAUGUAUCAUUUACACCCCUACCAACAACAAUCCUUGUUUACUUAACUAAAAAAGUCUGAAAAUUUUAAAUAUAACAUGAUACAAAAAUAAAAUAAUUUAAAAUUUUAAUAAAAAAUUAUAUAUAUAUUUAAUAAAAAUUAAAAAUUAUAUUAUGUAUUCAAUGUAUUAUAUAUUUAAUAUAAUAAUUUUUAUAUUUUAUAUUUAUUUGACACAAAAUAAGUCGAGUUGUUAACUUUAUUUGUAUCUACUAAAUAUUAAAAAGCAAUACAAACAUGGUUAGUUUAAGACAUUAAGCUCCUCAAAAUUUGAAAACUGCUUUUCUAUUUUGACUAGUCUUUGGCAAAUACAUUUCAGUUUCACUACUAAAACGAGGGAGGCUGUCUGUAAACCUUUGUUCAGUUUCUCUGCCUCGUGAUUUUUGGGACCUAAGCCAAAUUGAUUUUAGCAGCAAAGAUUUUAGAAUAUGGUUUAAGGACAUAUUUUUUUUAUUGAGCUGACGUCGGAGGAACAUUACAUGUUGGGACGCCAUAUAAAACCAAAGUUUCCAAAUAGGAAAAAGAAAAGUAUUAAAACUUGAUCAUUAGGGCUUCCCACUAAGCUCAUAAGUGAAGGCUUGUCCGGCAUCAUAAACCAAUUGUCUCCAAUUAAGGAGUGGCAAGAGAUUGCUUAAAGGUGCCUAGGGUCAUUGUUAUCUACAACAUGAUUAGCCCUCCUGUUCCAUAAUCCCUUUUCUCACCUGGAAAAGCACAUCACUUGGUGUUUUUAUAGGUUCAAUUGAGUGGCCCUUAAAAAGCAAGGUUUGGGUUUUUUUAAGGGUUAAUAUCUUGAAUUAUCUUUAAAUUAUAUUAAAAUAUUUAAUAUAAUAUUUAAAUUUAAAAUUUUUUUAAUGUAUUAUUUAAAUUAUAAAUCUAUUAAUUAAUAUAAUAUUUAUUUUUAAUAUAACUAAUUAAAAUAAUAAUAUAUGAUAGAUAAUAAUUUUUUAAGUAUUAUAUUAAUUAAGAGAUUCUUGCAAAUUUCAUAAGAUGAGCAUGCAAAUUCAAAAUCUAUAUAAUGCUUUAAGUGACGUGCAAAAGGGGCCCACAAGCGAGUUAUCUUUGAAGAAUGAAAUGAAACUUAAGGAGGAACUAAAUGCACUUUUAUAAUAAGAGGAGCCAUUUGGGAAGCAACAUGCUCGCACGGAUUGAUUACGGGAGGGUGAUAAAAACACACAUUUCAUCCAUGCCCAGGUAAAAAAAAAAAAGGAGAAGGAUAAACAGAACUAUAGGAGUGGAGGAUCAUGCUGGAACAUGGUAUGAUGAAAAAAUGCAGAUCUUGGGACACGCAGUGCAAUAUUUGAAAGAACUAUUCAAAACACAGGGUCGGGAAAAUCUAUACAGGAUUCUAGAGUCAAUACCACCGAGUAUCAGGAGAGAUAUGAAUGAAAGGCUCGUCUCUGAAUUUACAAUGGAGGGAGUGUAUAAAGCUAUGAAAUAGAUACACCCUAUAAAGGCUCCAAAACUUGAUGGUAUGUUCGUUAUCAUAACGUAUAGAUCCGUAAAUUUAUCGUUAGAUAUAAAUUAAAAAAGUCAUCAUCAAUUUUUUUUAUUUAGGUAUGAUUAACCAUCUGAUUAAAUCUCUCUUAUUCAAAAAAAAAUCCCAAGACUUACUUAGGUGUUUUUAAAUAAUAUAUUCCGAUCCACAAAAUUAUAUUUUAGAUUUGAAAGUACGGUUAUGUAUGAAGAAGCUUAUAGUACCUCAAAGCGCUAAUCCAAUGGACGGUACCAAUUUGAUCUCAAAUUAUCAAAGCCUUAAAUAUGUUUAUAUUUUAUCAAAAUAUUUAAUAUCGAAAAUUAAUACUAAAAUUACCUUAAUAAUUUGAUAGCAAUUUAAGAUAAUUUUUUCAUCUCAAAAGUAUUCAGGGAGAUUAAUAUCCCACUCUGAAGAGGCUCCGUUGUCGAUUGAUUGAUAUAUUUUAUUCAAAAAAAAUUAGUAAAAUCCUUCGAUAGUUUGGUAGGAUUUACUUUAAGGCAGAUCUCCAAUAGUUUUGUGAGAUUUUAUUUGAAAGAUAUUUAUAAAAUUUUAUUUUCUUGAGAAAAUUCAUUAAAUCUUUCAAUAGUUUGGUAAAAUUUAACUUAAAGUGCAAUCCUUCAAUAGUUUGGUAGGAUAAAUUUUUUUUUUUUAAAUUUAUUUAUGAAAAUUUUUAAUAGUUUUGUGGAUUCCAUAAAAUUAAAAUUCAUAAAAAUUAUCCAAUAAUUUGGUAUGAUUCAUAAAUUUAUUUGAAAAUAUUUUUUUCUUUUUUUUGUUUUAUUUUUGUUUUUCAGAAAUAAAAAAAAAUUUAUAACAUAUUUAAUAAAUAAUAAAUUGUUUAGUAAAAAUAAAUAAUAAAAGUCAGUAAAUAAAAUUAAAAUAAAAUAUAAAACUCAAAAUAUAAAACAAAUAAAAUUAAAAUUAAAAAAUAAAAUAAAAUAAAAAAUAAAAACUUGCGAUCAAGUUAAGUUGAAGCGCGGGUCGACACGUGAGUCAAUAGAUCACAUGUGGAUCUGUGCUUUUCACAACGGUGUCAUUUUGGAACCUUAUAAAAGUCAUGUCCUUUACUUUUUCUUUAGAAACCCCGAUCCUUUUUCUCUUUCUAGCUUCAAAUACUCUGCCUUCUCUUUAAAAGAACAAAAAACAUCAACCAAAAGCUGAAAAAUUCAUCAGUUUCUAAAAAAUAUCACCAAAAUCCCACUGAAAAAUUCAAAGUCCACCAAAAACUUCACAGAAAAAUUCAAACAUUUAACCCCUAAAACUUAAAAUAAUUUAAAAUUUUCUAAAAAAAUUUCAAAAUUUUCCAAAAAUCUAAACUUCGAUCUAGAAGCCUAAAAUCUCAAUCCCAACACUCCAGAAUAGAAAUAAAAAAUUCAAUCCCUUACCAAUCACCAGAACCUCGAAUCCUAAACUUCCAAAACCAAAGUCUCAAAAAUAGCCACCCAAAAAGUUUUUCCAAAAUUUUAAACACAAAGCCUUUUCUCCCAAAAAUCAACCAUGAAUUGUUCUACCCUAUUGUGUCCAAUUUAUAGUCGUCCAAGCUAAGGAUAUACAAUAUUUACCUCAUUAAACUUACUACUCUUGAUGGCAUUUUCAAUAAUCUCCCCUGUAGAUCAUCAUAUCAGUAAAAUUCUUUGUUACAUUCCCUAUCAUCUUCUCAUAAUAUAGUGACUUCAAAGUACUUAUAAACAAAACUGUCAUUUUUUUUUAGUUAAGGGUGGCUAGACCUAAGCAGCUAUAUUUGCCACCUUUGAGCAUAUUUUUUGAAUGAUUCCAUCACUUUUUUUUUUUCAUAUUCUACAAAGUAAGGCGAUCAAGAGCCAUAUCUAUAAUAUAACAAUAUCGAUUGAUGAAGGAACGGAUCAAAUCUUUUCAUGAUCGGAUGUGAAUCCUGUCUAACUAAAUAUACCACUUUGUAGCAGAACCAGUUAAACUAUCUUCAAAAACAUGCAUAAAUAACUUCUUAUUACUGACAUCGACUAUUAUUUUUUGAUAGUACAUGGUGGCAUGAGUUAUCGAACAGCUUAGUUAUCAUUAUACUUUUUCAAACUUGUGGAACUUAAAUUUUGAAAGAACACAAUGAUCUGGGACUAAACAAAGGCUGACAACAUCUAUAGAGUCAUAAAAAUUUAUUCUUAAAACUUUAUUGCUUCAACAGCUCGUAACAUUUCAUCUCAGCCAUGUUUAUCUUGUAAUCAAUUUUUGAAAUCUUCUAAAGCCCUCAACCAUUUGUCAAUUUUCUCCUUUAAGAUAUCCAAAUUAAGAACCUGAAUGGCGCUUCAACUGCCUUUUUUUAUAAGGGCAGGUUAUUGUUGGAGCUUUGGACAUUCCCUUUGUAAAGGUGCAAAACGAAUAUUUUUGAAUAAGUAUAGCUUGUCGAAAAUGCAAUUAUUGUGAUGGAAGACUUGAAGUGGAUUAGGCUUAGUACGGACUAUAACCCAAAAGAUAUAGUGGAUCAAAAAGCUUAUAUAAAACAUUUUUCUCUACUAUUUUUCUCUUAUUCAGCUUACCCAAAGUCUCAAGAAUUUUGCUCAACUCUCUUUUAAUCUCUUUUUGUGCCUUUUCUAAUUUUUCAACAUGGUUAGCAUUAUCUUAUUCCAGUCUUUUAGCUUGGGCUCAGGUGUAAUACCGGUGUUAAACUAUCCUCAAACCUUGAUAUCUUAUAAUUAAUAUGCAAAUUUAGAAUAAUUCUUAUAUAACCAUCAGAUUAUGCAUGAGGAUUGAUGUAAUGAUGCAUGAAAUGCACAGGCGAGAAUUUAAUAAUGUAAAUGAUGCAUACACAAUAAGAAAAAAAGGUUAGUAAACAUAAUAUACAUAAGAACAAUUUAAUAUUUACAAAAAAUGGAAAGGGUUAGAGUAUACAAAGAAAAACAUAAAUUUACAAGCAAAAUAAAUGUCCCAUCAUGUAUCUUGUUAAGGAUUUUCUAACACAAUGGAAUGUAUGGCUCUACUUAUGGUUAUGCUGUUAAAGUUUACUAUAUGUGGUUUUGAUUACUUUUAAAAGGUUCUCAAAUUAUUUCUUACAUCAUUGUCCAUCAGAAACUAGUAAAGUACCUCGAUCAUCGCCCAUCAUAGGCUACAAACGAAAAAAGUUCAAUCUGAGUGGGAGUGUUUCGUAAGCCCAUAUGAAGACAUGAAAUCUUACGAAGGCAUAGGUGCUAUAUUCCCUUCUAAAGGACAAAGCUCGGGUAGAGAGCUUAUGUUAUGCAUAUGCAAAUGAAUAAUAAAUAUAUGAAAUAAAUCAAUGAAUUGCUAAACAAAAUAUAAGCAAGGAAAAGAAAAAAAAAAGAGGAAAAGAAAAAGACAAAAUUUAAAUUUAUUAGGCAAAGUUUGGAUUAAUAAGAAAUUAUUUACUAGUUUAACUCUCAAUUCCCCAAUGAAGUUGUCAAACUGUCAUAAUGUAUAGAUCAUGGACCUACACUAGACACAAAUUAAAGAAGUCGUCAUCAAUCUUUUUUGUGUAGGUGUGAUUGGCCACCUGAUUGAAUUUGUCUUAUUCAAAAAGGAGUCUCAAGAUUUACUUAAGUAUCUUUAAAUAGUAGAUUUUAAACCAUAAAACCAGAUUUUAGGUUCGAUAGUACGGUUAUGUGUGAAGAAGGUUAUCACAUUCCCACAGUAACCAUCUAAAUGAUGGUAUCAAUUUAAUUUCAAAUUAUCCAAGCCUUAAAUAUGUUUAUAUUUUACCAAAAUAUUUAAUAUUAAAAAUUAAUCCUAAAAUUACCUUAAUAGUUUGGUAGUAAUUUAAGAUAAUUCUCUCACCUUAGGAAUAUUAAUGGAGACUAGUGUCCCACCUUGAAGAGGCUCUAUCGUUAGAUUGAUUGAUAUAUUUUUAUUUAGAAAAAUUAGUAACAUCCUUCAAUAGUUUGGUAAGAUUUAUUUUGAUGCAGAUCUCUCAAUAGUUUGGUGAGAUUUUAUUUGAAAGAUAUUUAUAAAAUUUUAUUUUUUUGAUAAAAUUUAUUAAAUCCUCUAAUAGUUUAGUAAGAUUUAACUUAGAUGCAAUCCUUCAAUCAUUUGGUAGGAUUAAAAUUAUUUUUUAUUUUUUUAAAAUUUAUUUAUUAAAUUUUUCAAUAGUUUGGUGGAUUCCAUAAAAUUUAAAUUCAUGAAAUUACCAGCAGUUUGGUAGGAUUUAUGAAUUUAUUUGAAAAGUUUUUUUUGUUUUAUCUUAUUUUGUUUAAUUUUUAUUUUUCAAAAAUAAAAAAAGAAUUUUUAUAAAAUAUUUAAUAAAUAAUAAAUUGCUUAGUAAAAAUAAAUAAUAAAAGUCAGUAAAAUAAAUAAUUAAAAAAUAAAAUAAAAUAAAAACUCAAAAUAUAAAAUAAAUAAAAAGAAAAUCAAAAAAGAAAAACCUGUGAUCAGGUUGGGUUGAAAUGCAGGUCGACACGUAAGUCAACUGGUUACACGCAAAUCUUGGCUCUUUAGAAUGAUGUCGUUUUGGAACCCUAUAAAAGCCAAGUCCUUUGUUUUUUCUUUAAAAGCCCCGAUCUCCUUUCUCUAGCUUCAAAUGCUCUGCCUUCUCUUUAAAAGAACCAAGAACAUUCAACCAAAAAUUAAAAACCCCAUUAGUUUCUAGAAAAUAUCAUUGGAAUUCCACUGAAAAAUUCAAAGUCCACCGAAAAAUUCAAACAUUCGACCCCCAAAACCUAAAAUUUUCAAAAAUUUCCAAAAAGUCCCAAACUUUUUUAAAAGUCUAAACUUUGAUCUAGAAACCCAAAAUCUCAAUCCCAACACUCCAGAGUAGAAAUCAGAAAUCCAAUUCCUUCCCAAUCAUCAGAACCUCAAAUCCUAAACUUCCAAAACCAAAAUCUCAAAAAUAGCCCACCUAAAAAUUUUUUUGAAAUAUUUAAACACAAAGCCUCUUUUCCCAAAAAUCAACCAUGAAUUGUUCUACCCUAUUGUGUCCAAUUUAUAGCCAUCCAGGUUAAAGAUAUACCUAACAUAACACAUGGUUCGUAACCUUUAUGAGUCAUGUUGUGCUAGACACAUAUUGUUUUUCAUGUCUAGACAGACCAAGCACAACUCAUUAAUAGUUUUUCAAAAUUUUAAUUAUUUUUUUAAAAAAUUCAUCUAUUAUUAUUAAAAAUAACAUGCAGAAGAUAAAUAAAAGCAAAAUAAAAUAAAAAGGACACAUAAUUUAUAUGAUUUGACAAAAUAUCUACAUCCACCGAAAUAGAUAAUAGAUCCACUAAAUAAAAAUAUUGAAAUUACAAUCCUAUUAUUUCAAAAGAAAAACAAACAUACAUACAUAUAAAAUAUAUUAUAAAAUAAAAUAUUAUUAUUUUAUUUUUCAUUCUCAUCAUUUGAUAAUUCACUUAUAUAAUGUGUUUUGUCUUGUGCAUUUAUUUUAUACCUUUCAUCAUAUAUUAAUUUACUUUGUUAAUUGAAGUCUUAAUUUAUUUUUAUUAUUUUAUUUUUGCUAAUUGCUAGUUAAAUAUGGUUUAUCUAUCAAUAAUUUAAAUAUUUAAUAAGUAAAUUUAUGUAAUAUAAUUUUAUGAGAAUUUAUCAAAUACACUGACAGUGAAAUUUUUUAAUUUCACUUGUAAGAUUAAUAGAGUGAUACAUACUCUUGAUGUAGUGUUUUGCAUCAUUUUCAAAAUCACCAUGAUAACAGAAUCACAAAGGUAAUUUUAUUACUAAGAUUAUCAUAUUACUCGUGAUUUGAAAUCACUUUAUGCGGUUAAUAAUAAUUAAUUUAAAAGAAUUAAACAUCACUGUGUUUCGUAUUACUAAAAGUCAAAUAUUAUUUUAUUUAAAAAUAUAAAAAUAACCAUACAUAUUGUAAUAAUUACACAAAUUAAUGAUUUUAAUGUUAUUUAAAAAUAAUAAUUUGUAAAAUAUAAUAAUAUUUGUUUAUUUUAUAAUAAAGUAUGACUAAAUUCUUAAAUUGAUAAAUAUAACCAAUUCUUAUAAUAUAAAUUAUCUAAAAAACAUUUGAAUUAAAAAAUAAAAACAAUUUAUUAAAAUCAUAAUAAAAAACAAAAAAAUUGUAUUAUAUAUAAACCAUUAAAAGAAUAAAAAAUAUAUACAAAUCAUUUUUAAACUUGUUACGAACAUUAAUUUGAAAGUAUAAAAACUAUAAUAUAAAAUAAUUAUAAUUUUAAGAAGAAUCAAGUCUUUAACUCACAUAUUAAAUGGGUAAUAUUGACUAUGAUUAAUUUUACAUAUCACUUCACUUCGAUGAUACAAGUUUUUUACCCUUUUGGAUGAAAAUUAGAUCAUUCACUGAAGCAGUUAUUUGAUCACUUUUGAUAAUCUAAGAUCAUUGUCACAUAAAAUCACCAAGUGCUUUAUAAAAAACAGUAAUCUAAUCAUCAUGUGUAAAUCACCAUGACUUUUAAAGUGAUCACCCUAUUCCAAACAUUACCUUAGGGUAUAUUUAAAAAUAUAUAUAAAAACUAAUUAAAAAAAGUGGUACAUGUGUCAUAUUGUUAACCCCACUUUGGGAGUUAAAAAAUUUCACGAUAGUGUAUCAAAUUAUUUUUUAAUUUUAGUUUAUAAAUUACCAAUAAAAUAUCAAAAGUAAGUAUAAGUUUGUUGCAAUAAAAAUAUAACAUGAAUACACUCAAAGGAAAGGAGUCGACUUAUAACAAUUAUGUGCCAACAUGAUAUGAUUGAGCUUAUGUGUUGCAUCGUGCAAGCACACGUGCCAUGCGCCACGUAUUAGCAAUGACCUUUAAUGGGUCAUGUUGUGCCAACUCAUGGGCCUAAAAUCUUCAAGUUCAGCACAAUACACAUAUAUGUAUCAUGCUUGGCCCAAUCCAAUUACUUAAUUGCAAGCCAAAUGAAACAUGAUUCAUAUCAUAUCGAAUUGUGUCAUGUUACAUGCCAUCCAACCCAUUUGACAUCUCUUUAAAUUUUGAAGCAAUAAAGAGAAAAAGUAAAAGAUUGGAUAAUAAAAAGAAACUUGUAAAGUGACAACUUAUAUUAAAGACUAAAGAAAAACAAAAAAAAAAAGGGCCAUGUUUUUUGUAUUUGAAUAUCUAAAGAGCAAAGAAAAUGAUCCUAUUUUGGAAAAAAAUUUUUAAUUGACAACUUGAAUUGAAUUUAGAAAAAAAAAAUGUAUGGAAUUGUUUCAAUGUUGGAAGGUAUAUAAGAGAUCAGUUUCUUUUAGAUUCAAGAAAACAUGAUGAAAAAGGAAGUUGGAUGCACAUUUUUUUUUUCUUUUUGCCUAAUUAUAUGAAGAAAAAAAAUAUUUGUCUACUAACUCUUUUUUCAUUAAUUUAGUUUGGUUGUGUGAUAAUGUGUGGAUCUAAAAAACCGAUCAUUUAGAUGAUAUAUUAAAUAUAAAAUUGGCCCCUAAACUAUACACUUUAUGUCAAUUUAGUACCUAAAGAAAUAAAACUGUCAAAUUAGUACUUGAAUUUUCAUUCAUUAUCAUGUUAGUACCUCAAACUAACGCCAUUAGUCAACUUUGCUAAUGUCGCAUAAACAUUUAAUAAGAUGCUAACAUGUGUAAAAAAAGUCCAGUUAGCGUCAUAUUAUCAAUGUCAUGUCAUCAUCAAAAGGAAAUUUAAAAAACAAGUCUAAAAAAUUCUUUAAAAUUUUAAAAAAUUCCAAAAAAAUUUUAAAAAUUGUAGAAAAUUCAAACAAAAUUUUAAAAAAAUUCUAAAAUAAUGUUAAAAAAUAUUUAGAAAAUUAAAAAAAAAGAUUUUAAUAAAAUCAAAUUUUUCUUAAAAUUCAAAAAAAAUCACAAAAUUUUUAAAAUAGUUAAAAUAAAAAAUCUAAAAUUUUUUCAAAAAAAAUUUUUUUAAUAAAUUGAAAAUUUUUUUUAAAAGAAUCAAAUUUUUUUUUUCAUAGUUUUAAAUCUUACAAUUUUAAUUUUUAUAUAUUUUUAAAAAAAUUAGUAUUUUUUUGAAGUUUUUUUGAAAAUUUCUAGUAUCUUUUGAAAAUUUUAUGAAAUUUUUAAUUUUUAAAAAUUUUUUAGAAUUUUUUUAAUUUUAAAAAUUAUUUUUAAAAUUUUCUUUGUGUGCUGAUAUAACAUUAAUAAUGUGGCGCUAACUGAAUUUUUUUUUUAUAUGUGUUAGCAUAUUAUUAUGUGUUCAUGUCACAUUAGUAAAGUUGGCUAACAACAUCAGUCACAUGUACCAACUUAUGAAAUUAAAGUUCAAGUACCAAUUGACAAUUUUAUUUCUUUAUAUAUUAAUCUAACAGAAAAUAUAUAAUUCAGAGACCAUUUUUAUAUUUAACUCUAAAAUAUAAUAUAAAAAAUAUAAAAUUAUAAUUAAAAUAAUAUUUAAAAUUACAAUAUCUUAUCAUAUUUGGAUCUUUUCUUAAUUAAUUGAGAAUUUUCUACAAUAUUUUUUACACUACUAGAAAUUUUGGCUUUAUUGACAAAAUUUUUCCGUUAGCAAAAGUUGAAAAUCCAUCAAUAAUAGCAUUAGCGAUGAAAAAAUUUCAUCGGUACUAGCUAUGUCGGUAAUGCUAUUUCAUCAGUAAUUAUUGAAAUCUUUUGAUAAUUACUAAUAGAAAAUCCAUCAAUAAAUUAUGUCUAUAAUUACUGACAGAUUUAUUAUUAAUAGUUUUACCUAUAGAAUUUUUUGUCAAUAAUCAUCUACUAAAUUUUUGUUGGUAAAAGGGUUUUUUGUUGUUAGUAAAUAAGUUGAUAAUGAUAAAAAUUUCAUUGGUAAUAGUAAAAUUUUGUCGAUAAUAUUGGUAAUAGUAAAAUUUUGUCGAUAAUAAGCAUGAAUAUGGUCAUAAAUUAAUUUUUUUCAUCAGUAAAUUCAUUAGUAAUGAUAAAAAUUCUGUUAGUAAUAGUGAAAUUUCAUCAGUAAAUUUUGUCAAUAAAAGUACAAUUUCAUCAAUAAUUUAAAUAAAAAUAUUUAUAAUUAUUUUAAAAAUUGUAAUUAUUUUUGAACCCUGUAAAUUAUAAUUUAAACAUGUAUAAAUAUUUAAAUAUGUUAUUAUUGUUAAUUAAAAUAUCAAAUCCAGAAAACAUUCAUCAAAUACAUCAAUAAAACAUUCAUAAUAUCCAUCAAAUAUCCAUAACAUCCAUAAAACAUCAUAAAAUAUCAAUCCCUAAAAUAUCCAUAGCAUCCAUCCACCAAAUACUCCAUAUAAAUCCAACAAAAAAUGUCACUAUGCUGCUAUUGCACCUUUUGAUCCAGAAAUUUCAAUGCCAUCAUUAGGUCUUGAAUAUUUUGAUGGCGAAGUUUGUUUAGGCCUUAUCAACUGUAUCAUUUAAUAUAUGAAUGACUUAUGCCUAGUUCUCAACUAAGUCUUCAACUUAUCAAUUUCUUCUUUUAUUCGAGGUUAACAAGUCUGAGGUGGAACAAAUGAUGGAUCACAAACAGAGUUAGAUGAUCCUGCUACAACAUAGACUGAGUUGAGUGAAAUAGGUUUUUAGAUCUAUUUGCUAAUCCAAAGCCAUGAGUGUGUGUAGCUUCAACCCCUUUAAUAGCUUCGGUCCAUGAUUGUAGAUUAAAAUCUAAAUAAUUGGAACAAUAUUCACCAUAUUUUUGAGAUAAUGCAAUAACAUAAUUUUUCCUACAAAAAGUUUUAAAACAAUGAUCAUACUAUAGAACUUGUAUAGUUCAUUAAAAUAUCACAACUUCAGAUAAUUCACAAAUUCAAGCACAAUUUUCACAUUUUACAAAGUCAUUGCAUUUUAAUAUACAUCAAACUAUCUAGUUCAAUAUAAGAUUUGCUACAAUUGAUUUGCUUUCAAUUACUUCACUAUGUACUUCAUCAAUAAUUAUAAUACACAAACAGAAUCACAAACGAAAAUACGUAAUAAUUUUCACCUUUCAUAAAUGUAAUCUCAUCUAAUAAUAUACAAAAAUCUUUCACAAAUAAGUAGUCAUCAUAAUAUACUAUUAAUAUCUAUAGUUCAUCAAUAAUCACAAUACACAAUCAUCAUCACAAUGCAAAAUACAUAAUAUACGGUAAAGAUAAUUGAUCAACAAUCACAAUAACAGUCGUCAUCAAAAUUCAAAAAAGGCAAUAGUUUUCAUAUUUCACAAAUAUUAUCUCAUCGCGAUAUACUAUAAACAUAAUUAAGCAUCAAUUACCACACACAACCAGAAGCACAAAGCAAAUUAUGCAAUAGUUUUCUUUUUUCACAAAGUUUUUGUAUCAUAAAACAUACAAGAUUUUAUUAGUAAUAUAUAAAUUUCACUAAACUAUCAAAUAUAUAAAUUACUUCAAAACAAAUAUAAAUCUUAAUAAUAUAUAAAUUACUUCAAAACAAUAUAUAAAUUAGUAAUAUAUAAAUUAUAACCUCAAAUCAACAUAAAUAAUUUUAAUUUCUAUAAUUAUUAUUAAAAGUUAAAAAAUAUUAAAUAUAAAAGAUCCAUCAAAAUAUAUAUAAAUCUUAAUACAUGUCAAACCUAAAUUAACCAAUAUAAAUCUUACACAUCUAAAAGAUAAUAAAUUUAUAACAAAACCCAACAAAUCUCAAUAAAACUUUCACAAAUAAAAAAUAAAUUACUCAACAAAUAAAAAAAUUGCCCAACAAUACUAAAAAUAAAUCCAAAAAAAUUAAAAAAAAUACUAAAAUUAACACUCAACCAAAAACAUACACAAAAUAUAUAACCAAUAAAUUUCAACAAAUAUAUAACAAAAACCCAAACAAAUUUCAACAAAAUAAAUAACCAACUAAAACUUAACACAUUGGUAAGUAAAACCCAAACAAAUUUUAACAAUUUUAUAAUAAAAAAUUAAACCCUAAACUCAACAAAUAUAUUACUUAAAAUACAACAUAAAAUAAAAAUAUUAAAAAAACUUACAAGAUGGGAGGGGCGACAAGAUCUAUUGGCCAGCACACUUGGACGACGGGGAAGAGCAGCGGUGACAAUGGGUAGAGAGGGAGGGGGAGAGUGGGAGAGGGGAGUGGAAAAUGAAUUAGGGAUUUGGUUUUAGAAAUGAAGGGAAAAUGGAUUUGCCUGAUUGGGAGAGGGUUUGAAAUUUUUUAGUUUUAGCAGUGAACUUACAAAUGGAAAUUCAAUCGAUAAUGUCAAAAAAAUUUUAAAUAUUUUUAUUGACAAAUUUAACGAUGAAAUUUCUAUCAAUAAUGUAAAAAAAAAAUUUUACAAAUUUUUUUACCAAUAGAAUUUUUUGUUGUUAAAUUUUAAUAACAGAUUUUUUGGUCGGUAAAAUUGGUAGCAAUUUGCGCCACACUUCUAUCUAUGGAUUAUUGACAAAUUUAAUUCUGUUGGUAAAUCCUAUAAAUAAUUUGUUGAUAUAUAUUUUUUUAAUUUUGUCAAUAUUCUAUCAAUAAUCUAUCAAUAAUUAACGGUGGAAAAAUUGCAUCGAUAAAAUUUCAUUGAUAUUGCUGAAUUUCUGAUAGUGUUAAAUUAAGAAAAAAAACAAAUUAGAAAAAAAAUGAAAAGCUUAAUUUAUUGACAAAUUGACAUGAUGAAAUGAAGUGAAAUCAUGCUAAUUGAAAACCAUAUUAAAAAAGCAUCAAAAAGUAGUUCAUAAAUGAGAUUUGGUGUAAGAUUGCGUAACUAUCAAAGACUACGAAAUAAUAUUGCAAGGACUAGUAAAUCUUUCAUGUAAAUAAUAUGCCAGGAAAAUAAAAACAUAAAGGGUCAAAUAAAGGCAAUAAAGAAUGGGCAAACCGGAAGAUUUUGUUUGCCUUUUCCUUUCGCAUCUCCUCGGUAAAUGUUGAGGCUGAAAUUAUUAGGAUUUAUUUACGAGACACAGUCAAAGGAGGUUGAGGAGGCUGUUGUUGAUAAUUUUUUUUUUUUUUUUGGGACGGAUGCUUUUUCGGCUUGGAAUAGAUCCCAUUCCUUUUUUUUUUUUUUUUCUCCGGGCUAUGAGAUAUGGUUUUUAGCUGGCACUUCGAUCUUCAAAAUGAUGUUUGCUAAAGCCUUUUCGUUCAUAUGUCACUUUUUUGGCAUAUCUCAUUGCAACGUGUAUCUUCCAUGUAUAUUUAAUUAUUUAUGUAUUUCUAUUAUAUACAAUAUUAAUAUUUUAUAUAUUUAUAUUAUAUUUUAUAUAAAAAUUAUGUAUUAUUAUUUAUGUCAAGAUAAAAAUAUAAAAUAUUUUUUUAUUUUGUUAAAAACAUAUAUAAUUUUUAUUAAAAUUUUAAAUCGUAUCAUAUUCAUAUUUUUAUAUAAUUUUUAUAUCAUAUAUUAAAUUAUCAAAUCCUACAUAUUAUAUUCUACAUAUAUUUUAUUAACCCUUUGCUCAAAUAUCUGUCUAAUGAUUUUUAAAUUUUUUUUUUUUAAAUACCAGUAAUAGUUUAGAAUGCAAAAUUCAAACUUAAAGCCUUUAUUUUUCAAGAAAAAAAGUAAUUAUUGGUAAUCAUAUUGCUAAUUGGAGCGAAAUUUAAAAGUCGAAUGUGUAUAACAUACACUUUUUUUCUAUUUCAUGUUUCAUAUCAUGCUCGAUCGCAUUCAGAUGGCACAAUUUUGGACAAUCCAACAUUAUCCAAUUGAUAAUUUUGUUAUACAUUUAUUACUAUAGUCACAAUGUAUGCACAUAAAAUGACUUAUUCAAGCGAAAUUCAUGAACCAAAGGUGCAUUAAGUGCUGUAUAUACGUAUUGGCCAUACAAUCCACUCCCCACCACCCAAAAUGAAAAAUGAAUCAUACGAAAAUAAUAAUAAUAAAAAAGGGUUUUACUCAAUAUCUUGGUUCAUGACUGGUGCUGCUGAUAUCUCAAGCAUUAAGCAACAAAUGAGGUAAGGCUGUGCCAUUGCAUCCAAAAAAAUGUUCAAAAUUGUGUGAAUUAAUGAGCCCACUUUUGAGAUCGAUCUUGGAUUUUGUUUUCGUUGGUGGUGAAAAGUUGGUAAUAAUUAGAAGAAAACAUGUUUGGACCAAGUGAUGUUAUAUUCAUUUUGUUUUCAUUUCCAAGGUUUUAUUGUGAAAUGAUGAUUAAUUAAUCCUUUUAAAAAAAAUGUUUCUCUUCGUGCUCCAAUCCAAUAAAUAAUUGUAAGUGUUCUAACCAAAAAAAAAUAAAAAAUCAUAGAAAUUACUCAAGAACAGGCCGGGGUUUCUUACUUCUCAUGUAAUGGACCACUUGAAUAUUUUAGCUUAGAGUAAAAAAUGCCUCAAAAUUAUAAUUUAAUAAUUAUUUAAAAUUUUAAUAUUUUAUUACAAUCAAUUUAACUUUUAAUUUUUUAUUUUGAUUCAACUGAAUUCUUAAAUAAAUGGAAUGAAGUCACGUGAUAAAAUUUAGUCAAUCAAUUUAUGAAAUAUAGUCAAUUGAAUUCUUAUAAAGAUUUUAAAAAGAGAGCGAGAGAGAAAAAAAAAAAAAGUAAAAUAGAAGAAAAUUUUGUUUUAUUAAUUUUGGAUGUAUUAAUUUUAUCACGUGUUAAACUUUAUUUUUUUUAUUGAUAUCACAUAAAAUUUUAUUUUAAUUGAUAAAAAAUUAAUGAUAUUAAUUUUUUAUUUAAACUAAAAUUUAAUUGAAUGCAAAUAAAUGUUAAAAAAGUUGAUUGAUUAUAAUAAGAAUAUAAAAAUAUAAAAAAAUUUUAAUCAUAGUUCAUAAAUUGUUUAUCACUUUAGCCAAUAUUUUAUUAGUAAUUUCUCUGCUUAGCAAGAAUUGUUUAUGGCAAAAGGGCUGAAUAUCAAUUGACAACUAUGGGUUGUAUUGACUGAUAAAGACUCAGGCGGAUGUUUACCAAGAGGACCCACAGAGUUAAAUGCAAACUGAAGAAUUUCAAUAAUGUUAUAAUAAUAUAAAUUGAUUGAGGUGGGAAACCAAAAAAAAAAAAAAAUUGUUUCUCAUAAAUAGAAAUUGAUUUUGAUUGGUUUGUUGGGUUUGAAGCAUAAGGUUUAGUUUUAAUAAUCAAAUUUAUUUUUUUAAUAAUUUAGAUAAAAAUAAAAUAAAAUAAUUAAUCAAAUAAGAAUUAUAGGCCAACGUUUUGAGCAUAAAAUGAUGACUUUUGGUUAGAAUAACAAUUUUUUUUUAAUGUUUAGAUAAAUCUUUAUAUUUUUAUCAUAACCAAAUACAUUUUUAAAUUUUGAUUUAUAUUCAAAUAAAUUUUUAAUUUUUAAUUUGUAUUUAAAAAAAAUAUUAACUUUUAAUUUAUAUAUAAAUAAAAUUUUAAUAUAAAUCAAUAUUUUAUUAUAAAUAGAAAUUUAUAUAAAUACAUAAAGAUUAUUUGGAUAUAAUAAAAAUAUAUAAUUUAAAAAGAAUGGAAUAGUUGAAGAGCGUACCAUGACUUUUUUUUUUUAAGUUUGUUUUGAGUAUUUUUCUCUUUUUUUUUUUGAAAAUUUUUUAGUUUUGAAUUGAUUUUUUCUUCUAUUUUUAUUUUUUAAAUUGAUUUUUUAUUUUUAAAAUAAUAAAAAAUAUUCAUGUGGACAUCCACAUAAGCAACUUCUAUUAUUCUUUUGUCACCGUUAGUUAAGUUAAUAUAGCAUGUGCAUAACAUGCACAUAAAUCCGUUACAAAAAAUCAUUGAUGGUUAUAGCUCAAAAACUAUUAGAUUGGAUUUAACUAAAAAAAAAAUUUAAUUUUGAUUUAUACAUUAAUCGAAAGAUUUAAUCUUAAAUAAAACAUUUAGUCAUUUGGAUAUAAUCAAAAUAUAUAAUUUUUUUAAAAAUAGAAUAGUUCAAGAACGUAGCAUGACUUUUUUUUUUUUUUUAAAGUUUGUUUGGAGUAAUGGAAAGUUGUGUAGAAGCAUUUUCAUUUAUUUUUAUUUAUAUUUUGAUACAUAAACUUAUAUUUAUUUUUGUAGAACAAAGAAAGGGAAACAAGAAAAGAUUUAAUGAGUAUUGAUGACACAACCGAAUAUGGAUAUAGAUGUGAUGAGGUGAUAAUAAGUUAACGAAGGAAGAAAAACAUGGGUCAGAAGAGACACUCACCGCUCACUCAUUUUGACAACUAUGUGGUGGUCACUAAUUUUCAAACCUCCAUGCAUUUCAUCACCUUCCAAAUUGGCUAUCAAACCAUGAGGCUUGAUGUUGUGUCCAUUUCAAGGUCUUGUCCCCCCAUGAAACCCUCAGCAUUUAUAUUUUUAUUGGGAUUUCAAAAUUCUGUCAUUUCUUCCUGAUCUCACUACAACAGUCAAAAUUGUGAAGCUUCAAAGCAGCCAACGUCAAAAUCGCGGGGCCUUCUGGUAGUUGUUGAGGCUUAAUUGUUCUGAUUUUGACAUCUAUCUUACAAUGCAAUCCACUUCUUUAGCUAGUUCAUCAAUAUUUUCCGCAUUGGUUGACUUGUAAAUUCUGAUGUCAGGAUAUUGAAUAUAUACAAAUAAAUUUGGAAGGUAAAUAAUAUUAAAUACGGUACCAUAAUAUGAUAAAAAAUAUAAAAAUAAAAUAAUUUAAAAUUUUAAUAAAAAUUAUAUAUGAAUUUGAUAAAAAAAAUUUUGUAUUUGACGUAUCAAUAUAAAUUAUGAUAUAAUAUUUUUCAUAUUUAAGAAAUAUUAAAUAUGAAAUAUAUAAAUGUAAAUACACUCAUAUGUAAAAUAUAAAUAUCGUCUGUUGAUUUAAGUGAUAAGAAAUUCGAUUUCUUUUAAGUAAAAUUUCAAUUUUGAAUCUUAUGAAUGAAGAAGACAGAUUUAAGAGAUCUUAUCUCUCUUAAGAAAUUCGAUCCAAUUCGACUUCGAAUUUGUUGAGACUCAAAAUAGUUUUCAGAUACUGGAGGUCCAAUCAAAAAUAAAAUGUAAAUAUCAAGUUAGGUGUGCUUAUAGGUUUGGAAAGUCUCUUUGAUGCAUAAAUCCACAGUUUUGUGCUUGAGUAUGAGAAGCAGUACUUAUCAUACUUUGAACUUUCAUUUAGCAAUCUAGCUAUCCUCUUUGCCCUAAAAGAAACAUGAUUAGAUAAAAAAAAAAAAUUGUCGAUUGGUAUCGUAAAACUGUAAUCAAAUACAUACCUAGAAUAAAAGAUCGAAAGUUAUAGCAAUGCUCUUAAACAAGAUGCUAAUUAAUCUGCAAGUUUCAUAUAAAUGAUCUAGCGGUUCGUUGAGUUCGUAAGUGUUAGCGCUGUAACAAGAUCAAUAGUAUAUCAAGUUGUCAUGUUCACCGGCAAGAUAAUUCUACGGCAUUAAAUUUGCGCGAAUUCUCAAAUUUACUUAAGAACAGAUUCUUGAUAUUCGUAUCUAAAAUUUAAAUCUUAAUAUUUAUAUAUUUUUUAUCCCUAUAUUACUGCUUCCUUUAUAAAAAAAAAAAAAAAAAUCCUAUUCCUUUAUACCAAAAAUAAAAUUAGACUUUUGGGACUUCAAAUUCUUCCAAUUUGAUCAUACAAAUUAUAUCAUUUUGGGCUCGUUUAGAAAUCGACUAUAAUUAACAGCCCAAAACAAUGUGGGUUUUAAAAAUUUGGGCUUUGAUCCAUCUGAAAGUGUUUUAUUUUUAAUAUUUUUGUAAAGCCAAACUGCCAUCAAGGCCUAGGCAAGCCACGUGAUCUGGUCCGGCCCCGGAGUCGGCGUAAAGCGUGAACUCAGGAGAAACAAGUCGAGUAGCGAAGAAACCUGCGAUUUUUGUAUUCUACCGCAUGUUUUCCUUGGUCUUCAUAUCUGUCCAAUGAUUUCUAUUUUCUUUGUCUUCUAAUUUUCCUUUUGAAAGUACAAACAACAAUUCUUAAUAUUAAAACCAAACAAGAAAGAAAAAUGGCGUCGUCACUUCUUCGCCAACGAAGAGUUUCAGCAAUGGGUGUUUCUCGGAUUCUUCAAGGUUUGACUUUCAAGCCCUUUUCUAUUGGAUAUAAAGUUUCUGCAAUUUCUUUGGAAAGAAAAGGAAAAUUUUCCCACUUUUCAGUUUUUGUCGUCUAAUUUUUUUUUUUUUUUAGCUUCGAGGAUUCCCCAUUGACCAUAUGUGAAAUUUGAUUAGAAAGAUAGAAUUUUUGAAUGCCCAUGUCCCAAUUUUAUGUUUUACUUAGAUUUUUGAAGUGUUUUUGGCAAUUGCGUAUUUGUAGCUAAUAGAAGAAAAGCUGACUGUUGACAGCUUUAUGGAUAUUGGUGUAUGCUAGUCAUUUUUCUUGGCUAUUUCUCUGAUUCAGCUUUGACUUAAAUUUUUAAGCUAAAUGUUUGAGCAGAUAAUGGGGAUUCCUUUCGACUACAACUGGAAUCCAAGUUUGGGAGAUUUGCUACCAUAGGUGUUAUGAUCAGGAAUUACAACGGUGGAAAGAGUACGGCAAAGUUUGAUUUUACUGAUCUCACGUAAGAAAUGUGUGACUUACAGCUAUUAAUAGUUAUUUUUGGCUUGGAUAGGCUAUCCUUUUAUGUAUUUCUAAUUAUUUUGGUAAAAUCUAUUUUAAGCUUGUUGAAAUGGUAGCAUUUAGUCAGAACCAUUCCAUUCUUCUUUUUGGUUGCAGUUCAAAUGGUAGUAUUUUUUUAGUACUGUUUCAUUCUUUAUUGGUUUCAUGGAGUUUUCGUUGUCAUAUAGCUUCCUCUCUUCUUUCUUAUAUAUAUUUGAAUCAAUUCUUAUGUCCUGGUCAAUGGUUUUAUGAAUGCAGAUUUCAUCAGUCUGGCCAGAGAUUUAAUGGUUUUAAUAUUGUUAUAGUAAUAUAGAAUCUUGAAAGACAAUAAAUUUUAUAAUUAUGAAUGUCUUGAUUUUUAAAUUUGACUAUUCAAAUACUAAUUAUCUGGCUUAUGUAACUAAAAUAUAUUAGUUUCUUUUCUGUGAAACUUAGUGGCUAUAAGUCCAUCUUUCUUCCCAUAAGCUAAAAUUCCUUGUUCAGUGUUUCCAUUAAAUGGGAGAUUAUAAAAAAAAAAAAGUUUUAAUUGUAUAGCGCUUUCUUCCUCUCUUGCCCCCACUUCCCUCUCACGAAAUUUCCUUAUAUAAUUUCUGUAUAUCAAUAUCAUUCUUGUAAACUUAUUUUUGGUUUAUCUCAGCUGUCCUCAUACAUGGUAUCCUAAUGCUCGAAAAAAGAAUCGCAAGGUUUUCUUGCAUGUAGGUCCCACAAACAGCGGUAAAACAUACCAUGCUCUGAAGCGACUCCAAUCAAGUCCUUCUGGUAUAUUUGCAAUGCUCAUUUUAUCAGGAUUGAAUAAAUUUGUUUGUUUGUUCAGUGAAUGAUUGAAGGGGAUUGAAUCUAGUAAUAAUAAACUGACAAAUUAUUUUGCCUUGGUGCUUUCCCUUUUCAGGUGUAUAUUGUGGUCCUUUAAGAUUGUUGGCUUGGGAAGUGUCGAAACGGUUGAACAAAGCAAAAGUUCCCUGUGAUCUAAUCACAGGACAAGAGAAGGAGGAAGUGGAUGGUGCAAAGCAUAAGGCUGUAACCGUUGAGAUGGCUGAUGUAACAUCUGAUUACCAUUGUGCUGUUAUUGAUGAAAUACAGGCAAGUUAUAGUUUAAAAAACAUUCGUAAACCAUAUUUUACCAAGCUUACUAGGAAUGUUGCUGAUGUGUGCAGAGUUAUUAAACAUAAAUUAAAUAGAACAACUUACAUGAUUCUUAUGCAGCUUUAUAGAAACUGUUGAAGCAUUUUCUCUGAUCACUUAUGUCCCGUUAAAAUUUCUCUUUCUCUGCAGAUGUUGGGCUGUAAGACUAGGGGUUUUUCAUUUACACGCGCCCUGUUGGGAAUUGCUGCUGAUGAACUUCAUCUUUGUGGAGAUGCAGCUGCUGUUCCUCUUAUUCAGGAAUUAUUGAAAGUGACCGGUGAUGAUGUCAAGGUAAUGCAAUUGUGUGAAAAUGACUGGUCAAGUGUUUUCUUUGUUCUAGUUUUGAAUGAAUUGUGUCAUGUGUUACUAAAAUCAUAUUUUAUGCAUAUGGCAUCUCUUUUUUGGAUGGACACGGUUCUUGGUACGAGCUAAGAUAUUUCAGUCAUCAUUUUGUAACUCCUAUGUGUCAGAGGGGAAAAGAAUGACAAAUAAUAUGCCUGCUGUAACCAAUUCUUUUGGGAGGAUUGAGACUUUUUCAUAAAUUUGAUCUUGUUAGGUUGAAUGGGCAUGGACUGUUUCUGUUCAUUGCUAAAAUCUGCUCUUUGUGUAAUGCAUAAAUGUUGUAAUCUUUAAAUCCUUUUUAUCGGAGGCAAAGUCAUAUUCAUGGAUUUCUCUGUGCUGUCUCGAUUUUACCAACAGGAAGAACUGCCUGGAUAAGAUAAAUGGAGUUGAAAAUCCUUCUGCUGCACAACUUAGUUGAUUUCCACUUUUUUAUUCUCUAUCUAAAUGCACUGUUGAAUAGGCAGAAAAAUAAUUAUCUUGUUGCUUCCAUGCUUGGGGCCCACAUUUUAUGUACCUGUUUAUAUUGUUGGUAUUAUUCAUCUUGUGUUUUUAAUAUCCCAGGUCCAAUCUUAUGAUAGGCUUUUACCACUAGUUCCCUUGGAAGUUCCUCUUGGAUCUUUUUCCAACAUACGAACAGGCGACUGCAUUGUAAGUUUUUCACGCAAGGAAAUAUACAAGUUGAAGGUUAGUAGUAUUUUAUUUUUUUGCCAAAUGUAUGCUCUCUCUGUUCCUUUGUUUGAUUAUGCUGUAGUUUUGAUCAGUUAUACCUUAAAAAUGGAAACUGGUAUACUAUCUUUCUAAGAAAAUACUGGUGGGUUUCAAUAUGUAAAAAUACUAGUUUUUAUUCUUGCUGUUUUGCUUCAGCUCUGUUUUUCUGGGAGAAAGGGAAUAUAUUUCAACUUCCUUCUCUUUUAACCUUGGUAUUGAGGCUUAUAGGGAGAGUUUCGAAAUUUGCUCUAAUACCCCUUUCUUUUCUCUAUUCACUUAUUUUCUGGAAGCGGUUUGUGAUUUUCCCUAUCUUUUCACAUACUUUCAGAAAAUGUUUUCUGAUUUUCCCUAUCCUUGUAGAAAAGAAUUGAAGGUGGUGGAAAACAUCUUUGCUCUGUGGUUUAUGGUUCAUUGCCACCAGAGACUCGGACAAGACAGGUAUCACUUCUUUCCUGCUUUAAUGAUCACCAAGUUUGUGCAAGUUUUUAAGUGCAUGUGGGAAUGAUGAUAAUUUCAUUCUCACUGUUGCCUACUUAUUUGUUUAUUUAUUUAUUUAUGUUUAUAAUUAAUACAUUCUUUAGGAUUGCAGGCAACAAUGUUUAAUGAUGCUAGCAGUGAGUUUGAUGUUCUUGUGGCCAGUGAUGCAAUUGGGAUGGGUCUUAAUCUGAACAUUUCAAGAAUAAUUUUUUCGACGUUGAAAAAAUUUGAUGGUUUUGAAAUGCGGGAUCUUACAGUACCAGAGAUCAAGCAAAUUGCAGGUACCCUGUUAAUUUUGUAGGUGAACUUUGGAAUUUAUUUUGAUAUGAGUGGUGAACUGUUGUGGUCAAAUUUCUUUCUUAAGACUUUCGUAGACGGAUGGUCUCCUAUUUGUCUAAUUAUGGGGUUAACUGGUUGCCUUUGGCAAGGACUGAGAAUCAAACUCUAAAUCUUGAUGAUGAGCUAAGGCCCUUGGGCCAUGUGUCAGGAAUCAUAAAGUUUAAAUGCUACUGGGUUAUAUCUUAAUAAAUACUUUCACCAGCCAAAAGGUAGAAUAUAACACUCACCUUAUCAUGUAGAAAUUCUGGAUUGUUAAAAGUUGGAACAUCUUUAUUCCCCUUCGCCCGCCUUGUUUUAUUAUUGCACACUUAAACUGACCCUAGCUGCACAAAUAAUAUGACCAUGUUCUAUUUCAAUAUUUGUAUUUUCUUUUUUUUUUUUGUAUGAAUAUUUGUAUGAUAACCAUAUUUAAGCAAUUCGUUUUAGUUUUCAGCUUCUAUUUUCUUAUUUUGUGGGGCACACCCUGUAAAUUUGAUAAAUUUUCUUGAGAUAACUUGUAUAUUCUUGUAGGGAGAGCUGGAAGGUAUGGAUCAAAAUUUCCUGUGGGUGAUGUGACCUGUUUAGAUGCAGAUGAUCUACCUUUGCUUCAUUCAUCAUUGAAAUCUGCCUCUCCUAUUUUAGAGGUGAUUGUGUUAUCACUGAAGUUUCCUACAAAAUUCUGCAUUGAUCAGGCUUGUUACAUUUUCAAUGAAUCUCAAUACGCAGCUUUUGUAUAUUUGCAUAUGGGUUCAGCAUUUUUAUUCCUUGAAUCUGAGUGAUUUUUAUAAUGCAGCAAGCUGGACUAUUUCCAUCCUUCGAUCUUAUCUUUAUGUAUUCACGUUUACAACCAAAAAGAGGUCUCUACCAGAUAUUGGUAGGUUACCUCAUGAUAUUCUUUUGUCUUUUUUUUUUCGGUUUUUUCUGUGAUAGCUAGUAUGAACCCAUUGGGGGUUAAAAAAUAGUUUGAGCCCCACGGCCCCAUAUAUAUAUAUAUAUUAUAUUAAUUUACUAGUUUAAAUGAUUUUGUUUUUGCAGGAGCAUUUUCUAGAGAAUGCAAAGUUAUCUGAGAACUAUUUCAUUGCAAACUGUGAAGAAAUGUUGGUAAGUUUCUUCAGUCAUGUUUUCUUUUGAAUUAAUGUGGGAGUGAUGAUUAGAAAGUCCUUACAAUGGGAAAUUUGUUGUCAGAUAACAAUAUCUCCCCUUAUGGGUAUUUAACAUUUUUUAUGUUAUAAAUAGCUGAUUAUCAUGUGUCUAUUCCACUUGAGUGCUAAAGACUCUUCAUUGUCAUCAGAAAGUUGCCACUGUUAUUGAUGAACUGCCUCUCGGGUUGCAAGAUAAGUAUCUUUUCUGCAUCAGGUAACAUCUUUGAUCUCUAUCCAUCCAACUACCAGAAAUUUGUAUUUGAAGUUGGCUGUUAAUUUUAGAGAUGCAUUAAUUUUAGAGAUGCAAUUACUAGUUUAUCUUUUUUUUCCCCCUUUUAAAUGCUUGGAAUCAACUGGCUGGGCAUAGUAUGCAGCUGUUUUGAAGAACUUGGUCAUUUUCUUAUGGGGUAUUACUUUUUUUGUGCAGUCCAGUUGAUAUCAAUGAUGAAAUUUCAUCUCAAGGUCUAACACAGGUAAACAUUUCUAUCUUGUUUUGAUUAUUUGGAAUGUGGAAACUAAUGGUUGUCUAUUCUAUUUUGGUGGAUCAGUUUGCUGAAAAUUAUGCAAAGAAGGGCCUUGUUAACCUUCGAGAAAUAUUUACCCCUGGUACACUUCAGGUGCCUAAAACACAUACUGCACUCAAGGAGCUUGAAUCCAUUCACAAGGUAGGAUUUUUUUUUUCCUGAAUGUCAUGUGUUAUGCUAAGGUGUAAAGAGUUUAAUUGGCUGUGGACUUUAAAUAGAAGACUUUAUGACCAUUUUCAACUAUUAAAUGAAAUGUCUUUGCCCCUAAAAUUUCUUGAUGAUUGGUAUAAAUGGAUUCUUUGCUGAGGUGAGGAAGUGUUGUAAACAAGUGAAACGAGAAGUGCCAGGAUACGGUGGAGAGGAAGACUGGAGCAGACGCUGAAGUGUUGAGUACAGUGGCAGGUAGUGGUGUACAGCAAAAUAAGGCUAGGUUGAGGAGAGGAUAAGGUUUUAGAAAAGAUCUUAGGAAGGGAGAAUUGCAGAGAAAGUUGUGAGAAAUCUGUCCAAGUCUAAAAGUGCUCAAUGAAUUGUGGAAACUCUUAUUUGUAGGUUUCAAGAAUAGGAGUUACAUAUCUUGAAUAUUGAAUGAGAAUAAUGGUGAAUAAUAGGAGAAUUGACCGUUACAAAAGGUAUUAAUGUUUUGUUUAAUGAAAGUUUAAUUAGCUUUUUGGUACUAGGCAUAGUGAAUAUAGAAGUUCACUAUCUAUUCUAAAGGAAAUGGAGAAGCACUCAUAUUUCAAGGAAAGGUUAAGAGAAAACCUCUUAACUAUCUCCAUAUCUGAUCUACCAAGCCAAGCUCUCCGAAAUAUCCCAAUAGUAGAAUUAACCCAAGAAUCCUACCAUAUUCUAGGGUUAUUUUCACUCCUUUCGGUGAAGUAACAUUUGGUGAAACAUCUUUUGUGGAAUAACUCUUAGUGAAGCAACUUUUGAUAAAAGAUUUUUCAGCAAAGGUGUUGGUCUUGUUCAUUUAGGAAGUUGUUCCGAGAACAAUUGUUCCAUGAAGGAGUUGUUCCUUGAAUAGUUGUUUCGUAAACAGCCAUUCUGUAAAAGGAUUAUUCCAUGAAUAGCUGUUUUGUAAAAUAACCUUCAUUGAAAUAGUUUUAUCUCCUAUUUUGACUUAUCCUCAAUUUUAACAACUUUAGAGAAAUUUAAAAGAAUAAAAUAUUAAUAACCAAAAUCAAGUAUUUACAAUUGGUAUAACUGAAAGUUUUGGAACUUGGAUGAUGGAUCUUUACUAUCUUGUUUUUAACUAAGGGCUUUGCACCUUAAUUCUAGUAGUAGACUUUUUUUUAUGGGGAUUUUAAUUGAAAAUUUCCCCCAUUUUCAACUGUUCAAUUAAUCUGAGAUUUCUUCUUGUUUUCUACCUCUGAAGGUCUUGGAACUCUAUGUUUGGUUGAGUUUUCGAUUCGAUGAAUCAUUCCCUGACCGUGAACUGGCUUCUUCACAGAAGGCCAUCUGCAGCCUGUGAGUACACUUUUUGCCAUACUUGUCAUUUGGUUUGCUUUACAUUGUUACCUUACUAGCAAUGUUGAAUUUGUAGGUUAAUUGAGGAAUUCCUUGAAAGACUUGGUUGGCAGAAACCAACUUCAAGAAAGUUAACUUCACGCACAAGCUUAAAUUCUUUAAUUGCGAACAAGAAAAGACAAUACCUAUGAACAAGAAAAGACAAUACCUAUGUGAUUAAAUGUAAACUACUAUUAGGUAUUUACUCAUUAAACCUGUUCCCAUUCAAUAUAGCUAUUCCUUUCAUGUAAAAUUCGAGCUUGAGAUCUUUAAUUUCAAAUCUCAAAUUUUAACUAGUGAGUUGCCCCAGCUUUUAGGAGUGAUGAAUGUUUGUACUUCUUCAUAUUACAUGGUUUGGGUAAUAGCAAUAGCUGAAUGAUCUGUAGUUGGACCGAAACCUUUUGUAGAAAAUAGAACCAUAUAACAAUUUUUUUCAAUGAAGAUUUUCCUACCUUUAUCAGAAUUUGACAUAAGUCUAUUGUGGCAUAACUGCAGUUGGUUUGAAUCUAGAUUUUAUUCUGUUGAAACAUAUGCUUCCAUGUUUAAGGCAAGGAAAACAAACGAGCUACAUCAUUGGUAACAUGACUCUGCAGAUUCUUGAAGACAGCUUAUUAACAUGUAGAAAAAGCGCUGCCAAGUGUAUGCAGCUGCAAGAUUUCUGAUAAUGCAGAAUAUCAUCCGGCGCUUCUUGUCCAUGAAGUUCUAAUUAACAAAACUUUUGCACCCGUUCAGUUAAAUCACCUAGAACUAGAAGUUGAACUAUUGGAUCGUCCUCUGGAUGCCAAUUGCCAAGACCUAGAACUAGAAGAAUUUGCGUUGUCGACCUCAAAGAACAAUAAGGAUAAUAUAAGAAAACCAAGUCUAGCUGCCCACAGACCAAAACAGCAUAGUUUGCAUGAUCAAUACUGACAUCGUUGUUUGAAAUGUGGCUUAACAAAAAAUUAAGUGUCUUCAUCCUCUUCUUCCUGCAGCACAUUUUCAGUAAAGUUGAAAUAUCUGGCUUCCAUGAAUCCUUUUCUAUCCUCCUAAGAAACUUCAAUGCUUUCUCUUCAAGUGAAUGACCACAACCAGAAGAAAUCUUUGUAGUAUGUCAAUGCAUUUGACUUAACACAUUGCUUUUUUUUAGUUCUGUAUAUUUAAAUUAUGAUAAUCCUAUUCUUUUCAUUUUUUUCUUCAUAAUUCUGAAAAACUAAAAAUUAUAAAGUUCCUCUAACCUAUAAUACCUUUCUCAAACAGACUGCACAAGACGGGUAAAUAAACCUUUAUUUUUGUCACAUAGAGCAUGUCGUUACAUUGACUUGAUUAUGAUAUUUCUGAUCCAUUUAGGAUUCAUAUGGUCAAUGUCCAAGAAAGUAAAAUUUCAGAUUAACAUCUGAUUUAAUUAUCUUCAGCCUUGGACAAGGUAAGUGAUGAUUUGUCAAAGAGAAUCCUGGAUAUGGCUCUGAUGGUGUUUGGAGUAGUCCUGCAGCACCCACCAAAGAGAGAUGCGCCAGCAUCUCGCCAUUUGCCUACAUAUGACACAAAGUCCUCAUCUGCUUCCCCACUUGAUUUCUGCAAAAGAAAGCUCCAAUUCAGUUUCUUGAUCACUAUUCAGUCCUAAAAUAACCAUUAGAAAAAAAAAUGCAAGCAGUCGCUGACCACCCAUUGCUUGCUUUCUGCAUCAUAAGUCUCACCACUGUUGGGAUAUAUGACCACCGGUUUAUCUGUCACCUGAAAUUGCAAGAUCAUUGUUAGCAUAACAAUCUUUACCAUAGAAUGAGAAUAAAUUUUGGUUUUAUGAUGUGAACAUCUCAUAUCACGACUCAUUUUAUUUAAGGGAGGAUGGAAAAUUUAGUAAAAUUCAGUUUAAAAGAACCACGAGCUCAGUUAGUUCAUAUAGCCAUCAUAGAGAUGUCAUUCAGCAGGUCUGGAGUUUAAAUCUCAUCAUUUGCAUCUCUUUUUCCUGUCCCUGUACCAUGGCUUCUUAUAUAUCACAAAAAAAAAAAAAAAAUUCAGCUUAAAAGAAGUUGCAAACACCAAAUGAUGAUUACCUUCCUAAUGGAGAGAAUUAGUCCAUGGAUAAAUCUAGGAGGGGUACAGUUGAUUCCUACAGCAGCAACUUGCUUGCAUGAAUCCGCAACGGAGGCACACUCACUAAUAGAAUCACCACUAACCACAUUGACUCCAUCCUUGGAGGAAAAAGAAAACCAAGCUGGAAUGUCUAUACCUUCCUCCUCGAGAAGCUCAGCAUAUGCCUGCACUUGAUUCAAGCAAAAUCAGUAAGGAAAACCACAGCUAAGAAAAUUGUUCUAGGAAAAGUAUUUUGUAAUGACAUUGUCAAACCAUUGGUUUGUAGCAUAUAAAGAUAGAAAAUACCUGUGCUUCUAGCUUGUUUGGAAUGGUUUCAAAUGCAAUGAGGUCAGCACCUGAUUUGGCCAGAAUCUGUACCCUUCUCCUGUGAAAAUCCUUCAAUUUUUCCAUUGUCAUUGAAUCGCCAUAGUUGCCACUGGAAAGGAACACAGGAAAAUAUGAGAUGUUGUCAGAAAACGAAAAUUUCAAACAAUUAAUGUCAGAAAUGUUAAAAAAUACUAAUUAUGAGGACCAUAAAUUGAGUAAAAUCAUAAAUAUUAAUAGCCUUACUUACGUAUACUCAGAUCCAUCAGCCAAAUAAGCCCCAUAGCUGCCCACAGAAGCAGCAACUAGAACUGGACGUCUGGUGGUAAUGUUCUCGCUGUGAAGGAAGUCCCAAGAGUCUUUGGUACAUCUGUCAUGAUAAAUUUGCCGAGCCUCACAAGCAAUUUCAACACUUCUCCUAAUCAAUGUUUCAGCUUCUUCCCUGGAUAGGCCUUUGGCUUCAAAACCCUGAAUAGUUGCCUGAUAAGAUGCGGUUAUAAUCACAUUUGCACCAGCAUCGAGGUAAUCUAGGUGAACCUACAAAUAUGUUAUAUCAAACGUGUCAAUAGGCAAACAAAAUUACAAAAGGCAGAUAAAAAAUCUGUUCCUCUCUACAAAAAUAGCAGGUGGUUAUUACUUGACAUCUAGUGAUUGAUCAGUCUGAAUUUUGGAAUGAAAUUGAAGGAAGAAUAGCUUCUAUUAACAGCUAAAUUUCUAUAUCAUAGCCUAAUCAAGGCAAAUACUAGAACAAUGACUUUAAUCAACUGUAUUUCAUUGCUUGGUACAGAUCUGUUAAUUUUAGACAAAAUAUGAAUGACACACAUAAAAAGAUAAAAAAAAUUGUAUAUGAGUUUAAAAAAAAAAGAUAUUUUAUUUUUGAUGUAUCGACACGAAUUAAAAUAUAGUAACUUAUAUAUACAUAUUUGAUAUAAAAUAAACACAAUAUAAAUAUACAAAUUAUCAAAUUUACUAGCUUUUUUAUUUUUCAAUUUUUCUAGUCCUGAUUGUAGAGUUAGAAUUAACCUUCUUUCUUCCCUUAAUCUCAAGUUUCUUAAACAAAUUGCAUUCAUAUUGAUCAAUUAAUAUGAAAAGUUACGAAUACUCGCACGUCUGGAACUAAUUUUAGCAGGGAAAAAAGCACUGUCAAACCCUUAGCUUAAUAAAAAGGAAUUUCAAAGGAACAAGAAUUACUUCUAAAGUUUGGUUGAUAUGCUAUCAACCAAUGCGUCUCACUUUUUCUAAAUGCAAACUCCAAGCAUUUCUAGAUGAUACAUUGAUAUAAGAAAAUGAAAAAGAAAACAUUGACUUGUCUUCCAUCUUUAUUGGAUAAAAUGGAACAAACAACCAUAUGAAGCACUCCUUCCCUCACUUUUGUCAAUCAAUUUAUUUGGUUAUGUUUGCAUGCAGCACAACGAAGAGACUUCCUCUCCUUCCUCGUUGUUCCAUACCUCCAAUCAGCUUUUUUUUGGAGACGUUUCAAACAUAACCAUAUUUGAUGCUUUAUAGCAAAUUUGAAUGAAAUAUAUAUGUUUAGAAUACAAAUGUUAAUUAAUAAUUGGGGAUGGAUUAAUAUUUUUUUAUUUAUUGAUUUUAAUAAAUAAAAAAUGAGAUUAAAUUUUUUUAUUUAUCUUUAUUAUUUUUUAAAUUUAUUAAAAUUAAUAAUUAAAAAAUAUAAUUUUUUUAACUUUAUGCUAAUAUAAAUUAAUUCCUCCUUUUAAUAAUUAAUUGUAUCAAAGAAAUAAGGAAAUAAUAUAUUCUAUGACAUCUUCUGAUUGUCCAAAAGUAGGAAUAGACAAAUGUCAUGAAAAUCUCACAUCAUACCACAAGAAAAUCUCUUAGCUGGGAAGGCUAGCUUUUAACACGUUGCAGGCGGAUGAUAUGUCAAUUCAUAUUUGUGUCUUGUAAGUUAGUGACAAAUAUAUAAUUUUAUUUUUCUUUUUUAUUAACCUUUUUUAAAAUUAAAUUUUAUUUAAUGAGAUUUUGUUUAAUUGAUUUUUUAAUUUGAAUUUAUUUUUUAUUUUCUAUUAAAAAUAACAAAAAAAAAAACACAAAAAUAAAAAAUCAUCCGAACACAACUUAAAGAAUCAAUGUUUCGUAAAUGUUUUUGAUUUUCAGUUAUUUUUCUCGAAAUUUUUUUUUAUUUUUUUUUUACAUAACAUAAUCCGAAAUAAUAAUUUCAAAAGGAAACGGAAAAAAAAAACCUGUUUGUCUUGUUACUACUUUUUUCGAAGAAUCCAAUAAAAACUUGUAGUAAAAAAAAAAAAAAAGAAUAAACAUUAGGCAAAAUUCUUUUUUUUUUUUCUUUUCUUAUGUGAAACACACGCAUGUCCAAACGUGAUUACAAGGUAAGAAGAGAAGUACCCUUCGAACAAGAUCGGGAGAACUGAUAAGACAUUUGGCACUCCAAAGAGGAUCAUUGAGGUUUUGGCCAUGGCGUUCAAGUUCAGUAGCGAACCCACCAUCUACCACUGCAUACCCACCGCACUUUGCAAGAAAAUCUGACACCAACACCGAUGGUUCCAUGCCUUCCAAUCCCCUGUUGGAGAAACAAAGAGACAGUGUGACAGAGAGACAGAGAGAGAGAGAGAGCUGGCAAAGCUUCCAAGAUUUUGAGGACAAAGGUUCUAGUUGUUUACACAAGUCAACAUUUUAUAGGGGGAAGAAGUCAUUCCAAAUUACAAAUUUCUCCUUGUUAUUUACAUAAAUAUAAAUUCUUUCCAUGUGAUUUUUGUCCUUAUAAUUUGGGGUAUUGUCAUUUUCCUUAUAUACGUGUAAAUUGCAUCACAUAUAUAUGAUAUUCAUAUAAUAUUUUAUUUUCAUUAAUCGUAUUUAAAAAUUAAUUUUGGACCUGUAAUCAGUUAAAAAUAUUUUAAAUUCCGUCAAUUGUGUUUAAAAUUCAAAAAAAAAAAAAAUCUAUCACCUUAAUGCACGUGAACGUUCAUGUGGAAGUUGUUAUAGAAAUACGAAAGAGAAGUUUGUAAAGUUCUUAUGCAUUAAGCAUCAUAUAUAAUUAGGAUUUAUAUUUAAUAUAUUAUUAAUAUAUAAAUUUUAUACAUUAUAAUGAAUAAGAUAAUAUUAUUUUAUUAAUAAAGUGAAUCAAAUGAUAUCAUUUUAUUAAUGAAUAAAUUUUUUAAUAAAUAUUUAUUUUAAAUAUUAAUAUUUACUCAUUAAUUAGAUAUCAUCAUUUGAUUUACUAAUAAUAUAUAAAAAUUAUACAUCAUUAAUGUAUUAAAUAUAAACUCAAUUAAUUAUGAGCAAAACACACUUACUUAAAAUUGAAGACUAGCGUGGACAAAUGAAGGGUGGUGAUCAUGGUUUGAUGAUAAUUAAUUUUGCAAAUUCUCCAAUUCAAUCAAAAGGUUUUCCCAGACAUAUAAAAAUUUUCCAUAUAUACAUAUAUUUAGAAAAAUUAUUUCAUUUACCUUAAGUUUUUAGAUUUAUCAACGAAGUUAAUAAAAUGAGAUAUAAUAUUUUAAAAAUAAAAUGUGAUAUUUUUUAAAUUUUAUAAAAUUUAAAAAAAUUCAUGACGAGAUAAGUUUUAUUGGUCAUCAGGAAAUUCUAACCAACAUUAAUCUCCGCAUUUUUACAAGCAGUCUUGCCAGCUGUAGCAUCUUGUGUAUUCAAUUACUAAUGUGGUCUAUUUCAAAACAAAAUAAUUAAUGACUACAGAUUCAAGCUAGCCUGAUCGAUCAAUGUACACAGCCUUAAAAGCGUCCAAAUUCCCUUUAUUUUUGUCUUUAUUUUUUUCUCUCUCUUUUAUUAAUUCCGAAAACCCUUCUCUUUCCCCUCCAAUGAGAAGACAUAGCUUUGGUUUCUUAAGCAGAGGAUUUGGCUAGGAAUGAUAACGGGUAAGGCCGAGUCAAAGUGAAUUUUAAUUUUUUUUUUAAUUUGAUUUAAUUUUAUAUCGUAGUAUUUGAUUUGAAGAUUUAUUUUUUUAUAUUUGAAUUCGAUUUGAUUUAAUUCGAUAAUAUAUAAAUUAUAUUUGAUUAGAUUUAAUUUAAAAUUAAUAAAAUAUUUUUUAAUAUAAAAUAUUAUUUUUAAUAUAAAUAUAAAAUUAAAUAAAUAUAUAAAUAUUAAAUUAAAUAAAAUAAUUAAAAAUAAUUUUUUAUAUAUCAAAUCGAAUCAAAUUUACUUAAAAUUUGAUUUAAUAUUUUUAUUAUUACUUUAUUUGAUCCGACUCAAAAUUUAAUUUUCAAAAAAAGAAAUUAAUCUUAAAAAGUUGAUUCGAAUAAAAACCCAUAAAAAAUGAAUUGAUACGCCAACCCUAAAUUUGUCGAAGGGCGAAGUGAAAAAGAAAAAGUGUACUCAACUACCAAUUUGAAAAUUGGAAGUGGAGUCACACUCACGUCUAUAUAUAAGUCCAGGAGGAAAAGAUAACAAUGACUUCCAUUAUCGUAGUUUAGAGAUAAUGAUAUCAUGUUGCGAAUAUAUAUUAAGAUAAGAUUCUGAGAUAAGAUUGGCUUUAAUAUUAGAAUUAAAAAGUAAAUUUAUUUUAGAUGAUUAUUUUUAGUAAUAGUUUUAAUUUUAAAUUAUCUUUGAUUUAAAAAUUUAUUUUUAAUAAAUAAGAGAUCAUAACUUGAAUAGUUUAAAAAAUUGUUAUUAUUUUAAAUUAUCAUGGCUUUAUAUAUUAAAAGCCAACAUCAAGGCACUAAAAAAUUAAUAGUUUUAUAUGUUAGCUUUGUGUAAAAUUCUCUUUCAUAUCACCAAUAUUCAAUUGUAUCAACAUAGCUUCUUCAAUCUUAUUUAUGACACGUAAGUCGAGAUUCAUUAUUUAAUAAAUAAAUUAUAAAAGUUAAAAAUUUAAAAUUUAUAUCUUUUAAAUAUAUUAUUUUUAAAAAUAUUUACAUACAUGAACAAAAUUAAGUCCCAGAUUCCAAUGAUUUCCAAUUUUCCAUAGCUCCUUAUCUACUCGAACCCAACAAUACUUUCCAUUUGGCAAACUAAAAUGGGAAUCAAGUGAAAGAGGACAAACAUAUAUAAGUGUAACGUUGGUAUCGGAUCGAAUUUGAGAUCGAUUUUAUUUGUCUUGAAUUCAACUUAAUUUUAAGUAUUAUUAAAUUCGAAUUUGAUUUUAUUCGAAAUUUUUUUUAUUUUUUUAUAUUCGAAUCCGAUUUCGAUUCGAUAUUAUAUAAACCGUACUUGAUUCGAUCCGAAUUGAAAUUAAUAAAAUAUUAUUUUUUAAAUAUAAAUAUUUAAAAAUAUUAUUAUAUAAAUAUAUAAAUAAAAAAUUAAAUAAUUAAUUAAAAAAUAAUUUUUUAUAUAAUAUCAAAUCGAAUCAAAUUUAUUUAAAAUUUAAAUUUAAUUUAAUCUCAAUUAUUUUUUAAUUUUAUUCGAUUUAAUUUAAUUUAAAAUUUAAAUUAAAAAAAAUCGAUCUCAUAAAAUUAAAUCGAAUUAAAAUUCGUCGGAGACGUGUCGGAUUCCCGUCCCUAAGUAAGUGCAUGCUGUCAAAGAAAGAUAGGAGUAAUUUUGCUAUCACUAUAUCGAGGUUGAGACAGCCAGGGGGUGGAUGAAAGAAAAAUGUCUUGUCAUGCCUUUCACAUCCAUUGCGUGAAAACGUACAAAUUCUGAAGAAGACAAACCACUAAUAUUUCACUAUUUCUUUUCUUGAGUGACUUAAUAUGUUUUUCCAUUUUAUUUCUCCUAAAUACUCACAUCCUUUUUGUGAGUGCACGUCUUUUCAAUGGGUUUACUUACAGAUGAUUUUGAUGGAUUAUGAAUUGAUUUUAAUAAGAUUAAAAUUAAUAAUUAAGUUAAAAUUAAUUAUUAUAAUAAAAUUAAAAUUAAUAAUAAAAUAUAUAUUUUGAUAUAAAAGUAAGAUAAUGAUAAAAUGAAUAGUAGUGAAAAUAAAAUAUUAUCAUUAAAAAUAUUGAUUAAAAAAUUUAAAUUAUUUAAUAUUUAUCAAAAUUAAUAAAUAAUUAAAAAAGUCAAAUUGUUUUUAAAUAAAAUUACAAUUUUAUUGAUAAAUAAUUAAAAUUUAUUUAUUAAUUCAUUAUAUAAUAAAGUUUAUUUAUUUAUUAAUUUAUUAUAUAAUAAAAUUUGUUUUAUAUUAAAUUACCAAAAUUACUUUAUAAUUUUUAAAUAAAAUUAAAUUAAAAAAGAACUAGUUGUUCACUUGAAGGAGGAAAAAAAAUUAAAGCAAUUGCAGUGGUGGACUGGAACCCCACCUUCCAAUGAUAAAUUGUCAAAAAUUACACCACACCGUAAUAUAGUUGAAUUGUCGGCAUAACUUUCCAUAAUAAUUGCAGCUUUGGCACGUUUCAAUCUAAAUCAGCCUUUUGUCUUUUUUCCAUUUGAUUGGUAUUUUUAUUAUAUAAAAUAAAAGAAAAGAGUAAAGGGCAAUACCAUAAUUUGAUUUAAAACAAAUAGAAUAAUUGAGAUAUAACAUUAAAUCAUAAAAAAAAAUAUUUCAAUUACAUAUUUAGUUGAUAAAAAAUUUAUAUAUGCUUAUAAAUCUUUACAAAGAUACUGUUAUUAUAAAUGUAAAGGAUGUCAAAAGAUAGAUAUAAAAAUUUCAUUGACGAUGACGACUCUAAAAAAAUAAAAGAAAGAGUCCACCCUUUCAAGUUUCUACCCAACGCAAAUCUUAACCAUGUAACAAAGACAAUACAAUACAUAGGGAUAAUGGGGCUCUCAUUUCCCAAUUGGUAUCAUUACCUUUUACUUCUAUCCAUGCAAUGUUGUGGGGGGCAAUCUUGCAUUGUGACAUUAAUGUAAUCAUCUUGCGAGUGGUCGAACCUAGUUUAAAAACAUAAAAGAAAAAUUGCAGGCAAUGAUCAAAUUUCUACUAACUAUACUCUUAAUAAGUUCCGCCAAUGAAAGUCUGCUAACUAGACGUUUUUAUUCAAUGGUUGAUAUAUAUAAAUAUAUAUAUAUAUAUAUAUAUUAUAUAAAAAAGUGAAUGAGUGUAGUAAUGAUCGACUUAAAUAUUUUUAUAAAUUUUUAAAUUAACUAAAUUAUCUUUAAAUAUAUAAUUUUUAUCAAUUUAUUUAAGUUUAAUUUAAAUUAACUAAAAUUAAAAAUAAAAUUUAUGUGAAAUUAAACUAUUUAAAAUUUUAAAAUUUUAAUUUCAAAAUUAUUAAAAGUAAUUGGCUAAAAUAUCUUUAGUAAAUGUUUUAUAAAUUUUAAUUUAAAUGAAUUUUUUAUUAUUAAACUUUUUUUAUAAUUAGAUUACAAAAGAGUUAAAAAUGAUUGACUAAACUACCCCUAAUGAAAUUUUAAUUUAAAAAAUAUUACCAAUGAUCGAUUAAAAUACCAUUGGUAAUAUUUUUAUAAAUUUUAAUUUAAAUGACCUUUUUCAUUAUUAAACUCAUUUUUUAUAAGUAGAAUGUUUUUUCAAAUCAAAUGAAAAUAAAAAUAAAACGAGAUCAAAGUUUAGGUUGCAUAGAAAUAAAACAAUUAUAUGAAAUUUGUUAAUUUAGUUGUUUUAAAAAUAAUUGUAUAUGUAGUUUACGUUGAUAAAUAAGUUCAUUAAAGAUAUCAUAAUUAAGUCAAUGAAGCAUAUUUUUUUUUCUAUUUUUUACAUUCAAAUUUUUUGUUUUAAUAUAUUAACUAUAUAUGUAUGUUAAUGAUUUUAUUAUUUAUAGAUUUUAUGAGUUGAUCAUUCGAUCAUUGAUAACAUAAUUAAAUUUUUUUAGUCUCUUGAAAUAAUUCUUUAACAUAUCAUUCUUACAUUUUAGUCUAACAUCUAUAACUAAUUUCUCUUUUAUAUUUUUUGUCUUUAGAAUUUUAUAAUUGUUAUUCUCAUGAACAAAAACAAAUAUCAAAUCAAAUACAAAUCAACUGUAUCCCUUCCACUAAUAAUUAACACUAUGUGAUUUAUUGAACACUUUAAUUGGACUUUUUAUCUAUAAAAUUAGAUGAUUCAGGAGGUAGUGGAACUAACAAUGGCUUAGGAUUGGAUCUUGUUAAAUUGCCAUAACAAUUGUUUACCUUGAUUGAAACAACAAUUGAUUUAAUUUUCUCUCAACUUUUUAUCUUAAUAUGCAUAUAUAUGAUUAAUUUACAUGUUAAGAUUAUUUAAUCUUUCUUAAUUGUAUUAAAUUACUCCAUUUUUUUUGUCAUCUAAGUGAUUGAACAACCUAACAUGAAUUAUUAUAAUAAAAAAUUAUCAAUUGAAUAAAAUUAAGUGUUUUGGGUGAAUUAUUUCAAGGAGUGACAAAAUUCAUUGGAUCUAUUUUUUGAAUGUGUUUAUGGCAAAAUUAUAUUCAUUAAUGAAAAUUAUAUUGUUAAUGAUGAAAAUAAAAUCAUUAUAAAUAGCAUAACAUAACAAAUUUGUUUUUCUUAUAAUUGAAAUUUUUUUAAGAAAACAUAACAAGCACCAAGGUUAAGAAUUUAUUUUAUUUUAUUUCAUUUAAUUUUCAAUUGUACUAAAAGAAUAAUUGUAUUAAAAUAGAUAACAGUGAAGAAAUAUAAUGGCUGAAAUUUUAUAUUAAUGAGUAUAUAGUUGUGGCCACAACUAAUACCAUCUAUUUCUUAAAAUGACAAGAACGAGCAACAAUGUCUAAAGUAUAUAUAUGAUAUGCAAAAUGAAAAGUUUAGACCUAUUAGCUUGAAGUGAUUAUAUUAGAGAUUUAGUCUCAAGUGGAGAUAAUUAUCAUAAAAGAAAAUUGAAUUCAAAGAUAUUUGGUUAGUAAUACUAUAAGUAGAAUGAAUUUAAACCCUUAUUAUUAGACACCAACAAUGGGAACCCAACUUUGAAUUAGUAAUCUCUAAUUACAAAGCUUAAUGGGUAAAAACAAGUUAUUGUUAUGUAUUUGUUUAGUACUAGUAAAAUCCAUUUAAAAUUUUGAAACUAAUAUGAUCCAUUGCUUGGGGAAGAUAAGUUUUUAUACUCUUAAUAGAGUUUAGUAUUUAAAUGGCUAAAGCAAUGGAGACAUAAUGAAAAUUCUACUUAUAUAAACAUAGAAGUGGUGUUGCUUCAACAAGAAAAAUUAAGGUCUUUCUUGUAAAUGUUUAUGAAUAUGAUAAGCACAUGACUAUAACAAUGCUAAUGCUAAAGCAGUUGUAAACCUCUAAAAGAAGAAUAAAUAAGUAUUAUGUGUGUUAUAUCUUCAAUUCUAGAACUAGAAGUUGAGGUUUAAUCUACAAACAUCAUUAAUUUCAUUAGAAUUCUAAGAUAUAUACUCUGACUGAAGGUUUUAAAUUGAGAGAUACCUUUUUGUGUUUAUAAUAUUUAUUUGUGUGAAAGGUUAAAUAUUAAACACCAACAUUGCAAACUGGUGGGGGAUUGUUUGCAGUUUAGAAUGUGGUGUAUCUCACAUUGGAUAGAAAAAUUUAAUUAUUGAUGAAUAUAAUUAAUUUUGUUUUAAUUUUAUUCAUAUUUUAAAUAAUUAUGUUUGAACAGAAAUAAUUAUUAUAUGACAAAUGGUUAUAAUUAUUUGAAUAUAAAUAAAUUAUUGUUCAUAAAGGUCAUGAUUAUAAAAAAAGUCAUAACCAUUUGAAUAGAAGUUAUAUCUGUUCUUUCAUUAUAAAUAGAUAUUUUAAUAUAAUCAUUUUCACUACUAUUACUUGGAGAGUUUUGAGGCUUUAUUAUAUCCUAAAGACAUAAUUGCUAUUAAUAAAGUGUUUUUCAUGCCUUAAAACUAAAAUUUUUUCUAUUAUUUCUAUUCUCUUAUUUAUUUUUUCUAACAUGAACUUCUCUUGUACAAUAUGGUAUAUUGUAUCUUUAUUUUUCAAGCUCAUUUUUGUAAUUUCAUUGUGAUUCUCAACUUCUCUUCCUUGACAUCUUUAUAUUUCCUCUUUUAUCUCAUUUUCUUUAGAAGGGACGUAAGUGGCUAGUGGUUGACAAUUUAAUUGUUUCUUUCUUUAUUUGAUAUGCUAUGGAAACAUAAGUUUAAUUUUCCAAAUUUUGUUAAGGUUUAGAUGAUUUAGAAUGAAAUCUUUGGAAAGCCUCCAUAAAUGAAGAGAGGUUAUUGAUGAAGGCAGGAAGAUGACUAUUACACAUGAUGUAGGAAAACAAAGGUUGGCUUAAUGAUUGGUUAGGGAUUUUUUGUCUCACAAGGGAUGCUUCUGACUUAAUUUAAGGGUUAAAAUACUAAAAAAUGCCUUUGUAUUAUUUCACAUUUCUUAAACAAACUUAUAUAUUUCUAUGUAUCCUAAUAAAUUCUUAUAUUUUGAUUUAUAUCCAAAUAAAUCCUUAUUUCAAAUGAAAGAAUGGUUUAUGACAAUCAACUCGAGACCAAGGAUUUUCAAGAGAAACAAAAUUAAUAAAAAUGGUAAUUAUAAGUUUUAUAUAGUUGCUUACCUUUAAAAUCCAUAUAAAUUACAUGUGAUAUGCUACUUGAUGUUGAUGAUUAAGGUUGAAAUUCUGAAUUUAGGUGUGUGAAUCGAGUUAGGGUUUUUUUUGGCAUCUCUACUUCAGUUUUGAAAUCAAUUUUUUAUUUUUUGACAAAAAAUGAAGUUGUGGGAAUAACGAACCACUAUUUUUUAUAUUCUCCAUUAAGCCAUUUUACAACAAUUGUGAUGUGACGCUAUGUUCAAGAUUGAGAUUCUCUUUUUAUUUUUCUUUAAUAAUGAUGAUAGAUGAAGAUAUUACUAUGAAAUAGCAACUACUAUUUAAAAUCCUAACUCUUCAAUAUGAAAAUGCUAUAAACAAUGCACAAAUAGGACAAAUGAAUGAAAAGAUUAAGUUCUUGAAAAGUGAAAUUGUAGGUUUAAAGUUCCAAAUGUCAUAGAUUUUUGAACUGAGAUAUGAAAUAUUGUUGAAAGAUAUUCUCUUGGAUCAAGUUUUAGAUUAUUCGUUAUAUGGAAAAAGUAAUAGAGAAAAUGGCAUAGUAGAUGAUCAAAUGCUUGAGCUAUAGAAGUCUACUGAGCAUGAAUGUGACGUUGAUUCAAUAAUUCACAACAUGCAAAAAAAGGCAAUUAUAUCGGGGGAUCAUUGUUUGUCAUCAGUUCAAUAGGUUAAAGUAGAAAAAUGAUGAAAGUUCUUUGAGAACAUAGGUUGAAAAGAAGUUGAGCAUUGAUGAGAUAAAGUAUAGAUAUCUAUAAGCAUUAGAAAGUCAAAUAAAAAAGCAAAAAAUAAAAAGGUCUUAGAAAAGAGUUUCUUCUUAUGAUCAUAAAUUAAUGAGUCUUCAAACUAUUGUCGAAUAGCUCAAAAAAAGAAUGGAAUAAAAAAGAGGAAGAAAGUCUAUGAUCUAGAAUAUGAACAAGUGAAAUAGCAAUUGCAAGAGGUGAAUGACAUAAUCAUGGAGUUGGUGAAUGUCAAUAUGUUAAUUAAUUAAAGAUGUUGAAGGAAAUUUUUCAUUUUUAGAUGGGACAAACUCAGUUGAGUUAGAAAAAGCUAGAAAUAAGGUAUGAAAAUAUUGGAAAUUGCAGCUUAAGGUGCAGAGCAUUGAAUAUGUUUUGCUAAAAUUGAAAAAUGAAAAGAAAAAAAAUAAAAUAGGUGUUUUUUUAAGAGACUCCGUUUAUAGUGAAAAAAGGUAGAAGAAGCCUUGUUCUUAUGGGUGUGUAAUGGUAGAAUUUUUUUAGAGGGGUUAUUAUUAAUUGGUGUUUUAAUAAUUUAAUGAAACAGACUGAUAAGUUUAAUCCUAACACAAGAUACAAUCGUAGGAGCCCAAAUAAUUUAAAGUGAUUUUUUAUGUGUGGGCUUUACAUCCCUUAUUAGGUUAAUGUGAUUUGGCGAUUAUGCUGGUUUUUGGCUCAAUAAACUUUUGAUGGGGAGGAUUUUAUGGUUUUAAUGAUAAUAAGCUAAGGUUAUUUUCACUUUUAUCAGCUAUGGCUACUACCCAUUGAGAGCCGCUAGUAACAAAAAAGUGAAGAGAAAGACCUAGCUACUCCAGGAACUAUUUUGCUUUCACAUAUCAUUCAUGGCCACCCAAACAGGUAUUUGAUUCUGUUUAUUCAAUUGUGGUGUCCUAAUUAUCACAUAAUGGUCUUGGGUUAAUUCUUAUAUAUGGUAUCAGAACUUUUUUAUGUGAUAUUAGAACCUUAAAACCAUGUUUCAAAUUUUAUUUUUACUUGAAUCAUUUAUUUGGGGUGAAAAUUUAUGGUUGAUGUAAUCUUAUUUUUGGAUUUUUAUUUUUUGAAAUAAAUUUAAGGUUUUUUAUCUUUUAUACAAAAGGACUAAAACCAUAUAUAGAUCAUUUCCUAAUUUGACCUAUAGAUAGAGAAAUCAUAAUUGAAAGAUUUGGGUUCAAGUUUUAUUUCAAAUACAAGAUUUGAUUGAAACCUAGUCAUUUUAUGUGUUUCAUCCAAAAUUGAUUCUUGAAUAAUGUUUCUCAUGUGUUAUAAUUUCAAACCAAAGUGUUUAAUUUCAUAAAAUGUAGAUUUAGAUGGUCAAAUAUGAAGAAAACAUAAACGGGUUAAAUAUAGGUUUUAUUGAUAUAAGAAUUUUCCUUAUUAAUAUUGUUUUUGUUAGUUUUUGAUGCAUUUUUUGACAUGAGUUUAAAAAAAAAAGGUUUAAAUGAGAUUUAGGCACUUCAAUUUUAUGCUAAUAGUAAGAAAAAACAUCAAAUUAGAUUAAAAAAAAAAUUGAAUUGACUUGAACAGGUCGAAAUCUACUCCGAUUGAUCUGGGUAAACCUAGCUAGAGGUUGAAAAAAGAAUCCCGCAUGCUAGACAUAGCCCACGCACAGGGAAUGGUGUGUAUGGCACAUGUGGACACAUUUAGUGGCCAUAUUUGCUCUUAUUUCUUUCGACAUGCUUGCAGUUUUAUUCUAAUUUUUUCAUUAUUUUUUUGAAAUAUUUUAAUUGCAUGAAAUAUUUGUUAUUUGAUAUUCAUACAUUAUUCAAUUAUUUCUAUAUGUUAUGCUCAUGAUUUUGGUUAUUUUAUUUUAUAAUAAAAUGUUUUGACAUGCUGAGUGUCUAAUGACGGUAGUUACUCUCUUUAGAUAAGCCUUAAUAUUUGUGUACUCUCGAAUUGGAUUUUAUUUGCAUAAUUAAUUAAUUAGUAAAAUUAAUUUUAAUCAAGUUAAGACCCAAGUUUAAAUGCAAUAUACACUUUUUAAAGAACCUAAUAAGAUACAUUUAGGUUUAAUAUAUCAACUAAAGUGGUCUAUAGCAUAAAUUAUUCUUGAGUAUGCAAUUGAGAAUUUUGGGCAAUUUUAAAUUUCUUGAUUUGAAAAAAAAAAUUUAUUAAUUAAUAUAAGUGUUUGGCUGCUAAAGUGGCUCAUUUAUUGAAAUUUAUAGAAUAUUUUAUUAUUAUAAGUUUACGAGAUGGUUAUUAAAUUAUCUUAUGCAAUUAUCCGCCCAAAUGGGAUUAAUGUGUAGGAUAAUUUGUGUUGGUAGAUGAAACAUCAUGAUUGAAGGAGUACUAGUCUAGAAGAUUUAUCUAACCAAAGAAGAUAAGGUUUUUGAAAGCUAGGACAUUCUCAUUUUAGCUAUAUGUAAAAAGUUCCUACUUGUAUGUUGCAUUUUUCACCCAAAAAAAAGUAUAUGGUGAUGAACCAGGAUCUUUUAAUUACAGUUAGCAAUCAUAAAUCGUUGCUACAUGUUUUACAUUAUUGUCCAUCAAUUAAUGUUGUUUUUUUUGUCUUGAAUAGUGGGUUUUACUAUCAAUAACAAUCAAGCUGCUAUUUAGGUUCUUUAAGGUCUAACUAUAAGAGAUGGAAUGAAUAUUUGAAUUUUGCUUUGAUUAGAAGUGAGAUAGACAUAGUUUUAUGUUUUCAAAAGCCUGUUAAGAUUACUACAAAAAAUAUUGCUAAACAAAAACAUUUUUUGCCAAAUGGAAAAAAGUAAAUUGUAUAUGUCUGUAUGCCAUUAAGAAGUCUAUUUUUAAACAUUUUUGAGUAGGUGGACACCAUUUAAAUUGUUAGGAACCUUUACAAUGUUGUAAGCAAUAGAUAAAAAAAUCUUGUAAGUCUGAGGUUAAGAACUAAUGAGUGAGCUUAUGAGUAUAAGGUAUGACAAUGUAGGGGUUGUUAAAGAUUUUAUCAUAAGAAUGGUCCACAUUCAAACCAAAUUGAUUUCCCAUGAAAUUAUCCCCUUUAACAAAUUCAUUGUUCAUCAUGCCCUUAUUGAGUUCACAUAAAUUAAAAUUGCAUAAAAUGCUUUGAAUGAAGUUUAGAGUGUUAAUCAUCUUAUUUCAAAUGUGUCUUUGAGGAAGAAAAUUUUAAGAAAUAAAAAAUGAGACCGCAUUACCGCAUUUCUUACUACCCACUCUAAACUUAAUUACUAAAGGAAUUUUGGGAAACUUAGGAGAUUUAUGCUUAAUUCUCAAAGUAUGGUUCAAGAUAACAAAAGAUAGGGUAAUGGUCAAACAAAAGGCGUAAGAGGUCAUAAAGCUUUCAUUAAGAAAGAUAUCAAGUGCUUUUCCUACAAGAAGAAAGAUCACAUGAAACAUAAAUACCUUAAAUAUUAAGUUUGGUUAGAGAUAAAGAAUAAACAAGAAGGUAACUCAGUAGCUCUCAUUUGUUUUGAAUCCUAUUUUGUUAGCAUCCUACAAAAUUUGUGGUGGCUUGAUAGUGAUGCAAUUGUUCAUAUUCUUGUUACCUUAUAGGGAUUCAAAAGCAAAUGAAAGCUAAGUAAGAAAAAUGCCAAACUAAGAGCUGAAAAAAUGUUGAAGUAAAUGUUAGUUAUAUAUGAACAAUAAGUUUAAAUUUAGAAUCUUGUUUUGAACUUAUUUUUCAAAAUAUUUUUCAUGUACCAUCUUUUAGAGAAAUUUGAUUUUCAAUUUCUAUUUUGGACAAACAUGGUACUAUUUUGCAUAGAAAAUGGAAAGGUUGACUUAUUUUUAAAUUCAAAUAUUGUUGGUGAAUAUAAAUAUUGACAACUUAUGUAAACUAUGCUUGGCUUACAAUAAUGAAUAUAGUGUAUACUAUAAUGCCUACGACAAUGUCUAAAAGUUUUACUAAAAAAAAAACUCUUAUUGGUUGUGACGUAAAAGGUUGAGUCACAUUUCUAAUGAAAAAGUACAAAAAUUGAUAAAAGAUGGUAUUUUACCUUUUAUUAAUUUUGAAAUUUUAGACAUUUGUGCAGAUUGCAUAAAGAGAAAACUAACUAAGAUUAAGGAAAAGGGCAACUCAUAGUUCUAAUCUUUUAGAAAUUGUGCACAUUGAUAUUAGUGGACUUCUUACAUCUACCUUGUGUGGUAACAAAUAUUUUGAUACUUUUAUUAAUCACUAUUCUCGCUAUAGGUAUCUUUACCUGAUUGAUGAAAAUUGAAUUUUUUAAAAAUUCAAAAUUUUUAAAACUAUGGUACAAAAACAAUUAAAGAAAGUCAUCAAAGUGGUUAGGCUUGACCGAGGUAAUAAGUAUUAUGACAAACAUGGUGAAAAUGGACAACCCAUGGGACCAUUUUCCAAAUACUUACAAAAGUGUGGGACUGUUGCCCAAUAUAUUAUGUUUUGUAAUCUUGAGCAAAUGGUGUAGCCCAAAGGCAAAAUUGCACCUUUAAUGAAAAUUAUGAUGAGUAGAUCAAUCUUCUUGGAUCUUUUCAAGGUGAAGCUAUUAAAACUAUAUUGUACAUACUCAAUAGAAUAUUUAGUAAAUUUAUUUCUAAAACAAAUUUUGAAUCGUGGAUUAGUAGGAAACCUAGUUUGAACCACUUUCGAGUUUAGAGAUAUUCUACAAAAGUCAGAAUUUAUAACCUUUUCAAAAGAAAAACUGAACCUAGGAGUACUCAUUGCUAUUUCAUAAAGUAUCUAGACUAUUCUAAGGGAUAUAGGUUCUAUUCUUCUACAUAUGGGACUAAAGUUGUAGAAUCACAGGUGACAAAGUUUCUUAAGCUAGAUAUUGCUAACAAGGGUGUGACAAAAGUUGUUGAUAACAAUGAACCUAUUAGACACUUCUCAAUUCUUUUGCUUGCAACACAGUGCAAUAUUUUGCCAGUGACUAUUAAGAAAGAAGAUUAAAGGCACCCUCCUACCACUUAUGUUACUUUUGUUGGUAUACCUCUAGUUCAAGAAAAUGAUAUUGAAAAGCCUUUGAAGAGAUCUUUCAAGCAAAGAAAAUCUAUCAUUUUUAAUGAUUAUGUAAUUUAUCUUGGAGAGAGUGACUAUGAUAUUAGUCAUAUUAUUGAUCCUAUGACUUUUAGUGAUGCUUUUAAUAAUUCGUUGUCUGAUGUAUGGAUAGAUGCAAUGAAAAAUGAAAUUAGUUUUAUGGCUUAAAAUGGAGUUUAGAAGCUUGUUGAACUACUAAAAGGGUAUACGCCCAUUGGUUGUAAAUGGGUGUAUAAAACCAAAAAAGAUUUUAAAAGAAAAAUUGAGAGACUUAAAGCUAAACUAAUGACAAAGGGACUUUUUCAGAAAGAAAGAAUAGAUUAUAAUGAAACUUUUUCUUCGGUGCUUUCUAAGGAUUCUUUUAGGAUUAUUAUAGCCUUGGUAUCACACUUUGACUUAGAACUCCAUCAGAUGGAUGUGAGGACAACUUUUCUCAAUGCUAAUCUUAGAGAAGAGGUUUUAUAUGGUGUAACUUGAAGGAUUUUAAGAAUAUGGAAAGAAACAUUUAGUAUGUCAACUUAAAAAAUCAAUCUAUGGCCCUAAGCAAGCUUCUAGUUAGUGAUAUCUAAAAUUUGAUGAGAUAGUUACUUUCUUAGAUUUUGAGGAAAAUAGAUUGAUCAAUGCAUACCUUAAAAUCAAUGGGAGUAAGAUAUCUUUCUUGUUUUAUAUGUAGAUGAUAUCUUACUAGUUUGCAAUGAUAUUAGUUUGUUGCAUAAAAAUAAACAAUUAACCAAGACUUUUAACACGAAAGAUCUUAUGGAUGCCUCUUUUGUUCUUGGAAUUGAAAUUUAUAAAGAUAAGUCUUAAAAUUUGUUGGGAUUAUUGCAAAGAUCUCACAUUGAUCGUAUGAAUAGUGUAUUUAACAGGUAGAACUAUAAUGCUAGGGAUACACCUAUUAUAAAAGGUGAUAGCCUUAAUCUAUGUUAGUGCCCAAAGAAAAAUACUAAUAAAGAACAUAUCAUAUACUAGUGUAAUUGGGAAUCUUAUGUAUGCUCAAGUUUGCACUAGGUUAGAUAUUAUUUUUGCAAUAAGAGUUCUUGAAAGAUAUCUUUCUAGUCUUGGUAUGGAUAAUUAGGUUACUGCUAAAAAAAUGGUAAGGUACUUGCAAAAGACCAAAGACAAUAUGUUGGUAUACGAGAAGGUGAAAAAAAUCUUAAGAUAGUAAGGUAUACAAAUUCUAACUUCGUUGGUUGUCAAGAUAACAAAAAGUUCCACCUUAGAGUAUGCUUUUAUGUUGGCUGCAGGAGUAUGUCUUGGAAAAGUGUGAAACAAACAUUCUUUGUUUCUUCCUCCAAGCAAGCUGAGUUUGUUACAUGCUAUAAAGCUGCUACACAAGCAAUAGGCUUCCAUAUUGUUGAUUCCAUCUCUAGACCAAUGAAGAGUAUUGUGACAAUAGGUUUGCCAUGUUCUUUAAAAACAAUGAAAGCACUAGUGGGUCUAAAUAUUUAGAGAUAAAAUAUCUUACAGUUAGGGAUUUUAUGAAAAAUGGUGAGAUUUUUGUCAAAUACAUUGAGAUUGACAACAUGAUUGUUAAUCCUUUAACUAAGGGAUUAAGAUUUAUAGUGUUUGGUAAACAUGUUGAAAGCAUGGGUAUUUAGGGUCUUUUGAUGUAAUUCUUUAAUGGGAGUAUAUCAUUUGUAUUUCAUACUCACACAUCAUGGUUUACUUUUAUGUUGGACUUUUUUUUUUGUAUUUGGAAUAUCUAUGAUAUUUGAUUUCAUGCUUGAAUGAUGAUUAUCGUUGGUUGACAUUUUAUGUUGUUAUUGAAUUUUAUUAGUACAUGUAAACUUGGAAAAUUAAAAUUUGUUAUAUGUAUUGUGAAAUCUUAAGACUUUGUGUCAAUCUUAAGUAUGACAGUUUUGUCACUUAGGUAUGUGUCAUAAAUGACACCAUUUAGGAACCUCCAAGAUAUGGAGGAGACAUAUAGGUACAUUUGGAUGUUAUGGAGAUUUCUAAGCAAAUUUAAAAAAAUUGGCAAGAGGACUGACAAUGAGAAUAACAUAUUGAGAUCAUAUUUGGGUGUUAUUUUCUUGAUACACAACCACAUUAAGAUCCAUUGUCGAUAGAGUCACUGGUAUUUAUAAUUAUGGAUUAGUCUUAUGUCAAUAAAGGCUAUAAAAGCUGCUCUGAUUCGGUAUUAGAUAAUUUUAUUGAACAAAAUCAUUAAGAUAUUAUCAUAAAGGACUAAAUUAUUUUUUAAAAUUACGGUCACAUCAAAAUAAAGUAAAUUAACUUAGAGUCUUAUUUUCUAAAUUAUGUUUUAUUAAAAUCAAGCAACCCAAUCAAUACUACCCAAGUGAGAGAAUGUUAGAAUUUUUCAUAAGUGAAUUACUAUUAAUUAAUGAUUUUAAUAAUUUAAUAAAACUAACUGAUAAGUUUAGUCUUAACACGAAACAACCAUGAUAGCUCAAAUAAUUUAAAAUGAUUGCUUAUGUGUGAGUUUUGCAUAUCUUAUUGGGUUAGUAUAAUAUGACGAUUGUGUAAGUUUUUGUCUCGAUAAACUUUUGAUAGGAAUGCUUCUAAGGUUUUUAACCCCUCUUCACUUCUAUCAAUUACGGUUACUACUCAUUAGGAGUUGCAAGUAAGAGAAAAAGGAAAAAGAAGACUUAAUCACUCUAAGAAUUGUUUUGCUUGCGCAUAUCAAGAAUUGUUUUGCUUGUUUGUUUAAUUGUAGUGUCCUGAUUACAUCUUGGGUUAAUUCUUACUUGCAAGACCAUGUUGUUUGAUGUUAGCCACAAACUUCCCCUGAGAUUUUCCUGGCAUUUCGCCGCCUCCAUCAUUUUAUCUUGUAAUUUCAAGCAACAAUGUCUAAGAAGUAUAACUUUUUUAUAUGGUCAAUAGAAAUGAAAUUCAAAACAUGCAGCUCAACAGCUCAAGGCUCAUACUCUUUAACUGCAUUUUGGUUUUAGACAUUACAAGGAGUUGGCUAGUUGAUCCUGUGGUCCCAGUCAAAAGAACUACAAAUCGUACAUAUUUUAUUUAAGCAGAGCCGGUCUUGGAGGAAUGAGGGUGAAACUAAUGAAGUUACACUCGUUUUUUAGGAAUAAAUCAGUUUGAUUCUUUGCAAUUAUUAAAAAUAAAUCCAUCGACUCGUUUAAUUUUUUGAAAAAAUCAGUAAUAUUGAUUAUCAAUUUUUUAAAACUGAGCCCUUCACCGAUCUAGUGCUCAUCUCUAUUGUUUGAGAUGGUAUCUGACUGUAAUUCUAAGCAAUUAACUUAUACUCUUCAUAGCCUACCUGGCCCCAGAAAUCCAAACCCAUCAAGCGGGCCAGACGAUUCUAAUCAAAGACCCAAUCACAAAAAACUGGACGGCGGUCAGAAUUUUAUCCUUUACCGUUUUCAGAUAAACCAACAAUUUGUAAAGGUUAACUUUACAUACAGUACAAAUAAAAACAUUAUUUAGUGAAGGGGUUGGCAGGAAUCAAGUAGUCAUUGAAACGAAAACCCCACCAUUAAAAAGUUCAAUUUUCCAGAUGGGUGUUUCAUGUAGCCAUAUUAAAAGCAGUUAGCUGUACAAUGCAGAGUGACCGAGAAUUAUUUUAGAUCAAUGAGAUAACAUUAAUUGUAUAGUUGAUCGAUACCAACACAGACAUGUUCCAAGGAGUUACAGAUUGUCCAGUCAAUAUUAAUUUGCAAAAUCAUAUCCUUUAACAUAAAAAACAUGGAGAAAUUCUCUACUAAGUUUUCAACAAAAAGAAAAUGAUCAACAAAACUCUUAGAAGCAGAAAAGACAAACAUAUUCAAGGACUUAUCAUUCAAGCUCCAACAACCUCUGGUGUAGCCUCAGCCAUUGCCUCAUCAGCAGGCCUCUCUACUUUCACACCAAAAUCUUCUGAGUAAUCACCAUGAACCUAAAUAAAUAGAAGAAAGAUAUUAAUCAGGCACAAGGCAAGACACUUUGAUAUCUUAUUCAGCUAUAAAUACCAAGGCCACAUGGAAUAUUUUCAUUCAAAAUGUUGUCAGGAUGCAGGGAAAGACUAAGCAGAAAAGAUAUAAGAAACAUACCUCCAUCAACUUUCCAAGAUCAAACUUGGGAGCCUUCAAAAUUUUGACUUUACGAAUGAACACAUUCUGCAAAGGAUAGAUGCUAGAUGUUGCCUUUUCAAUUUCUUUUCCAAUCAUCUCGGGAAUGAACUUUUGAACUAAUUCCUUCAAAUCACAGGAUGAUGCCUGGGCAGUCAUUAUCUCACUCAUCUUUCGGCGUAUCUGCAAAACAAAAGAAACUUCACUCAGUCACUCAGUCAUCAUGGGAUUGACUGCUUCAGGAAAAGUACAACACACUCUGAAUAAAUGAUCAGUGAAGUUUCAAUAUAUAUCAAGGUAUGUGAGUCAAGAAAAUUGUCACAAGAACUGAAAGUUUGGCAGAAUAUCAGAGUAGUACCUGCCUAAUCUGGCUGGAUUGUGCAUAACAAGUCCUUUUAACCUGGUUUGGGCGCCUCUUAGUGAAUCCAAUGCAAAACAUUCUCAAAGUAUAAUUGUCAGUUGUCUUCACAUCCACAUGAGCUUCAAUUAGAGUUUGCCAUUUACGCACCAAAGACCUCAGUUUGUCAGUUGUAAAAUUCAUUCCCUGGAAAUUUGAAAAGGAAAGCAAAACAAAUUUGUUCAUUUAUUAUUACAAACAACACUGGAACAAUGUUGUAAAUAAAUAUUUUGGCCAAAAAAACAAAUAUAUUUAUAUUUAUCAUACCCAGAAAUUGGUCAAAACAUUUUUUCCUUGAACAUCUUCAGCUCUCAAACGAAUCUUUCUAUAAGCAUGAUCCUCAUCGCCACCUUGAAGAUCAGCCAGUGAUAUCUCAAACACACGGUGUUUGAGUCCUUCUGAAGCAAUCUGUAAUAAAAUAGUCAAGUUCAAACUAUUUAUCUAUAUACAUAGAGAUUAAAUUGUAACCGCAUGUUAACGAAAUGUAAUAACCAGGUCUAAGUUCAUUGUGCUGUACCUACAUGCAAAAUUAAUUAUUUUGAAGAUUUUCUAACAUCCACUUAGAAAAAUAGAAACAAACUCAUGAAGUCACUUAAGCGGCUAAAUAACAGAAGCUGACAAAUGAUACAAGACCAAAAAAAUUAAGGAAAAGUAAGUUUAAGUUUCUCAACAAAUGAAUCCUUGAAAGAUAAUUGAAGAAAUGAAAUUGAUUAUAAGGCAUUCAGGCUCUUUCUAGAAUUCCAGGCUCUUUCUAGAGUUUCAGAAAUUUAAGCAUUCAGAUGGCAAAUAGAUUAACCAUAUAACAUAUUAGGCUAGUAGAAGUUUAGUAGAAAAAAAGAAAUGACAAUUCAGCAUUUCAGCUAAAAAAAAUAUCAGGGUCCAACCAAACAACCUACUACAAAACCAUGGUUCAGCUCAAUUCCACAUUUCAUAAACAGGAAAAACAGCACAUAGCAUGAAAAAUCAAAGUAAAAUUAAGCAUCCUUAUCGUCAUUCCGAUAAAAGAUAAAAGAGUCGUAGCACUAAGCCAGGUACGCAAUGUACAAAGAACAUGUACAAAAUCCGGUUUCGCUCAGGUUCAAACUAUACAAUAAUCUUACAUAUAAUGCAAAACAAGCAUUUUCAAAAGAGUAAAAGAAAAUAAAGAAUUAAAAGAAACAAACCUUGGUACCCUGAGUACGGGUAACAAGAGUCUUCCCCACAUUUCUGGUAGUAAAAACCGAUGGAGCCUUGAUAUCAUACCAAUCCUUCUUGGCAAAUGGAUCAGCUCUAAAAAAAACAAACAAAAGACAUCAACAUCAAACAAACAGAUCUAUCUACAAAAUACCCAAAAUGAGAUUUAAGCUUAAAAAAAAAAAAAAAAAAAAAACUCACGCCUUCUUCUUUCCUCCCUUCUUUCCCUUGGAAAUCCUCUUGUUCUUCCUAUAUUACAAUACAAAGAAAGAACCCAAAAAAAAAUCAGUGAAAAGAAAAGUAGCAAAACCCAUUUGAAAAAUGAGGGAGAGGAAGAUAAAGAAAUUAGUACCCGACGGCCAUGGUUGAAGUUUUGCCGGUUAGCUACGAAGUGCAGUCUGUGCAGAGCAGAUGGCCGCUAGAGAGCUCAACCUUGUUCUUUUGGUGUGGGAGACUUCAAAGUUCAAACCCUACUUUUAUUGAUUGGUUUAUAACCAGCUCCUUGGUGGAUCGAUUUUGGGCUAAUCGGGUUGCACUCUGAGGGUUUUGAGCCUUUUUGGGUGAAUUAGAGUUGGAUUUGAGCAAAAUUCUAGGCAGAAUUGGACCUAAGUUCAAUAUUUGAGCCCACUAUUCACUAAUCAUGCCUUUUCUUUCUCACGCAGUCAGGCCAACAAGCCCUACUUCUGUUUUUCUAUAAAUUUUAAUAUUUAUUUUGGGAAAGAAUAUAAGUUUAAUGUUCUUAUAUAGUAAAUAUCAUAAUUUUAAAUACAUAUAAUCAUAUAAUAUAAAAAUAAUAUAAAAAAUUAUAUAUGAGUUUUGAAAAAAUAAAAAAUAAAUAUUUUAUAUUUGAUGUAUCAAUAUGAUUUUUGAUAUUAUAAUUUUUUUAUUUUACAUAUAUUUGAUACCAAAUAAAUAAAAUAUAAAUAUAUGAAUUAUCAAAUUUAAUUUCUAACCUUUUUCAAAAAUGAUAGAACACAUGUAUAAAUUUUCAAUCAAUUUUAUUGUCAUAUUUAAAAAUUGUUAUUGCUUGUUGUUUGAGUUGGUCAAGAUGAAAAAACAUUUAAAAAUUUUUUCGAACGCUAAAUUUAGUAAGAAACUUUUGAUAUUAUAUAUUAUCACACUAUAAAAUUAAUAUUCAUAAAUAAAUUUUGUGCCGCGGAGGGUUGGAUCAAUUUCUUUAAGCAUGUUUAUACCCAAAGCAUUCCAGCUAUUUGGUUAUACCAAUUGCAACUAAUUUUGAGAAACCAAAGAAAUAGCAAGGAAGAUGGAGCAAUUUACCUUUUGAAAAUUCUUUGCUUUUGUGAUUGAAGGUUUUAUCGAGCAUAAGAAGUUUUGUAUUUCAAGCAUUCAAAGUUUAAAGAAAAAAAAAAUAAAAUUUAACUCAAUUGAUUCAUAUAAUCACUUUUAAAAUAUAAUAUUUAAUAAAUUAAUUUAAAAUUUAAAUUCUAAUACUUCUAACUUAUAUUCUAAUCUUUAAACUACGAUAAUUUUUAAAAUAAAAAAAAUUGUUGAUGGUGAAAUAUCAAGAAAAGCUUCCAGAACUUAAAAAUUCUAGUAAGCAACAGGUGAGCAAUACAUACUUCAUAUAGAUAAUUCAUGCAAUUGAAAUGCAUAUGAAAGAUUAUAUUUGACGGGGUUAGUAAUGAUAUUUUCAUUUUUAUCAAUCAAAGGAGUUUAAAUAUUAAAUAAAAUUUUGAGAUUUUAUAAACAUCUUGGCUAACAAAAAUAUUUUAUAUGAAGACAAAUUUAAAUACUUUACAUUGUAUGAUUCUUAUUACAUCAAAAGGAUUUCUUUUUUCCAUUUUCUUUUGAAUGAAUGAAUAAGUGUUAUAUCUUUUCUUUGGUUCUUUCUCAUUUUAAAGUUUUUUCAAAGUCAGGGGCAUAUCUUAAAUAUUGAAAAUUAAGAAAAUUUGAAAAAAAAAAAUUUGCACAUCCUAAAAUUUUAGAUGAACAAUCUCAAAGAUUGAAAUUAAAAAAAAAAAUUGAAAUAAAAACAACCUUUUACGUACAAAAUUGAUAAAUUCACCCAAAAAAAAAAAAUCCUGCAUCUGUCACUGUUCAAAAUAUCAAAAUUUUCCUUUAAAAUUUUUGACAAACCCAUUUAUGUCCCUCAUCAAGAGUAAUAAGGUAGAAUUAUAUUUUUUUUUAAUGAUUACAUGUUAAAUUUAAGAUUAAAUAAAUCUAUAUCGUGUUGUUCAUUCAAAGAUCAAAGGUUUAAUUAGUUACAAUUUAGGAUCUCAACUUUUCGAAAAGCAAACAAUACCAUGUGGGCUUAUUUCUAAUACUAUUAAUUUUUGUCCCCAAACUUUUUGAGUUCGGACCAAUUAGCAUAUUCAUCUAAGUUCUUCAUCCAAAAUUAUUACUGUAUUUUUUUUGAAACUUUUCUAUUUUGAUUAGUUAUAAAAAUAUAUUAAUCAUAAUUUAGGUACUAUUUUUUCCUACUUCGUCUCCUCACCUCUUUGGUUGAAAAUGAGUCCAUGAUUAAUAUAAAAGGCAGCUCACCUCGAUAUGGAUAAAUAUAUAUAUAUAUAUAUAUAUAUAUAUAUAUUAUUGAAGAUUGUAUCUUGUUCUAGUUUUUUCUUUGGCCAAAACUUUUGUUUAUUGAAGAAUUAUAAUCUAUGAAAUAUAAAGAUAGACAUAUAAUAUAAGUAUGAUACGAUACGGAUAUGAUAACAUAAUAAUUUUAAAAAAAUAAGACAUGAAUAUGAUAAGAUACAGUAACAAAAAUUAUUUUUUUUAUAUUAUAAUUAUCAGUUAAAAAUAUAUGAUAGAUAUUUGAUUAACUUUUAAAAGAUAUUUAUCUUUGUUAAAAAAAAUUGAUGAUAAACAUAAUGAUUAAAAAAAUAUAACGUCAUUAUCCACACGAGAAUUGUUUUUAUUAUUAUUCUUUUUGCUUAGUUUUUGUCAUAUCUAUCUAAGUUUCACACGUAUUUAAAUGUAUCGCCAAGUAUCACAAUAUUGGACACAAAUAUGAUACGGGUCGUGAAGGGUUCAAAAGUGUCCUAGCUUCGUAGAUUAUAAUACAUUUCAAAAAGGUUCUUUUCUUAAUUUAUAACCAGUUAAUCAGUUGGCUGUUGUUAAACAAGAGAAUGUGGAUUAGAAGACAAAAUCAAUUAUUUGGAGGCAUUUGGCUAUGAAAUAUAGCAAUGCAGAGAACGAGAUGGAAACCUCAGUAUCAUUAAUUAUUCUCACCAAUCCAGAAAUGUGCAUAAAAUAGAAAUUGGAUGUUGCUUCUCGAAAGACAAAUUGAGAAGAAAAAUCCCGACUGUGCGUUUUAAAUUUCCAUACAUGACAACAUCAGCAAAAUGAAAAUAAAUACUAAACUCUUUCUUUUUAUACUGAACUUUGAUUUGGUGGUCAUGGCCAAUGAUGCACAGGUGGAUAGGGUGGUGGUGAUGGGCGAGGUGUACGGCUAGGUGAGCAGCCAAUGAUACUAAAAUCAACUGGAUGUGCAUAGAAAGACUUGCAUUCCAUUGGUGAUCUUUGCAAUGGCCUAUAGGGAACACAAUUCUUUCUAUCAUUUUUGGCACGCAACUUGAGGCAUUUUGAAGGUUCCGAAGAGAAGAAAUUGUUGGGAGUAGGUGAAAUUCUUCAGCUUACGCAAUGAACAUACGCUCUCUGGAAUAUAAGCAGAUAGUUCAUUGUUUGCCACAUUAAGCUGUUCCAAGCUCUUCAUUUGCCUAAUUGCGUCUGGCAAAGGCCCAACUAGCUUGUUAGAGCUAACAUCAAACACUGUCACUCUCUUUAAUGCACCAAGUUCUGGUUUCAAACAUCCUGUAAAUCCAUUGUUCAUGAAAAUGAUUUCCCGGAGAUUUCCUGCCAUUAGUACCAAACUUGAAGAAGGAAAGCAGCCUGUGAGGCCGCUACUUGCCAUGACAAUAACUGAUACAGGAGAGUUACCGAAGUUUUCCGGUAAAGAUGAUCGAAAAUUGUUGUUGUUAAAGAAGAAGGCAUCUAGUUUCAGAUUAAACAACUGUGAGGGGUUUGUGCCACUGAACUCAUUGUAUCUGAUGUCAAGAAAUUUGAGUGAAGGUAAAUCAAGAACAACAUAAGGGAACUCUCCAUUAACUUGGUUAUUACUAUAUCAAGCUCAUAAAGAAGGUUGAGUUUUCGAAAGCUUUCAGGUAUCAUGCCAGAAAAGUGAUUGGAGUUUAUGUGGAAAAGAGCAAGGUCAGUGAGGAGGCCAAGCUCUUCAGGUAAAGAACCAGCUAUGUUGGCAUGGUUUAAAUCUAUUCCAGCCACUGCUGUGAUGCGAGGGUCAUCCGGGUCUGGUGCACAAAAGACUCCGGUGUAGUUGCAAACUUUUGGGCCAUACCAAUUUGAGGCAAAGCCAUUGGGGUCAGAAGUCAUGGCAUGUUUCCAAGCUUGGAGAGUUAUAUUGGCCUUGAGAAGUCGAGGGUUUGGGAUCAAUGGUAACUCUCGGAGACGAUUGAAUGUUGAAAUCACUAAUCAAUAAUUGCUUAUAACAGCCUUAAAAAAUGUGCAGUUAAAAGGAAGAAAGCUUGACUGUUUCCCAUCUUUAUUGUUUAUUUGAUAUUUCUCUGGAAAAUUAAGGCUACAUUUUGGUGGAAUAAAGAAAGGGUUUUAAUUUAAAAUCUUUUCUUUGAUCAAGAAGAGUAGUAACAUGUUCUUUCUUUCUCCCAGACUUGAACUUGCUUUUACAUGCUGUUUAACGUAAUUAGACCUGUUAAUUUUAAACAUCACAUGACCAUAUGAUACAAAAACUUCACAAAAAACAUAUAUGAAAGUAAUAUAAUUUAAAAAUUUUUCAAAAACUGUAUAUAUAUUUGAUAAAAAUAAAAAAUAUAUAUUUUAUAUUUGAUAGCAAGAAUUAUAAUAUAAUUUUUUUUGUGUUUUACAUGUAUUAGAUAUAAAAUAUAUUGAUAUAGAUACAUGAAUUAAAUGUACUGACAUCCUGCAGGCAAAGUAAAGUUUCUAAUGAAUGGCUCUGGGAAGAAACUGAUAAAUGUUACCAAAACACGGUUUUCGCUUUUAAGCCACUGGGUUUCUUCUUUUGAACCAUAGGAUUAAAUUUCAGAUGUUAAAGCAAUUCAGGAUGGAAAUAUUUUUUGACAAAACAGGUUAUCUGGCUUUAAUUAAAUUAACGUUAUAUGCAAAUAAAGCAGGCAUAUUUGACAAAAAUGUACUGACAAAAAUCUGAGAUGGUGAUGAAACUGCUAAUUUGUAUGGGAACAGGGUGAAGACAGGAAAUGGGAAUCUGAGAAAUAAUGAAAGCUGCAUUUUUUUCUUAUUAUAGGUGUAAGUAUACAUCCAGUUUAGUUUUGAAAAAUUUUAUAUUUUAUGAGGGAAUCUGUUUCAGGUUGUGGUUAGUUAUCCACAACCAGGGACGGUAAUAGAAGCCAGAGGGGGCCUUGGCCCCCCAACAUUUUUAAAAGUCCCUUAUUUUUAUAUAUACUUAUAUUAAAUUCAUUUAAAUUAAACUCUAAAUUAAAAUUAUGAAUUUUUUUUAUGCUUUUAUUUUUUAAUUUAUGCAUUACAAUUUAAGAGGUAUUUAAAUCACAUUGAUAUUUGUAUGUUUAUUGUACUCAAAUAUCAUUACUUGCAAAUUCUUGAAAUUAGGAGGCUUGUCAUAAGUUUUAAAUCACAAUAAUGUAAAUUUAAUAUAAAUUAAAUUAAAAUUUUAAUUUUCUCAAUAAGAUUUUAAAUUUUCGAUAAGUAUCAAAUGUGUUUUUCUUUUUUUUUUUUUAAUUUUUUUGAUACAAGAAAGACCUUCUUUUUAGCUGAGUUCAACUUUUCCUACAUAUUAUUUUCCACUUUUAUUUUACUUUAGAUCUAUAACUCAUAUUGUUGUAUUUUUUCACAACAAAAAAAAAAUUAUAUUGGAACUAUUUUACAAAAGGAUAAAAAAAUACGACAACUUUUAAUCUCAAAAUGCUAACAUCAUUCUUUUAAAAGUAUAUUUAAUUUUUUUAUUCUGAUAAUAUGUUUAAUGAUUGAUUUAUUUGUAUCUCUUUUGUGUUUCAAUUUUAAAUUAUAAAAAAAUAAAAAAAAAGUUCCUAUAAUUCAUUGAUAAAUUGUGUAAUUAAUAAUUUUACAGUUAAUUAUAAAUCUUGUUAUUGUUAAAAAUAUAAUAUUAUCGUAAUUAUAUUUUUGUUUUAUAAUUUUAUGAACUCGUCAUGUUUUUAUUAAUACAUUAUUUGUAUUAAUAAGUAUGAUAAAAUAUUUCUUUAGAAAAAAAAAAGUAAAUUAUAUAUCAUUAGUUGACCCUUUCAAAACUAAAUGUCAAGAGCGUUCACUGUACACAAUGUUCCUCAUCUUAGUUUAUUAUUUAACACCAAAAUAAAUCUCGGUGGUUGCCUGGUUGGAAACUUGAGACCAUUUCAUAACACAAAAAAGCUGUCAAAUGGACAUGUAAUAUUUUAAUAGCAUGUAAUCUGAGUUCACAAAGCAAAUGUUUGAGAAAAAAAAAAUGUGUAUACCUCUUAAUGAUUAUAUGAACGAAUUUAAAUUAAUAAUAUAUGUACAAUAUGUAUACCAAACUCAAUAGACCAAGUCACUGAAAUUGGAGCAGUUACAGCAUUCAUCAGUCUUCAACAAUGCUUUUAUAUAUGAACAAUUAGAAAAUAUAUAAAACCAGAAGAACUUUCAAUGCAUGGAGCAAUAAGAUAUAUAGAAAACCGACGCCAAAAAAAGACCAUAAAGCUGAGGACCAAAAUUUGAAUUUGAACUAAAAGUUCCCUGUUUGAUACAUUGUCUGUUAUGCUGAGGUUUGGUAGUGUUGGUUUCUAUUCAUUGUCUUGUUCUGUUUGAGGGUGAUGGUGGAUGAUGACUAGAUAUAUAUGCUGGUCAAAUAUCAAUCUCCAUGUGUUUUACUUUAUGCAGCGGAUGGGGUGCAUUAAUGAAAGGGGCCUGUUCUGUUUUUUAAAGUUUAAAGAGGAUAAUGAAAUUGAACUUGGUCAAAUGAUGGUCUUCCAUGCACUAUAUUUAAGUUUUCACUUGGUCAAAUGAUGAUUUAUCCUCUUAAUUUCCUUCUUUACUACAAUGAAAGACAAUGAUGUUCUGUUCUAAAUCUUUCUAGCACUUUGUCAAACUAGUUGUUUCCACUUCACUGCUAAUUUCUGUUGCGAAGCCUUAUGCAAGUACUGCAAGCAAUGCUUGUAAAUGACAGGAAGCUAAUAAAGGCAGCUGGCGGCGUUACUCCUCAGUCCUCAAGACCGUUGGCCGCUAACACCACCAAUAGGUUGUCACCCUCUGACAUACAUUUUAGACACCCUUAACCAACUUCUCCACAUGCUUCUAUGAUUAAUUCUCCACAUCCAUCUAUACAUGCUGGCUCUUCCAAUAAGGAAUUCUCAUAUUCCUUUUUUCUUCUCUUUCUCCAUAAUUUCUCACUUGGUUGUCAUAAUAGAAAGAUGAAUAGAUGGAUCGUUCCAAGAGAACAUAUAAAUAGAAGCUAGGAUUUUGAUAUUUUUGUAUUCAAAUAUUAAAAAGAUCAUAGAUGAGAUCUAAAAACAAAAUCCGAUGUCUAACUAUGUAGCAAAAAAACUCGAAUGAAUUUUCUCUUUUUUGGUAAAGAAAAGUUUAGGUGAGAAGUUACUUCAUUCCAUAAUAUGUCGCAGGUCUUAGCGAACUUACAUUUUUUAAUUUUUGGUAAGUAAAAUGGUGGCGGAAAUGGUGUCACCAUAUCAGGGAAUAGAGCUUCAGUGAUCUAAGAAAAAUGAUCACCUAAGUUACCUCUUCUCCCAACCCUGCCUUCUCCAAGUUUCAAACCCCUACCUUUGACAAGUAAAAUUCACUUGGAGCUAGAUUGCUUACUACUGAGCCAACACCUCAUUGGUUUAACAAACUUACACUGGACUUAUGUAUCUCUCAACUAAGAGAAUUGUGGUAGCAAAAAUCGAAUCUAUAUGAAGUAUUCUAUCUUUACCCAUUCAACCAACCUCCUUCGGUUUCUAAUAGUUUUCUUAUACAUAUAAAAACGAUAUUUGAUUAUAUGCAAGCAUCGAGUGAUACAAUCUUACAUAUAUUAAAUCUUAAAUUUUAUUUUAGAUAUAAAAAUAACUCUUAUAAUAUACAUGUUUUAUUCGUUUGGUACCUAAAAAAAAUAAAAAUUUCAAUUUAAUACUUCAAUUUUCAUUUUAUCAUCUACUUUGAUAUCUGAGACUAAUAACGUUAGUUAACUUCUUGACAUGGCAUGAUCUAAUAAAAUGCUAAAACAUGUAAAAAAAACAAGAUAAGUCAACAUUAUAUCAUUAAUUGUCACGUUAAUAUUAAAAAAAAAUUUUUUAAAAAUUCAAAAAAAUUAAAAAAAAAGUUUUUUAAAAACUGAAAUAUUUAAAAAAAAACUUUAAAAAUAUAUAAAAACUUAAAAAAAUAAAAAAAUCUUAAAAUUUUAUUAAAAAAUAAAAAAAAUUCUAAAAAAUUCAUAAAAACUUUAAAAUUUUGAAAUAAUAAGAAUCUAAUUUUUUUAAAAAAAUCUAAAAAAAAUUUUAAAAAAAUGUACAAUAAUUUUUAAAAAGUUAUUAAAAAUUUUCAUUCUUUUUUAAUGUUUACAAUUUUAAUUUGUAUAUAUUUUAUGAUUUUUUAAAAAUUUUUUUGAACUUUUUUAAAAUUUUUAAAGUUUUCUAUUAAUGCUAAUGUGGCAAUUAAUGAUGUGAUGUUGAUUGGAUUUUUUUGACAUGUGUCGACAUAUUAUUGAUUGUUCGUGCCACAUCAACAAGUUGAUGUUAAUUCAAAGUAUCAAAGUGGAUGAUAGAAUAAAAGUUCAAGUAUCAAACGGAUAAUUUUAUUUUUUUUAGAUAUCAAAUUAACAAAAAGUGUAUAAUAAUAUGGAGGUAUUUUUAACUCUUAAAUUUUCUGCAAAAUUGAUUCAUCAACCCUCUUGUUCAUGUCGACAUGAGCCUUCUUGCAAACAAUCUUAGGGAAAGGCCUUUGGAUACCUUUGAUAGAGGUCAAAGUAUAAUUACUGCUUUCCAUCUUUUGUUCUCUUUUUUUUUUUUUUUUUCCAUUGUGUAUAACAAAAUUUACAAUGUUUCAAUUACUAUCAAUAUUGUUUUGUAAUGUUCAUCAUACUUUUUUAAAAAUUGUUAAGCAGUUAGCUUAGCUUGUAAUAUUUUUUUAAAUAGUUGCAAUAAAAAACUAAAAUUGAAUAUCUUCUUCUUCAAAGAUGAGAGGGUAUAUAACAUGAGGGAACACUACCACUUGGUAAGCAAAUCGAGAUCUUAGAUUGAAAAUAAUUUACAUUAUCAAUUUUUUUAAUAUAAAAAAUUAUAAAAAAAAAUUAUAAGUACCGAAAUUUGAAUUUUAAAUAUAUUAGAUAUAAUAUUUUAAAAAUAAUUAAAUGAACUAACUGAAUUAAACUUUUAAUUUUACAUGAUUAUAUAAAAUAAUUAAUUUAAGUUUCGAGUUCUACUUUAUCAAACUUUGUCAUUCAUUUAUUUGUUUGAAUGGAACAAAUAUUAUAUAUAUAUAUGUAUGUAUAUAUAUAUAUAUAUAUAUAUAUUUGAUAAAAAAGAUAUUGUAGUCUGAAUAAUGAAAUACGGAAAAUAGUAUAGUAUUGAACUUUGAAUUCCAUAUUCACUAGAUCUCACCAUUUAAAAGUAAUUACAUGAACAAAUAAGCUAAAUUUUGGAUUAAAAAAAAAUACUAUUAAUUGUUCAUGUAAUGAAUUACAAAAGACAAAUAGGAUGAGGCCUCAUAAUCAUACAUCAUAUCAUAUAUAAUAUAUAAUAUUAUAGUACAAUAUAUAAAAACCUGAUAAGAUUUAUUUACAUAGAUGCUUAGGUGGAUGAAUUUUGUUUUGACAUGUAGGAGAAUCCUUAAAUUUUUUUUAAUGACAUGUAAGAUAUAUUUUAAUUGUAAAAUAUUUAUCAUAAAAUAUAUCUAUUUAAAAAUUAUUUAAUUAUCCAUAACUUUCAAAUUUAAGUGAAAGAUCAAUUAAAUUAUUUUUUAGUUGUUAGCAACAAAACUUAAUUUAAAUAUAUAUUUUUUAAAAAAAUGUAUUUUCAAAUAAUCUAAAUAUAUAUUUUUAAAUUUAAAACUCUUAAAUAUAGUUUUAUAUUAUCUUUUAAAAUAGGUUUCAUAAUAAUAUAAAUAUAUAUCUUUUUAAACCUAAAACUCUCAAAUUUAGUGAUAUCAUAAAGUGGAUUUCUUAAUAAUUUAAAUAUUUGUCAUUUUAAAUUUGAAAAUUUAAAAUAUAACUUUUAUUUUUAAAGAUUUCAUAAUAGUCAUUUAUAAUUUGAUUAUUUUUAAAUUUAAAAAGACUAAAUAUCACAUGCAUUAGAAUGAAAACUUUAAAAUUCAUAAAAAAAUUUUAAAAUGAAAAAUAUUAAAAAUUUAAAAGUUUUGGAAAAAAUCUAAAAAUUUUUAAAAAAUUAUAAAAUAUUUUUUAAAAAUUAUGAAAAAUUUUCAUUCUUUUUGAAUGUUAAAAUUNNNNNNNNNNNNNNNNNNNNNNNNNNNNNNNNNNNNNNNNNNNNNNNNNNNNNNNNNNNNNNNNNNNNNNNNNNNNNNNNNNNNNNNNNNNNNNNNNNNNNNNNNNNNNNNNNNNNNNNNNNNNNNNNNNNNNNNNNNNNNNNNNNNNNNNNNNNNNNNNNNNNNNNNNNNNNNNNNNNNNNNNNNNNNNNNNNNNNNNNNNNNNNNNNNNNNNNNNNNNNNNNNNNNNNNNNNNNNNNNNNNNNNNNNNNNNNNNNNNNNNNNNNNNNNNNNNNNNNNNNNNNNNNNNNNNNNNNNNNNNNNNNNNNNNNNNNNNNNNNNNNNNNNNNNNNNNNNNNNNNNNNNNNNNNNNNNNNNNNNNNNNNNNNNNNNNNNNNNNNNNNNNNNNNNNNNNNNNNNNNNNNNNNNNNNNNNNNNNNNNNNNNNNNNNNNNNNNNNNNNNNNNNNNNNNNNNNNNNNNNNNNNNNNNNNNNNNNNNNNNNNNNNNNNNNNNNNNNNNNNNNNNNNNNNNNNNNNNNNNNNNNNNNNNNNNNNNNNNNNNNNNNNNNNNNNNNNNNNNNNNNNNNNNNNNNNNNNNNNNNNNNNNNNNNNNNNNNNNNNNNNNNNNNNNNNNNNNNNNNNNNNNNNNNNNNNNNNNNNNNNNNNNNNNNNNNNNNNNNNNNNNNNNNNNNNNNNNNNNNNNNNNNNNNNNNNNNNNNNNNNNNNNNNNNNNNNNNNNNNNNNNNNNNNNNNNNNNNNNNNNNNNNNNNNNNNNNNNNNNNNNNNNNNNNNNNNNNNNNNNNNNNNNNNNNNNNNNNNNNNNNNNNNNNNNNNNNNNNNNNNNNNNNNNNNNNNNNNNNNNNNNNNNNNNNNNNNNNNNNNNNNNNNNNNNNNNNNNNNNNNNNNNNNNNNNNNNNNNNNNNNNNNNNNNNNNNNNNNNNNNNNNNNNNNNNNNNNNNNNNNNNNNNNNNNNNNNNNNNNNNNNNNNNNNNNNNNNNNNNNNNNNNNNNNNNNNNNNNNNUUGAACAGAAAUAAUUAUUAUAUGACAAAUGGUUAUAAUUAUUUGAAUAUAAAUAAUUAUUGUUCAUAAAGGUCAUGAUUAUAAAAAAAGUCAUAACCAUUUGAAUAGAAGUUAUAUCUGUUCUUUCAUUAUAAAUAGAUAUUUUAAUAUAAUCAUUUUCACUACUAUUACUUGGAGAGUUUUGAGGCUUUAUUAUAUCCUAAAGACAUAAUUGCUAUUAAUAAAGUGUUUUUCAUGCCUUAAAACUAAAAUUUUUUCUAUUAUUUCUAUUCUCUUAUUUAUUUUUUCUAACAUGAACUUCUCUUGUACAAUAUGGUAUAUUGUAUCUUUAUUUUUCAAGCUCAUUUUUGUAAUUUCAUUGUGAUUCUCAACUUCUCUUCCUUGACAUCUUUAUAUUUCCUCUUUUAUCUCAUUUUCUUUAGAAGGGACGUAAGUGGCUAGUGGUUGACAAUUUAAUUGUUUCUUUCUUUAUUUGAUAUGCUAUGGAAACAUAAGUUUAAUUUUCCAAAUUUUGUUAAGGUUUAGAUGAUUUAGAAUGAAAUCUUUGGAAAGCCUCCAUAAAUGAAGAGAGGUUAUUGAUGAAGGCAGGAAGAUGACUAUUACACAUGAUGUAGGAAAACAAAGGUUGGCUUAAUGAUUGGUUAAGGGAUUUUUUGUCUCACAAGGGAUGCUUCUGACUUAAUUUAAGGGUUUAAAAUACUAAAAAUGCCUUUGUAUUAUUUCACAUUUCUUAAACAAACUUAUAUAUUUCUAUGUAUCCUAAUAAAUUCUUAUAUUUUGAUUUAUAUCCAAAUAAAUCCUUAUUUUCAAAUGAAAGAAUGGUUAUGACAAUCAACUCGAGACCAAGAUUUUCAAGAGAAACAAAAUUAAUAAAAAUGGUAAUUAUAAGUUUUAUAUAGUUGCUUACCUUUAAAUCCAUAUAAAUUACAUGUGAUAUGCUACUUGAUGUUGAUGAUUAAGGUUGAAAUUCUGAAUUUAGGUGUGUGAAUCGAGUUAGGGUUUUUUUUGGCAUCUCUACUUCAGUUUUGAAAUCAAUUUUUUAUUUUUUGACAAAAAAUGAAGUUGUGGGAAUAACGAACCACUAUUUUUUAUAUUCUCCAUUAAGCCAUUUUACAACAAUUGUGAUGUGACGCUAUGUUCAAGAUUGAGAUUCUCUUUUUAUUUUUCUUUAAUAAUGAUGAUAGAUGAAGAUAUUACUAUGAAAUAGCAACUACUAUUUAAAAUCCUAACUCUUCAAUAUGAAAAUGCUAUAAACAAUGCACAAAUAGGACAAAUGAAUGAAAAGAUUAAGUUCUUGAAAAGUGAAAUUGUAGGUUUAAAGUUCCAAAUGUCAUAGAUUUUUGAACUGAGAUAUGAAAUAUUGUUGAAAGAUAUUCUCUUGGAUCAAGUUUUAGAUUAUUCGUUAUAUGGAAAAAGUAAUAGAGAAAAUGGCAUAGUAGAUGAUCAAAUGCUUGAGCUAUAGAAGUCUACUGAGCAUGAAUGUGACGUUGAUUCAAUAAUUCACAACAUGCAAAAAAAGGCAAUUAUAUCGGGGGAUCAUUGUUUGUCAUCAGUUCAAUAGGUUAAAGUAGAAAAAUGAUGAAAGUUCUUUGAGAACAUAGGUUGAAAAGAAGUUGAGCAUUGAUGAGAUAAAGUAUAGAUAUCUAUAAGCAUUAGAAAGUCAAAUAAAAAAGCAAAAAAUAAAAAGGUCUUAGAAAAGAGUUUCUUCUUAUGAUCAUAAAUUAAUGAGUCUUCAAACUAUUGUCGAAUAGCUCAAAAAAAGAAUGGAUAAAAAGAGGAAGAAAGUCUAUGAUCUAGAAUAUGAACAAGUGAAAUAGCAAUUGCAAGAGGUGAAUGACAUAAUCAUGGAGUUGGUGAAUGUCAAUAUGUUAAUUAAUUAAAGAUGUUGAAGGAAAUUUUUCAUUUUUAGAUGGGACAAACUCAGUUGAGUUUAGAAAAAGCUAGAAAUAAGGUAUGAAAAUAUUGGAAAUUGCAGCUUAAGGUGCAGAGCAUUGAAUAUGUUUGCUAAAAUUGAAAAAUGAAAAGAAAAAAAAUAAAAUUAGGUGUUUUUUAGAGACUCCGUUUAUAGUGAAAAAAGGUAGAAGAAGCCUUGUUCUUAUGGGUGUGUAAUGGUAGAAUUUUUUUAGAGGGGUUAUUAUUAAUUGGUGUUUUAAUAAUUUAAUGAAACAGACUGAUAAGUUUAAUCCUAACACAAGAUACAAUCGUAGGAGCCCAAAUAAUUUAAAGUGAUUUUUAUGUGUGGGCUUUACAUCCCUUAUUAGGUUAAUGUGAUUGGCGAUUAUGCUGGUUUUGGCUCAAUAAACUUUUGAUGGGGAGGAUUUUAUGGUUUUAAUGAUAAUAAGCUAAGGUUAUUUUCACUUUUAUCAGCUAUGGCUACUACCCAUUGAGAGCCGCCUAUAACAAAAAGUGAAGAGAAAGACCUAAGCUACUCCAGGAACUAUUUGCUUUCACAUAUCAUUCAUGGCACCCCAAACAGGUAUUUGAUUCUGUUUAUUCAAUUGUGGUGUCCUAAUUAUCACAUAAUGGUCUUGGGUUAAUUCUUAUAUAUGGUAUCAGAACUUUUUUAUGUGAUAUUAGAACCUUAAAACCAUGUUUCAAAUUUUAUUUUUACUUGAAUCAUUUAUUUGGGGUGAAAAUUUAUGGUUGAUGUAAUCUUAUUUUGGAUUUUUAUUUUUUGAAAUAAAUUUAAGGUUUUUUAUCUUUUAUACAAAAGGACUAAAACCAUAUAUAGAUCAUUUCCUAAUUUGACCUAUAGAUAGAGAAAUCAUAAUUGAAAGAUUUGGGUUCAAGUUUUAUUUCAAAUACAAGAUUUGAUUGAAACCUAGUCAUUUUAUGUGUUUCAUCCAAAAUUGAUUCUUGAAUAAUGUUUCUCAUGUGUUAUAAUUUCAAACCAAAGUGUUUAAUUUCAUAAAAUGUAGAUUUAGAUGGUCAAAUAUGAAGAAACAUAAACGGGUUAAAUAUAGGUUUUAUUGAUAUAAGAAUUUUCCUUAUUAAUAUUGUUUUUGUUAGUUUUUGAUGCAUUUUUUGACAUGAGUUUAAAAAAAAAAAGGUUUAAAUGAGAUUUAGGCACUUCAAUUUUAUGCUAAUAGUAAGAAAAAACAUCAAAUUAGAUAAAAAAAAAAUUGAAUUGACUUGAACAGGUCGAAAUCUACUCCGAUUGAUCUGGGUAAACCUAGCUAGAGGUUGAAAAAAGAAUCCCGCAUGCUAGACAUAGCCCACGCACAGGGAAUGGUGUGUAUGGCACAUGUGGACACAUUUAGUGGCCAUAUUUGCUCUUAUUUCUUUCGACAUGCUUGCAGUUUUAUUCUAAUUUUUCAUUAUUUUUUUUGAAAUAUUUUAAUUGCAUGAAAUAUUUGUUAUUUGAUAUUCAUACAUUAUUCAAUUAUUUCUAUAUGUUAUGCUCAUGAUUUUGGUUAUUUUAUUUUAUAAUAAAAUGUUUUGACAUGCUGAGUGUCUAAUGACGGUAGUUACUCUCUUUAGAUAAGCCUUAAUAUUUGUGUACUCUCGAAUUGGAUUUUAUUUGCAUAAUUAAUUAAUUAGUAAAAUUAAUUUUAAUCAAGUUAAGACCCAAGUUUAAAUGCAAUAUACACUUUUUAAAGAACCUAAUAAGAUACAUUUAGGUUUAAUAUAUCAACUAAAGUGGUCUAUAGCAUAAAUUAUUCUUGAGUAUGCAAUUGAGAAUUUUGGGCAAUUUUAAAUUUCUUGAUUUGAAAAAAAAAUUUAUUAAUUAAUAUAAGUGUUUGGCUGCUAAAGUGGCUCAUUUAUUGAAAUUUAUAGAAUAUUUUAUUAUUAUAAGUUUACGAGAUGGUUAUUAAAUUAUCUUAUGCAAUUAUCCGCCCAAAUGGGAUUAAUGUGUAGGAUAAUUUGUGUUGGUAGAUGAAACAUCAUGAUUGAAGGAGUACUAGUCUAGAAGAUCUAUCUAACCAAAGAAGAUAAGGUUUUUGAAAGCUAGGACAUUCUCAUUUUAGCUAUAUGUAAAAAGUUCCUACUUGUAUGUUGCAUUUUUCACCCAAAAAAAAGUAUAUGGUGAUGAACCAGGAUCUUUUAAUUACAGUUAGCAAUCAUAAAUCGUUGCUACAUGUUUUACAUUAUUGUCCAUCAAUUAAUGUUGUUUUUUUUGUCUUGAAUAGUGGGUUUUACUAUCAAUAACAAUCAAGCUGCUAUUUAGGUUCUUUAAGGUCUAACUAUAAGAGAUGGAAUGAAUAUUUGAAUUUUGCUUUGAUUAGAAGUGAGAUAGACAUAGUUUUAUGUUUUCAAAAGCCUGUUAAGAUUACUACAAAAAAUAUUGCUAAACAAAAACAUUUUUUGCCAAAUGGAAAAAAGUAAAUUGUAUAUGUCUGUAUGCCAUUAAGAAGUCUAUUUCUAAACAUUUUUUGAGUAGGUGGACACCAUUUAAAUUGUUAGGAACCUUUACAAUGUUGUAAGCAAUAGAUAAAAAAAUCUUGUAAGUCUGAGGUUAAGAACUAAUGAGUGAGCUUAUGAGUAUAAGGUAUGACAAUGUAGGGGUUGUUAAAGAUUUUAUCAUAAGAAUGGUCCACAUUCAAACCAAAUUGAUUUCCCAUGAAAUUAUCCCCUUUAACAAAUUCAUUGUUCAUCAUGCCCUUAUUGAGUUCACAUAAAUUAAAAUUGCAUAAAAUGCUUUGAAUGAAGUUUAGAGUGUUAAUCAUCUUAUUUCAAAUGUGUCUUUGAGGAAGAAAAUUUUAAGAAAUAAAAAAUGAGACCGCAUUACCGCAUUUCUUACUACCCACUCUAAACUUAAUUACUAAAGGAAUUUUGGGAAACUUAGGAGAUUUAUGCUUAAUUCUCAAAGUAUGGUUCAAGAUAACAAAAGAUAGGGUAAUGGUCAAACAAAAGGCGUAAGAGGUCAUAAAGCUUUCAUUAAGAAAGAUAUCAAGUGCUUUUCCUACAAGAAGAAAGAUCACAUGAAACAUAAAUACCUUAAAUAUUAAGUUUGGUUAGAGAUAAAGAAUAAACAAGAAGGUAACUCAGUAGCUCUCAUUUGUUUUGAAUCCUAUUUUGUUAGCAUCCUACAAAAUUUGUGGUGGCUUGAUAGUGAUGCAAUUGUUCAUAUUCUUGUUACCUUAUAGGGAUUCAAAAGCAAAUGAAAGCUAAGUAAGAAAAAUGCCAAACUAAGAGCUGAAAAAAAUGUUGAAGUAAAUGUUAGUUAUAUAUGAACAAUAAGUUUAAAUUUAGAAUCUUGUUUUGAACUUAUUUUUCAAAAUAUUUUUCAUGUACCAUCUUUUAAGAGAAAUUUGAUUUCAAUUUCUAUUUUGGACAAACAUGGUUACUAUUUUGGCAUAGAAAAUGGAAAGGUUGACUUAUUUUUAAAUUCAAAUAUUGUUGGUGAAUAUAAACUAUUGACAACUUAUGUAAACUAUGCUUGGCUUACAAUAAUGAAUAUAGUUGUAUACUAUAAUGCCUACGACAAUGUCUAAAAGUUUUACUAAAAAAAAAACUCUUAUUUGUUGUGACGUAAAAGGUUGAGUCACAUUUCUAAUGAAAAAGUACAAAAAUUGAUAAAAGAUGGUAUUUUACCUUUUAUUAAUUUUGAAAUUUUAGACAUUUGUGCAGAUUGCAUAAAGAGAAAACUAACUAAGAUUAAGGAAAAGGGCAAUUCAUAGUUCUAAUCUUUUAGAAAUUGUGCACAUUGAUAUUAGUGGACUUCUUACAUCUACCUUGUGUGGUAACAAAUAUUUUGAUACUUUUAUUAAUCACUAUUCUCGCUAUAGGUAUCUUUACCUGAUUGAUGAAAAUUGAAUUUUUUAAAAAUUCAAAAUUUUUAAAACUAUGGUACAAAAACAAUUAAAGAAAGUCAUCAAAGUGGUUAGGCUUGACCGAGGUAAUAAGUAUUAUGACAAACAUGGUGAAAAUGGACAACCCAUGGGACCAUUUUCCAAAUACUUACAAAAGUGUGGGACUGUUGCCCAAUAUAUUAUGUUUUGUAAUCUUGAGCAAAUGGUGUAGCCCAAAGGCAAAAUUGCACCUUUAAUGAAAAUUAUGAUGAGUAGAUCAAUCUUCUUGGAUCUUUUCAAGGUGAAGCUAUUAAAACUAUAUUGUACAUACUCAAUAGAAUAUUUAGUAAAUUUAUUUCUAAAACAAAUUUUGAAUCGUGGAUUAGUAGGAAACCUAGUUUGAACCACUUUCGAGUUUAGAGAUAUUCUACAAAAGUCAGAAUUUAUAACCUUUUCAAAAGAAAAACUGAACCUAGGAGUACUCAUUGCUAUUUCAUAAAGUAUCUAGACUAUUCUAAGGGAUAUAGGUUCUAUUCUCCUACAUAUGGGACUAAAGUUGUAGAAUCACAGGUGACAAAGUUUCUUAAGCUAGAUAUUGCUAACAAGGGUGUGACAAAAGUUGUUGAUAACAAUGAACCUAUUAGACACUUCUCAAUUCUUUUGCUUGCAACACAGUGCAAUAUUUUGCCAGUGACUAUUAAGAAAGAAGAUUAAAGGCACCCUCCUACCACUUAUGUUACUUUUGUUGGUAUACCUCUAGUUCAAGAAAAUGAUAUUGAAAAGCCUUUGAAGAGAUCUUUCAAGCAAAGAAAAUCUAUCAUUUUUAAUGAUUAUGUAAUUUAUCUUGGAGAGAGUGACUAUGAUAUUAGUCAUAUUAUUGAUCCUAUGACUUUUAGUGAUGCUUUUAAUAAUUCGUUGUCUGAUGUAUGGAUAGAUGCAAUGAAAAAUGAAAUUAGUUUUAUGGCUUAAAAUGGAGUUUAGAAGCUUGUUGAACUACUAAAAGGGUAUACGCCCAUUGGUUGUAAAUGGGUGUAUAAAACCAAAAAAGAUUUUAAAAGAAAAAUUGAGAGACUUAAAGCUAAACUAAUGACAAAGGGACUUUUUCAGAAAGAAAGAAUAGAUUAUAAUGAAACUUUUCUUCGGUGCUUUCUAAGGAUUCUUUUAGGAUUAUUAUAGCCUUGGUAUCACACUUUGACUUAGAACUCCAUCAGAUGGAUGUGAGGACAACUUUUCUCAAUGCUAAUCUUAGAGAAGAGGUUUUAUAUGGUGUAACUUGAAGGAUUUUAAGAAUAUGGAAAGAAACAUUUAGUAUGUCAACUUAAAAAAUCAAUCUAUGGCCCUAAGCAAGCUUCUAGUUAGUGAUAUCUAAAAUUUGAUGAGAUAGUUACUUUCUUAGAUUUUGAGGAAAAUAGAUUGAUCAAUGCAUACCUUAAAAUCAAUGGGAGUAAGAUAUCUUUCUUGUUUUAUAUGUAGAUGAUAUCUUACUAGUUUGCAAUGAUAUUAGUUUGUUGCAUAAAAAUAAACAAUUAACCAAGACUUUUAACACGAAAGAUCUUAUGGAUGCCUCUUUUGUUCUUGGAAUUGAAAUUUAUAAAGAUAAGUCUUAAAAUUUGUUGGGAUUAUUGCAAAGAUCUCACAUUGAUCGUAUGAAUAGUGUAUUUAACAGGUAGAACUAUAAUGCUAGGGAUACACCUAUUAUAAAAGGUGAUAGCCUUAAUCUAUGUUAGUGCCCAAAGAAAAUACUAAUAAAGAACAUUCAUAUACUAGUGUAAUUGGGAAUCUUAUGUAUGCUCAAGUUUGCACUAGGUUAGAUAUUAUUUUGCAAUAAGAGUUCUUGAAAGAUAUCUUUCUAGUCUUGGUAUGGAUAAUUAGGUUACUGCUAAAAAAUGGUAAGGUACUUGCAAAAGACCAAAGACAAUAUGUUGGUAUACGAGAAGGUGAAAAAAAUCUUAAGAUAGUAAGGUAUACAAAUUCUAACUUCGUUGGUUGUCAAGAUAACAAAAGUUCCACCUUAGAGUAUGCUUUUAUGUUGGCUGCAGAGUAUGUCUUGGAAAAGUGUGAAACAAACAUUCUUUGUUUCUUCCUCCAAGCAAGCUGAGUUUGUUACAUGCUAUAAAGCUGCUACACAAGCAAUAGGCUUCCAUAUUGUUGAUUCCAUCUCUAGACCAAUGAAGAGUAUUGUGACAAUAGGUUUGCCAUGUCUUUAAAAACAAUGAAAGCACUAGUGGGUCUAAAUAUUUAGAGAUAAAAUAUCUUACAGUUAGGGAUUUUAUGAAAAAUGGUGAGAUUUUUGUCAAAUACAUUGAGAUUGACAACAUGAUUGUUAAUCCUUUAACUAAGGGAUUAAGAUUUAUAGUGUUUGGUAAACAUGUUGAAAGCAUGGGUAUUUAGGGUCUUUUGAUGUAAUUCUUUAAUGGGAGUAUAUCAUUUGUAUUUCAUACUCACACAUCAUGGUUUACUUUUAUGUUGGACUUUUUUUUUUUUGUAUUUGGAAUAUCUAUGAUAUUUGAUUUCAUGCUUGAAUGAUGAUUAUCGUUGGUGACAUUUUAUGUUGUUAUUGAAUUUUAUUAGUACAUGUAAACUUGGAAAAUUAAAAUUUGUUAUAUGUAUUGUGAAAUCUUAAGACUUUGUGUCAAUCUUAAGUAUGACAGUUUUGUCACUUAGGUAUGUGUCAUAAAUGACACCAUUUAGGAACCUCCAAGAUAUGGAGGAGACAUAUAGGUACAUUUGGAUGUUAUGGAGAUUUCUAAGCAAAUUUAAAAAAAUUGGCAAGAGGACUGACAAUGAGAAUAACAUAUUGAGAUCAUAUUUGGGUGUUAUUUUCUUGAUACACAACCACAUUAAGAUCCAUUGUCGAUAGAGUCACUGGUAUUUAUAAUUAUGGAUUAGUCUUAUGUCAAUAAAGGCUAUAAAAGCUGCUCUGAUUCGGUAUUAGAUAAUUUUAUUGAACAAAAUCAUUAAGAUAUUAUCAUAAAGGACUAAAUUAUUUUUUUAAAAUUACGGUCACAUCAAAAUAAAGUAAAUUAACUUAGAGUCUUAUUUUCUAAAUUAUGUUUUAUUAAAAUCAAGCAACCCAAUCAAUACUACCCAAGUGAGAGAAUGUUAGAAUUUUUCAUAAGUGAAUUACUAUUAAUUAAUGAUUUUAAUAAUUUAAUAAAACUAACUGAUAAGUUUAGUCUUAACACGAAACAACCAUGAUAGCUCAAAUAAUUUAAAAUGAUUGCUUAUGUGUGAGUUUUGCAUAUCUUAUUGGGUUAGUAUAAUAUGACGAUUGUGUAAGUUUUUGUCUCGAUAAACUUUUGAUAGGAAUGCUUCUAAGGUUUUUAACCCCUCUUCACUUCUAUCAAUUACGGUUACUACUCAUUAGGAGUUGCAAGUAAGAGAAAAAGGAAAAAGAAAACUUAAUCACUCUAAGAAUUGUUUUGCUUGCACAUAUCAAGAAUUGUUUUGCUUGCGCAUAUCAAUUACGAUCACCCAAACAGGUAUUCAAUUUUGUUUGUUUAAUUGUAGUGUCCUGAUUACAUCUUGGGUUAAUUCUUACUUGCAAGACCAUGUUGUUUGAUGUUAGCCACAAACUUCCCCUGGGAUUUUCCUGGCAUUUCGCCGCCUCCAGCAUUUUAUCUUGUAAUUUCAAGCAACAAUGUCUAAGAAGUAUAACUUUUUUAUAUGGUCAAUAGAACUGAAAUUCAAAACAUGCAGCUCAACAGCCCAAGGCUCAUACUCUUUAACUGCAUUUUGGUUUUAGACAUUACAAGGAGUUGGCUAGUUGAUCUUGUGGUCCCAGUCAAAAGAACUACAAAUCGUACAUAUUUUAUUUAAGCAGAGCCGGUCUUGGAGGAAUGAGGGUGAAACUAAUGAAGUUACAAUCGUUUUUUAGGAAUAAAUCAGUUUGAUCUUUGCAAUUAUUAAAAAUAAAUCCAUCGACUCGUUUAAUUUUUUGAAAAAAUCAAUAAUAUUGAUUAUCAAUUUUUUAAAACUGAGCCCUUCACCGAUCUAGUGUUCAUCUCUAUUGUUUGAGAUGGUAUCUGACUGUAUUUCUAAGCAAUUAACCUAUACUCUUCGUAGCCUACCUGCACUAGAAAUCCAAACCCAUCAAGCGGGCCAGACGAUUCUAAUCAAAGACCCAACCACAAAAAACUGGACGGCGGUCAGAAUUUUAUCCUUUACCGUUUUCAGAUAAACCAACAAUUUGUAAAGCUAACUUUACAUACAGUACAAAUAAAAACAUUAUUUAGUGAAGGGGUUGGCAGGAAUCAAGUAGUCAUUGAAACGAAACCCACACCAUUAAAAAGUUCAAUUGUCCAGAUGGGUGUUCAUGUAGCCAUAUUAAAAGCAGCUAGCUGUACAAUGCAGAGUUACCGAGAAUUAUUUUAGAUCAAUGAGAUAACAUUAAUUGUAUAGUUGAUCGAUACCAACACAGACAUGUUCCAAGGAGUUACAGAUUGUCCAGUCAAUAUUAAUUUGCAAAAUCAUAUCCUUUAACAUCAAAAACAUGGAGAAAUUAUCAACUAAGUUUUCAACAAAAAGAAAAUGAUCAACAAAACUCUUAGAAGCAGAAAAGACAAACAUAUUCAAGGACUUAUCAUUCAAGCUCCAACAACCUCUGGUGUAGCCUCAGCCAUUGCCUCAUCAGCAGGCCUCUCUACUUUCCACACCAAAAUCUCUGAGUAAUCACCAUGAACCUAAAUAAAUAGAAGAAAGAUAUUAAUCAGGCACAAGGCAAAGACACUUUGAUAUCUUAUUCAGCUAUAAAUACCAAGGCCACAUGGAAUAUUUUCAUUCAAAAUGUUGUCAGGAUGCAGGGAAAGACUAAGCAGAAAAGAUAUAAGAAACAUACCUCCAUCAACUUUCCAAGAUCAAACUUGGGAGCCUUCAAAAUUUUGACUUUACGAAUGAACACAUUCUGCAAAGGAUAGAUGCUAGAUGUUGCCUUUUCAAUUUCUUUUCCAAUCAUCUCGGGAAUGAACUUUUGAACUAAUUCCUUCAAAUCACAGGAUGAUGCCUGGGCAGUCAUUAUCUCACUCAUCUUUCGGCGUAUCUGCAAAACAAAAGAAACUUCACUCAGUCACUCAGUCAUCAUGGGAUUGACUGCUUCAGGAAAAGUACAACACACUCUGAAUAAAUGAUCAGUGAAGUUUCAAUAUAUAUCAAGGUAUGUGAGUCAAGAAAAUUGUCACAAGAACUGAAAGUUUGGCAGAAUAUCAGAGUAGUACCUGCCUAAUCUGGCUGGAUUGUGCAUAACAAGUCCUUUUAACCUGGUUUGGGCGCCUCUUAGUGAAUCCAAUGCAAAACAUUCUCAAAGUAUAAUUGUCAGUUGUCUUCACAUCCACAUGAGCUUCAAUUAGAGUUUGCCAUUUACGCACCAAAGACCUCAGUUUGUCAGUUGUAAAAUUCAUUCCCUGGAAAUUUGAAAAGGAAAGCAAAACAAAUUUGUUCAUUUAUUAUUACAAACAACACUGGAACAAUGUUGUAAAUAAAUAUUUUGGCCAAAAAAACAAAUAUAUUUAUAUUUAUCAUACCCAGAAAUUGGUCAAAACAUUUUUUCCUUGAACAUCUUCAGCUCUCAAACGAAUCUUUCUAUAAGCAUGAUCCUCAUCGCCACCUUGAAGAUCAGCCAGUGAUAUCUCAAACACACGGUGUUUGAGUCCUUCUGAAGCAAUCUGUAAUAAAAUAGUCAAGUUCAAACUAUUUAUCUAUAUACAUAGAGAUUAAAUUGUAACCGCAUGUUAACGAAAUGUAAUAACCAGGUCUAAGUUCAUUGUGCUGUACCUACAUGCAAAAUUAAUUAUUUUGAAGAUUUUCUAACAUCCACAUAGAAAAAUAGAAACAAACUCAUGAAGUCACUUAAGCGGCUAAAUAACAGAAGCUGACAAAUGAUACAAGACCAAAAAAAAUAAGGAAAAGUAAGUUUAAGUUUCUCAACAAAUGAAUCCUUGAAAGAUAAUUGAAGAAAUGAAAUUGAUUAUAAGGCAUUCAGGCUCUUUCUAGAAUUCCAGGCUCUUUCUAGAGUUUCAGAAAUUUAAGCAUUCAGAUGGCAAAUAGAUUAACCAUAUAACAUAUUAGGCUAGUAGAAGUUUAGUAGAAAAAAAGAAAUGACAAUUCAGCAUUUCAGCUAAAAAAAUAUCAGGGUCCAACCAAACAACCUACUACAAAACCAUGGUUCAGCUCAAACAUGCAAUUCCACAUUUCAUAAACAGGAAAAACAGCACAUAGCAUGAAAAAUCAAAGUAAAAUUAAGCAUCCUUAUCGUCAUUCCGAUAAAAGAUAAAAGAGUCGUAGCACUAAGCCAGGUACGCAAUGUACAAAGAACAUGUACAAAAUCCAGUUUCGCUCAGGUUCAAACUAUACAAUAAUCUUAUAUAUAAUGCAAAACAAGCAUUUUCAAAAGAGUAAAAGAAAAUAAAGAAUUAAAAGAAACAAACCUUGGUACCCUGAGUACGGGUAACAAGAGUCUUCCCCACAUUUCUGGUAGUAAAAACUGAUGGAGCUGAUAUCAUACCAAUCCUUCUGGCAAAUGAUCAGCUCAUAAAAAAAAACAAACAAAAGACAUCAACAUCAACAAACAGAUCCAUCUACAUAAAAUACCCAAUAAUGAGAUUAAGCUUAAAAAAAAAAAAAAAAAAAAAAAACUCACGCCUUCUUCUUUUCCUCCCUUCGUUUCCCUUGGAAAAUCCUCUUGUUCUCCUUAUAUACAAUACAAAGAAAGAAACCCAAAAAAAAUUCAGUGAAAAAGAAAAGUAGCAAAACCCAUUUGAAAAAAUGAAGGAGAGGAAGAUAAAGAAAUAGUACCCGACGGCCAUGGUUGAAGUUUUGCCGGUAGCUACGAAGUCAGUCUGUGCAGCAGCAGAUGGCCGCUAGAAGCCUAACCCUUGUUCUAUUUGUGUGUGGGAGACUUCAAAUUCAAACCCUACUUUUAUUGAUUGGUUUAUAACCAGCUCCUUGUGGAUCGAUUUUGGCUAAUCGGGUUGCACUCUGAGGGUUUUGAGGCCUUUUUGGGUGAAUUAGAGUUGGAUUUGAGCAAAAUUCUAGGCAGAAUUGGACCUAAGUUCAAUAUUUGAGCCCACUAUUCACUAAUCAUGCCUUUUCUUUCUCACGCAGUCAGGCCAACAAGCCCUACUUCUGUUUUUCUAUAAAUUUUAAUAUUUAUUUUGGGAAAGAAUAUAAGUUUAAUGUUCUUAUAUAGUAAAUAUCAUAAUUUUAAAUACAUAUAAUCAUAUAAUAUAAAAAUAAUAUAAAAAAUUAUAUAUGAGUUUUGAAAAAAUAAAAAAUAAAUAUUUUAUAUUUGAUGUAUCAAUAUGAUUUUUGAUAUUAUAAUUUUUUUAUUUACAUAUAUUUGAUACCAAAUAAAUAAAAUAUAAAUAUAUGAAUUAUCAAAUUUAAUUUCUAACCUUUUUCAAAAAUGAUAGAACACAUGUAUAAAUUUUCAAUCAAUUUUAUUGUCAUAUUUAAAAAUUGUUAUUGCUUGUUGUUUGAGUUGGUCAAGAUGAAAAAACAUUUAAAAAUUUCUCGAACGCUAAAUUUUAGUAAGAAACUUUUGAUAUUAUAUAUUAUCACACUAUAAAAUUAAUAUUCAUAAAUAAAUUUUGUGCCGCGGAGGGUUGGAUCAAUUUCUUUAAGCAUGUUUAUACCCAAAGCAUUCCAGCUAUUUGGUUAUACCAAUUGCAACUAAUUUGAGAAACCAAAGAAAUAGCAAGGAAGAUGGAGCAAUUUACCUUUUGAAAAUUCUUUGCUUUUGUGAUUGAAGGUUUUAUCGAGCAUAAGAAGUUUUGUAUUUCAAGCAUUCAAAGUUUAAAGAAAAAAAAAAUUAAAAUUUAACUCAAUUGAUUCAUAUAAUCACUUUUAAAAUAUAAUAUUUAAUAAAUUAAUUUAAAAUUUAAAUUCUAAUACUUCUAACUUAUAUUCUAAUCUUUAAACUACGAUCAUUUUUAAAAUAAAAAAAAUUGUUGAUGGUGAAAUAUCAAGAAAAGCUUCCAUAACUUAAAAAUUCUAGUAAGUAACAGGUGAGCAAUACAUACUUCAUAUAGAUAAUUCAUGCAAUUGAAAUGCAUAUGAAAGAUUAUAUUUGACGGGGUUAGUAAUGAUAUUUUCAUUUUUAUCAAUCAAAGGAGUCUAAAUAUUAAAUAAAAUUUUGAGAUUUUAUAAACAUCUUGGCUAACAAAAAUAUUUUAUAUGAAGACAAAUUUAAAUACUUUACAUUGUAUGAUUCUUAUUACAUCAAAAGAAUUUCUUUUUUCCAUUUUCUUUUGAAUGAAUGAAUAAGUGUUAUAUCUUUUCUUUGGUUCUUUCUCAUUUUAAAGUUUUUUCAAAGUCAGGGGCAUAUCUUAAAUAUUGAAAAUUAAGAAAAUUUGAAAAAAAAAAAUUUGCACAUCCUAAAAUUUUAGAUGAACAAUCUCAAAGAUUGAAAUUAAAAAAAAAAAUUGAAAUAAAAACAACCUUUUACGUACAAAAUUGAUAAAUUCACCCAAAAAAAAAAAAUCCUGCAUCUGUCACUGUUCAAAAUAUCAAAAUUUUCCUUUAAAAUUUUUGACAAACCCAUUUAUGUCCCUCAUCAAGAGUAAUAAGGUAGAAUUAUAUUUUUUUUUAAUGAUUACAUGUUAAAUUUAAGAUUAAAUAAAUCUAUAUCGUGUUGUUCAUUCAAAGAUCAAAGGUUUAAUUAGUUACAAUUUAGGAUCUCAACUUUUCGAAAAGCAAACAAUACCAUGUGGGCUUAUUUCUAAUACUAUUAAUUUUUGUCCCCAAACUUUUUGAGUUCGGACCAAUUAGCAUAUUCAUCUAAGUUCUGCAUCCAAAAUUAUUACUGUAUUUUUUUUGAAACUUUUCUAUUUUGAUUAGUUAUAAAAAUAUAUUAAUCAUAAUUUAGGUACUAUUUUUUCCUACUUCGUCUCCUCACCUCUUUGGUUGAAAAUGAGUCCAUGAUUAAUAUAAAAGGCAGCUCACCUCGAUAUGGAUAAAUAUAUAUAUAUAUAUAUAUAUAUAUAUUAUUGAAGAUUGUAUCUUGUUCUAGUUUUUUCUUUGGCCAAAACUUUUGUUUAUUGAAGAAUUAUAAUCUAUGAAAUAUAAAGAUAGACGUAUAAUAUAAGUAUGAUAUGAUACGGAUAUGAUAACAUAAUAAUUUUAAGAAAAUAAGACAUGAAUAUGAUAAGAUAUAGUAACAAAAAUUAUUUUUUUUAUAUUAUAAUUAUCAGUUAAAAAUAUAUGAUAGAUAUUUGAUUAACUUUUAAAAGAUAUUUAUCUUUGUUAAAAAAAAUUGAUGAUAAACAUAAUGAUUAAAAAAAUAUAACGUCAUUAUCCACACGACAAUUGUUUUUAUUAUUAUUCUUUUUGCUUAGUUUUUGUCAUAUCUAUCUAAGUUUCACACGUAAUUUAAAUAUAUCGCAAGUAUCAAAAUAUUGGACACAAAUAUGAUACGGGUCGUGAGGGGUUCAAAAGUGUCCUAGCUUCGUAGAUUAUAAUACAUUUCAAAAAGGUUCUUUUCUUAAUUUAUAACCAGUUAAUCAGUUGGCUGUUGUUAAACAAGAGAAUGUGGAUUAGAAGACAAAAUCAAUUAUUUGGAGGCAUUUGGCUAUGAAAUAUAGCAAUGCAGAGAACGAGAUGGAAACCUCAGUAUCAUUAAUUAUUCUCACCAAUCCAGAAAUGUGCAUAAAAUAGAAAUUGGAUGUUGCUUCUCGAAAGACAAAUUGAGAAGAAAAAUCCCGACUGUGCGUUUUAAAUUUCCAUACAUGACAACAUCAGCAAAAUGAAAAUAAAUACUAAACUCUUUCUUUUUAUACUGAACUUUGAUUUGGUGGUCAUGGCCAAUGAUGCACAGGUGGAUAAGGUGGUGGUGAUGGGCGAGGUGUACGGCUAGGUGAGCAGCCAAUGAUACUAAAAUCAACUGGAUGUGCAUAGAAAGACUUGCAUUCCAUUGGUGAUCUAUGUAAUGGCCUAUAGGGAAUACAAUUCUUUCUAUCAUUUUUGGCACGUAACUUGAGGCAUUUUGAAGGUUCCGAAGUGAAGAAAUUGUUGGAGUAGGUGAAAUUCUUCAGCUUAGGCAAUGAACAUACGCUCUCUGGAAUAUAAGCAGAUAGUUCAUUGUUUGCCACAUUAAGCUGUUCCAAGCUCUUCAUUUGCCUAAUUGCGUCUGGCAAAGGCCCAACUAGCUUGUUAGAGCUAACAUCAAACACUGUCACUCUCUUUAAUGCACCAAGUUCUGGUUUCAAACAUCCUGUAAAUCCAUUGUUCAUGAAAAUGAUUUCCCGGAGAUUUCCUGCCAUUAGUACCAAACUUGAAGAAGGAAAGCAGCCUGUGAGGCCGCUACUUGCCAUGACAAUAACUGAUACAGGAGAGUUACCGAAGUUUUCCGGUAAAGAUGAUCGAAAAUUGUUGUUGUUAAAGAAGAAGGCAUCUAGUUUCAGAUUAAACAACUGUGAGAGGUUUGUGCCACUGAACUCAUUGUAUCUGAUGUCAAGAAAUUUGAGUGAAGGUAAAUCAAGAACAACAUAAGGGAACUCUCCAUUAAAUUGGUUAUUACUAUAUCAAUCUCAUAAAGAAGGUUGAGUUUUCGAAAGCUUUCAGGUAUCAUGCCAGAAAAGUGAUUGGAGUUUAUGUGGAAAAGAGCAAGGUCAGUGAGGAGGCCAAGCUCUUCAGGUAAAGAACCAGCUAUGUUGGCAUGGUUUAAAUCUAUUCCAGCCACUGCUGUGAUGCGAGGGUCAUCCGGGUCUGGUGCACAAAAUACUCCGGUGUAGUUGCAAACUUUUGGGCCAUACCAAUUUGAGGCAAAGCCAUUGGGGUCAGAAGUCAUGGCAUGUUUCCAAGCUUGGAGAGUUAUAUUGGCCUUGAGAAGUCGAGGGUUUGGGAUCAAUGGUGGAGUAAGAUCGAUAUCUAUCAGGCUAUUAGAGGGUUUAGAGAAGAGAAAUAUGAUAGUUAGGAUCACCCAAAGGAAUGAUGUUAGAUGUGGUAUUUUCUUCAUUUUGGAGAAGGAUAUGUCAUGAUUGGCAAAAUUUGCUUUGAAUUAUAUAAGCUAUAUUGACAACUCUCGGAGACGAUUGAAUGUUGAAAUCACUAAUCAAUAAUUGCUUAUAACAGCCUUAAAAAAUGUGCAGUUAAAAGGAAGAAAGCUUGACUGUUUCCCAUCUUUAUUGUUUAUUUGAUAUUUCUCUGGAAAAUUAAGGCUACAUUUUGGGGGAAUAAAGAAAGGGUUUUAAUUUAAAUUCUUUUCUUUGAUCAAGAAGAGUAGUAACAUGUUCUUUCUUUCUCCUAGACUUGAACUUGCUUUUACAUGCUGUUUAAUGUAAUUAGACCUGUUAAUUUUAAACAUCACAUGACCAUAUGAUACAAAAACUUCACUGUCAUAACGUCUAGAUCCGGGGAUCUAUCGCUAGACAUUGACUUUUAGGGAGUCGCCACCAAUCUUUUUUAUCUAGGUGUGAUUGGCCACCUAAAGAAUCUGUUCUUUCAGGAAAUACCUAAGCUUAAGGGUCCCUAAAAGAAUAGGUUCAGGUCUACUAACCAGAACAGAGUUCGGGAGUUCGGUUACGUGUGAGGAAGGUUAUAGCACCCUCACAACGCCCAUCAAAAGAUGGUACCAGCUUAAAUUUGUGUUAUCCAAAAGCCUUAAAAUUUUAUCAAGUAAUUAAUUAUUGAAAAUUUUUCUCAAUUGACUCUAAUACUUUUAGCAGAAAAUUGAGAAAUUUUCUCACCUCAAGAGUAUGCAAGAAAAACUACUGUUUCACUUGCAGAGGCUCCGUCGUCGGAUUAGUUAAAGAAAAAUCAAAAUAAAAAUAGAAAUCAGAAUAGAAAGGAAGGAAAGAAUGAUCGUUUUUGUGUAGGGAAAAUUGAUACUUUCAACUUUUCCCCAAAAAUAUUUUUUGGAAAUUUAUUUCUAAGGAAAAUUGAUACUUUCAACUUUUCCCUAAAAAUAUUUUUUUUUUGAAAAAUUUAAUUUUUAUUUGAAGAAAAUAGAAUAAUAAAAAAUAUAAAUAAAUAAUAAAAAAUAAAAAAAGUAAAACAAAAAUAAAAAUAAAACUGAGAUAAAAAGAAUAUUAAAUAAACCUAAUAUAAUAAAUAAAAAAAAUAAAAAAACAUUAAAAGAAAAAAAAAAAAAAACCUAGAGCGACUCGGAUCGCGGCUCGGCUCGGCUCGGCUCGAAGGGGGUAGGCACGCGCGGGUCAGAAUCGGGUCGAUGCUCGGGUCGGGUCGGGUUCGGCAAAACGCGUGGAUCCUCUGGUUACUUAAGGCCAAAACGACGUCGUUUUGGGAGGGUAUAAAAGGCAAUCCCCUUCGUUUUUUCGGCAGAACGCUCCUCCCUCUCUCUCUCUUCUUCCUUUUUUUCUCUGCCUUCCCUCUAAAAGGCUGAAGAACACCGGUGGAAUUAUGCCGGAAUCUGGAAAAUGUUGCCGGAGUCUGGAAAUUUCGCCGAAAGUUGGCCGGAAGUUAGCCGGAUGAUCACCGAUUUCUGGGAUUAUCUGCCGGAAACUGGGCUGGUCGCCGGAAACUUCAAGGUUGACCAGAAUGUUCACCGGAAAAUUCAAACUUCACCGGAAUUUUUGCCGGAAUCUGGAAAUUUCCAGAAAAAAAAAAUUUCAAAAAAUUCUCAAAAAAUUUCUGAUGAUUCCUAGAACUCUCCUAAACCUUUUCUUAGCCUUCUAUACUCUUCUAUUCGCCUUUUCCCCUCAAAUUAGUAGCUCAGGCUUACUGUUUUUCUGUGUGUCCAGCAUUCUGUUCCAGAGUCCCUUUUAUAGAGGUUGAUCAGGAGUUCCUGAUCAAUCCCAAUUCUUUCUUGGACGGGGAUUCAAUCUUUGAAUCCAAUUAGACUCUUCUGAUUGAGUUCCCCUCCACAGUGGGAUUCUUCAUCUUUCAAUCUUAGCCAUCCAAAAAUCAAAUAAAAAAAUACUAGAUAAUUAGAAAAGAUAAAUAAAAAAAAAUAUUAUAGGAUAAAUAAAAAAUAAUAUCAGAUAUAUAAAUACGAAAAUAAUAAAAUAAGAUAAAAAUAAAAUAUAUAUAUAUUAGUAAUAAUAAUAAAUAAAUAAUAAAUAUAUAGGAUAUACAUAAAAUAAAAAAUAAAAAAUAAUAAUAAUAACCAAGAUACAAUUGGACUUACCCAUUUGGGUCAGGCCCAAUUGAUCCGAACCUGGAUCAAAUUGGGUGUCUACGUUCACAAAAAACAUAUAUUAAAAUUUUUUCAAAAACUGUAUAUAUAUUUGAUAAAAAUAAAAAAUAUAUAUUUUAUAUUUGAUAGCAGGAAUUAUAAUAUAAUAUUUUUUGUGUUUUACGUGUAUUAGAUAUAAAAUAUAUUGAUAUAGAUACAUGAAUUAAAUGUACUGACAUCCUGCAGGCAAAGUAAAGUUUCUAGUGAAUGGCUCUGGGAAGAAACUGAUAAAUGUUACCAAAACACGGUUUUCGCUUUUAAGCCACUGGGUUUCUUCUUUUGAACCAUAGGAUUAAAUUUCAGAUGUUAAAGCAAUUCAGGAUGGAAAUAUUUUUUGACAAAACAGGUUAUCUGGCUUUAAUUAAAUUAACGUUAUAUGCAAAUAAAGCAGGCAUAUUUGACAAAAAUGUACUGACAAAAAUCUGAGAUGGUGAUGAAACUGCUAAUUUGUAUGGGAACAGGGUGAAGACAGGAAAUGGGAAUCUGAGAAAUAAUGAAAGCUGCAUUUUUUUCUUAUUAUAGGUGUAAGUAUACAUCUAGUUUAGUUUUGAAAAAUUUUAUAUUUUAUGAGGGAAUCUGUUUCAGGUUGUGGUUGGUUAUCCACAACCAGGGACAGUAAUAGGAGCCAGAGGGGGCCUUGGCCCCCCAACAUUUUUAAAAGUCCCUUAUUUUUAUAUAUACUUAUAUUAAAUUCAUUUAAAUUAAACUCUAAAUUAAAAUUAUGAACUUUUUUUAUGCUUUUAUUUUUUAAUUUAUGCAUUACAAUUUAAGAGGUAUUUAAAUCACAUUGAUAUUUGUAUGUUUAUUGUACUCAAAUAUCAUUACUUACAAAUUCUUGAAAUUAGGAGGUUUGCCAUAAGUUUUAAAUCACAAAAAUGUAAAUUUAAUAUAAGUUAAAUUAAAUUUUUAAUUUUCUCAAUAAGAUUUUAAAAUUUUGAUAAGUAUCAAAUGUAUUUUUCCUUUUUUUUUAUUUUUUUGAUACAAGAAAGACCUUCUUUUUAGCUUAGUUAAACUUUUCCUCCAUAUUAUUUUCCACUUUUAUUUUUACUUUAGAUCUAUAACUCAUAUCGUUGUAUUUUUUCACAACAAAAAAAAUAUAUAUAUAUUGGAACUAUUUUACAAAAGGAUAAAAAAAAUACUACAACUUUUAAUCUCAAAAUGUUAUCAUCAUUCUUUUAAAAGUAUAUUUAAUUUUUUUAUUCCGAUAAUAUAUUUAAUUAUUGAUUUAUUUGUAUCUCUUUUUUAUUUCAAUUUUAAAUUAUCAAAAAAUAAAAAAAAAAUUCCUAUAAUUCAUUGAUAAAUUGUGUAAUUAAUAAUUUUACAGUUAAUUAUAAAUCUUGUUAUUAUUAAAAAUAUAAUAUAGUCGUAAUUAUAUUUUUGUUUUAUAAUUUUAUGAACUUGUCAUGUUUUUAUUAAUACAUUAUUUGUAUUAAUAAGUAUGAUAAAAUAUUUCUUUAGAAAAAAAAAGUAAAUUAUAUAUCAUUAGUUGACCCUUUCAAAACUAAAUGUCAAGAGCGUUCACUGUACACAAUGUUCCUCAUCUUAGUUUAUUAUUUAACACCAAAAUAAAUCUCGGUGGUUGCCUGGUUGGAAACUUGAGACCAUUUCAUAACACAAAAAAGCUGUCAAAUGCACAUGUAAUAUUUUAAUAGCGUGUAAUCUGAGUUCACAAAGCAAAUGUUUGAGAAAAAAAAAGUCAAGAAUCAAUAAAUAAUUCACAUUUCUCAUUGUUCACAUGUCUAUCUGAUUCAUGGGAAGCUAAUUAACCUUCUAUAGCCAUUUGUUUUUCUUGUUCCACGGCUAACAAAGAAGAGCAGAUAAGAUUUUUUUGUACAAAAAAAGAUUAUAGCUUAAAGAUAGGAUAAUUGUUUGAAGAUAUUAGAAUUUUAUUUCUAGAUUUACUAGAUUUAACCUCUUAAUGAUUAUAUGAACGAAUUUAAAUUAAUAAUAUAGGGACAAUAUGUAUACCAAACUCAAUAGACCAAGUCACUGAAAUUGGAGCAGUUACAGCAUUCAUCAGUCUUCAACAAUGCUUUUAUAUAUGAACAAUUAGAAAAUAUAUAAAACCAGAAGAACUUUUCAAUGCAUGGAGCAAUAAGAUAUAUAGAAAACCGACGCCAAAAAAAGACCAUAAAGCUAAGGACCAAAAUUUGAAUUUGAACUAAAAGUUCCCUGUUUGAUACAUUGUCUGUUAUGCUGAGGUUUGGUAGUGCUGGUUUCUAUUCAUUGUCUUGUUCUGUUUGAGGGUGAUGGUGGAUGAUGACUAGAUAUAUAUGCUGGUCAAAUAUCAAUCUCCAUGUGUUUUACUUUAUGCAGCGGAUGGGGUGCAUUAAUGAAAGGGGCCUGCUCUGCUUUUUAAAGUUUAAAGAGAAUAAUGAAAUUGAACUUGGUCAAAUGAUGGUCUUCCAUGCACUAUAGUUAAGUUUUCACUUGGUCAAAUGAUGAUUUAUCCUCUUAAUUUCCUUCUUUACUACAAUGAAAGACAAUGAUGUUCUGCUCUAAAUCUUUCUAGCACUUUGUCAAACUAGUUGUUUCCACUUCACUGCUAAUUUCUGUUGCGAAGCCUCAUGCAAGUACGUGCAAGCAAUGCUUGUAAAUGACAGGGAAGCUAAUAAAGGCAGCUGUCGGCGUUACUUCCUCAGUCGCUCAAGACCGGUUGGCCGCCAACACCACCAUAGUUGUCACCCUCUACAUAAUUUAGCACCCUUAACCCCCCAAAACUUCUCCACAUGCUUCUAUGAUUGUCCACUCCAUCUAUUCAUGCAGGCUUUCCAAUAAAGGAAUUCUCAUAUCCUUUUUUUCUUCUCUUUCUCAUAAUUUCUCACAUUGGUUGUCAUAAUAGAAGAGAAUAGAUGGGAUCGUUCAAAGAAACAUCUAUAGAGAACUAGAUUUUGAUAUUUUGUAUUCAAAUAUUAAAAAGUCAUAAGAGUGAGAUCUAAAAACAAAUCCAAUGCUAACUAUGUAGCAAAAAAACUCGAAUGAAUUUUCUCUUUUUUGGUUAAAGAAAUUUAGGUUGAGAAGUUACUUCAUGCCAUAAUUUAUGUCGCAGGUCUUAGCGAACUUACAUUUUUUAUUUUUUGGUAAGUAAAAUGGUGGCGGAAAUGGUGUCACCAUUUUAGGGAAUAGAGCUUCAGUGAUCUAAGAAUAAUGAUCACCUAAGUUACCUCUUCUCCCAACCCUGCCUUCUCCAAGUUUCAAACCCUUACCUUUGACAAGUAAAAUUCACUUGGAGCUAGAUUGCUUACUACUGAGCCAACACCUCAUUGGUUUAACGAACUUACAUUGGACUUAUGUAUCUCUCUGUAGACAUCUUAUUUAGUCCAAACCCAAGCCCAUUGGGCCUGGUCCAAUAGGGUUUGGGUCUAAGCCCAUUGGAUCUGGUUUAGGAUCCAACUAUCAAGCCCAAUUGACCUUUAUUUUUAUUUUUUAGUUGAUUUAUCUGUUUUAUUAGAUUUAUCAUUAGUUUAACAAGAUUUAGUGAUAAGAAAUAAAAAUUAUAUCUUUGGUCCUAAAUUGGAGGUUAUAGAGUUCCUAUAGGUUUUAGUAUGAGGUAGGAUGAGUCUUAAGUUUUUGAUAACCCAGUCAAAGGAAGACUUUGAUCUAAUCAGAAAUUCUUCAGAUCUGGUCCUAUAAACAGCAAUAAGACAACAAACAUAGUCGCCGGGAGGGGGGAGAACAAGCUACACUUUUGAAAGGAGUGGGAAGAGGGAACAUGUCGGUGCAUCAGAACCUUUUUGUUGAAACUUGCUCAUUUGAAUGGCCUUAGCAUGGCCCCUGGCAACCAAGCUGAUGAGAAAGGAGAGCAGAUGGUGCACUUGAUAGAAGGUCAGGGUUUGUAUUCUGGGUCUAGUAUGAGCCCUGUCCAACCAUCUAAACCUUUAAUUUUUUCUCAAUCUUCGAAUCAUUCCCAGCCUCAGCAAAAGGUAUUUUCUGGGAUAGCAUCGCAUUCUUCAAAACAACUCCACCAGAUGGCUUCCCAUUCUGAUAAUAGUUAUCAAGGUCAGGUUUCCACAGUGCCCUCCGGUCAUACAUUGUCAGCCGUGCAUCAAACCAUGCUGCUAGCAACUAUUUGUUCAAACCACCAGCAUUUGCAGCUACAAUCACAACCACAUCAAAAGUAGGUUAAUCAAAACCAACCUGCCGUUCAAAGGAUGUUUCAGCAGAAUCAACAAGUGAAUUCUGAUCCUCCCAGCAAAUCUCAAGCUGAGUCAGCUCAAGGUGACCGACAACCCAUGAAUAAUGCUUCACAGAUGGGUACAACCACUAUCGUAACGUCUAGAUCCGGGGAUCUAUCGCUAGACAUUAACUUUUAGGAGUCGCCACCAAUCUUUUUUAUCUAGGUGCGAUUGGCCACCUAAGGAAUCUGUCCUUUUAGAGAACACCUAAGUUUAAGGGUCCCUAAAAGAAUAGGUUCAGAUCUACUAACCAGAACAGGGUUCGGAAGUUCGGUUACGUGUGAGAAAGGUUAUAGCACCCUCACAACACCCAUCAAAAGAUGGUACCAGCUUAAAUUUGUGUUAUCCAAUGAGCCUUAAAAUUUUACCAAGUAAUUAAUUAUUGGAAAUUAUUCUCAAUUGACUCUAAUACUUUUAGCAAAAAAUUGAGAAAAUUCUCUCACUUCAAGAGUAUGCAAGAAAAAUUAUUGUUUCACUUGCAGAGGUUCCAUCGUUGGAUUAUUUAACAUUAAAAAAAAUAAAAAGAAAGAAAAGAAUGAUUGUUUUUAUGCAGAAAAAAUUGAUACUUUCAACUUUUUCCCAAAAUAUUUUUUAGAAAUUUUAAUCUCGAGGAAAAUUGAUACUUUCAACUUUUCCCCAAAAAUAUUUUUUAGAAACCUUAAUUUUCAGGAAAAUUGAUACUUUCAACUUUUCCUCAAAACCCUUUGUUUUUUUGAAAAUUUAUUUUUAAGAAAAAUCGAUACUUUCAACUUUUCCUCAAAAAUAUUUCUUUUUGAAAAUUUUUAUUUUUUUGCAAAAAAUAAAAAUAAAAUAAAAUAAAAAUAAAAAAUAAUACUCCUGAAAAUAACUAACACAAAAAAAGUAAAUAAAUAAAAUACCAAAAAAAAAAGAUUAUCUUAACUUAAGGAAUUGGACGCGGCUCCACUAGAUUGUCCAUAGCCUUCACCAAUUUGACACGAUCUCUCACAUUUUCCACGAAGGAAAUAAUGGCUUGAAGUGUUGCUAAACAUAACCAUAUACUCCCAUUUGGUUGCCAUACAUUUGUUGAGGAUACAUAGGAGCCAUUUGCUGUGAAAGUAUGUCCAUAUACUGUGCUCCCAGAACUGGUUGAGGAUGAAAACUAGCAAAUCGGUUUCCCUAAACAGGCUCGUUAUUAAUUGCUGACAAAUGAUCGAUUGUGAUUGGCUGAAUGUACAUACCCACCACUUGAUCACUUCUCAUAUGUUGAGGUCCUUGAGGUUGGCCAUGUGUUACACUAACUUGAGUAACCAUUGACUGAGGAUAUUGAGCACCCGCAACUGGGCUAGAGUCUACCGCCUGUGCUUCCCAGAGUGGUGGUGGUAGCAAGCCACUUCUCUGAGCACCAUAGACAGGUGAAGAGGGCUGCUAUUGUAGAACCAAUUGACCAUUCCAAGCAGGACCUGUGCCUUGAGCAUAUGAUUGCUCAUAUCGAGGUGAUCCCAUGUUUGGUGCAGCUCCAGUCGCAUGAAAAUUCUGCUGCUACUGAGUAGGCUGUCGUCUCUGGUAUGUAAAAUUCCCAUCAACAACCUUCGCUCCCACAAAUGGACACUAACCGGUUCUUUCAGAAAUCGACGAAGCUCCAACACUGUCGCCUCUGUAUGUCGCUACAGCCACCCACCGUUGAUGUUGAAAAUUCACCAUGAACCUCCCUUCGACCUACUCAUCUCUUAUUUAUGGUCGGUUUCUCACCAACCAUCCUCUAACAGCGUAGAUCUAAAAAGGAAUCUGUGAACUUUCUUCACUGUUUUGGUUUCUUUUCACUGUCUGAUCAUUUUGGGUUUUGAGUACGUCAAUGGCCCCUUACUGCUCUUCAUUUUUAUUAUUUUUGAUCUCUAAAAGCUCAAUGUUCGCUAUGGUUUGUCGUCGGCGCUGACAGUGUAUGAUUGAAAGGCACUGUGGAAACUUGACCUUGAGAACUAUUAUCAGAAUGGAAAGCCAUCUGCUGGAGUUACUUUGAAGAAUGCGAUGCUGUCCUAGAAAAUAGCUUCUGUCGAGGCUUCUGUCGAGUGCACCAUCUGCUCUCCUUUCUCAUCAGCUUGGGGUCAUUCUAAAGUUAUUCAGAUAAGCAAGUUCAACAGAAAGGUUUUAAUGCACCGGCCUGUUCGCUCUUCCCACCCCCUUCAAAAGUUUAGCUUGUUGUCGACUGUGUUUGUUGCCUUGUUGGGGUGAAUUUUGAGUGAUGCAGCAUGAAUCUCCUCUUCUGUGACAUCACUCACGAAAGCUUCAUUCAUUAUGGGUGUAAUACCCGAGAUAUACCACUCACUGCUUCUGUAAUAUUUUACGAACUGUAAGAAGUGAAAAUGGUGGAAAAAGAGUCAUGUAUCACACCCUGAAUACCCUCAUGAUCCUCUUUCUACAUAUCACUAUCAUAAAAACCAAUCCCUGAAUUUGAUUAUGCCUUCGCCUCUGAACACACAAAGUAUGGGAAAGAACUUGUCUUUUUAUCACCAGCUUGAAGCCGUUGAACCCGAGACUGACAUCUCCAGAAUUCCUCUUCCCUCUUAAGGUCCUGCUUCAAUGAUUUCGCCUUUACAUGGUCAUACACGGGCUGUCUAGCUAGCUUCUCCAUUUCAGCAGCUCAACCCGAGGUUCCAAGCUAUGUCACAUCUGCCGUUUGCUCAGAGGGCAGUCACAGGCACGUCACGAUUAGCAAAUGCGAUGUCUUGGUCUUUAAGCACUUAUCGGGUCAUGAAAGGGG
rnacentral:lncRNA from 1 species